rnacentral:lncRNA from 1 species
GGCGUCCCCGUAGCCUCCUCCGCAAACGGGUCGACCAUACUAGUCCUAUGCACGGGUGAAUGAGCCGGUGGUGGUGGCGAGGACGGCUCAACAGUCCUCCUAGAUCUUUCGCGUCCACCACCUCUCCCUGUACCCUUCCCCUUCUUCCCUACACGACCAGCACCUCUCCCAGUGGGCAAUGCCGCCGACGAAGAAGAACCCACGGGUGGUGUCGACAGACUGUCUGCCAAGGCUCUACAGAGAGAUAGGGGUGGAAGGGAAGUACCACCCCUCGUGCGGGGCGUGUGGGAAGAACCCAUCGAGCGAUCUGGACCAGCUCCCACCAUCUUUCCACACCUGGUGACCUGCCAUGAUAAAGAUUAAAAGAAAUUAGUACAACAUAAAAAAAUUGAAUAACUGACAAGAAUAAUAAUAUGUACAUGAAUAAUAAAUAUUAAAAUAUAUAUAAUUUAAGUCGUGAAUCUUACAAACUAAUUAUCAUCAUCAAUAAAUGCAUCAUCAUCAUCACUAUCACGCAUGUCUUCCUGAAUGACGUGCUUGUCGGGUUCAACGGCGUGAAGUUGUGAAAGGCCUUCCUUUAAUCGUUGAAGCAUUGACAGGUCAUCCGCAUCAGUAACCUCUACGAGUUCCAGGUCUUCUGGUUCCGGCUCAGGGCUGGAGCCGGAUUCAUUGUCGCUGUCUACUUCCAUGUUCUUGGGUGAAGCACGGCGGUUCUUGAAACGUUUCUUGGAAAGACGUGUUUCUUGGAAGAAUUCUCCAUCAUAUGUGUCUGGGUUAAUGUGAGGUUCAUAAUCCUGUUCAUUUGGGAGAGGUGGUCUUACAUGUGGCGGCACUUCAUAAACAACAUACCAACCUUCCAGAUUCUUAUCCGUUUGGCAUGCCCACGGUAGAUAGAAAACUUGGGUCGCCUGUUGAGCCGUAAAAUAGACAUCGGGAACAUAUAAAUGGGUGUUUGGAUUGAUUUCUACUAGUCCUAUAUGUUCAUGAGUCCUUCUAGUCUUUUCGGCUGGAACCAAUAACAUUUGAAGACUACGACGUUCGGUGGGUUUUCACCAUAGAGUUGAAGUUCAUAAAUUGCUUCAACUCUUCCAUAAUACUCGAUAACACCUUCGCCGAUAGCAGAGACACCACAAUUUGUAGAUUUCCGGUCGGGCAUAGAUAACUCUUUGCCAAAGGUACCCGUUGAUGUUGUAUUUCUCAAAUGAACGGACCUUAUAGUCAAAACCAUUAGCGACUUGUCUCAAUUCGGCGUCCAUAGACUCUGAAUUAGCCUACAAGUUUAAUACGAAACGGUUGUUGCACUAGUCGCAAGUUAGACCAAGAAUGAAAUGUUCCAUUAUUGAUAAUUACCGUCUGUUUGAACCAAGAGAUGAAACCGGGAUAGCCGCCUCCUGUCUUUGACAGAAGCUCAUACUCUUCGACGGAAUCAUUUUCGAUCACCGCUCGAUCUGAGAAUUUGACGACGUAACGGCUGUUUGAAAUAUCCGGGAAUAAGAGCAGUUCAAAUGAAUUAGAAGUUACGGGAAAAUGUGCCGAGAACUCACUCGAUGUACGACCGCGCUUCUAUUAGGUUGUUGAAGAAAUACAACGAAAUGUUCCGCCAUUCUUCGACAUCCAACGUUAUUGGUUUCGAAGCACCGGCUGGUGCGAGCUUCCCUUUGAAUAGACUGAGGUUGGACCCACCUUUUUUAGGUUCUGCAUCAUUGUGCCGAGGCUUCGGAUUAUGCAAUUGUUGAUUUUUGGCUUCGUAGUGUGCUUUCACAAAGUUUUGCACCUCCUCAGUAAUGAAUGCCUCAGCCAUCGAUGCUUCAAUUCUACGCUUAUUUUUACAUUUAGCUCGAAGGGUCUUCUGCAUCCUCUCAGUUGCAUAGCACCAACGAUCUUGCACAGGCCCACCCAAUCUUGCCUCGGUCGGUAGAUGUAAAAUCAAAUGCUGCAUUGGAUUAAAGAAGCCCGGUGGAAAGAUCUUCUCUAACUUGCACAACAACUCCGGUGCAAACUCCUCCAUGUCUUCUACCACGCCAGGCGACAAUUCUUCCGCACAAAGAACACAGAAGAAAUAGCUCAGCUCCGCCAGUACUAGCCAUUAAUCCUCAGGAAUAAAGCCACGUAACAUCACCGGCAUUACCUGCUCUAGCCAUAUGUGCCAAUCAUGACUCUUGAGACCAAAGAUUUUUAAUUUUUCAAGACUCGCUCCCCUCUUUAGAUUCGCUGCAUACCCAUUGGGGAACAUCAAGUGCAUUUUGACCCACAAGAUAAUUUCCCUCAUAGCUGGCCUUCCAAGAUUUAACCAGGCCUUUGGCUUCGACCACUUCUGCUUUCCUUUGCCUUCUAGCAUGUUUUGUAACGGUCUAUGACAUAGUGUCUCUUGAUCGACUCUAGCCUUAAUAUUAUCCUUUGUCUUCCCAUCUAUGUCGAACAAUGUACCAAAAAUAGCCUCUCCGAUAUUCUUUUCAGUGUGCAUCAUGUCGAUAUUGUGUGGAAGAAGGAGGUCUUUGAAGUAAGGUAGAUCCCACAAGCAUGGCUUAUGAGUCCAGGCGUGUUUGCAAUUAUACCCCUUGAAAUACCCUGUACGCUCUGGAUCAGGCUCGAGGGCGUUUAACUGAUCCAGGAUCUGUUGGCCUAUGAACGCAGGUGGUGCCAAGUUUUUGACAACUUUACCUUUGGUAAAGUUCUUCUUGUCUUUUCUGAACUGAUGGUCAGGAUCCAGGAACUGUCUAUGCAAGUCAAAGCAAGAAUACUUCCGACCCUCCUGCAACCAAUGAAACUGAAGAGCUGCCUUGCAUUGGGGGCACGGGAACCUUCCAUGCACACACCAUCCAGAGAAUAGCGCAUACGCUGGCAAGUCAUGCAUAGAGUACAUGUACCACACAUGCAUUUUGAAGUUUUCUUUUCUAGCGGCAUCGUAUGUCUUGACCCCAUUUUCCCAAGCUUCUUCCAAUUCAUCCUUAAGCGGUUGCAGGUACACAUUCAUAUUCUUCCCCGGAUAAUUGGGCCCUGGAAUUAUCAACGUCAGAAAUAUGUUCUUUCUUUGCAUAAUCUGCCCGGGGGGGGGGGGGUAGAUUGAGUGGAAUGACAAAUACAGGCCAACAACUGUAUUGGGUUGCCGUCAUGCCGAAGGGAUUAAAACCAUCCGUGGCGGCGCAGACUCAAGGAUUCCUUGGAUCUGCCGCUUUAUCCUGAUGCAAUCCAUCGAAAUGUUUCCACGCUUCCCCAUCCGAUGUGUGUACCAUCAUCUUAUUCCCAUCCGCAUCUAGUUUGGUUCUUUUGCCCAAUUUGUGCCAUGUCAUCUGUCUGGCUGUCUCUUCGACCAUGAAAAGACGUUGAAGUCUUGGUACAAUUGGCAUAUACCGAAGAACACUAACUGCGAUUUUGGUCUACCUCUUCUCACCCAUAUCGUUGUCUACCACAAGAUACCUGCAAGACUCGCAAUUGGGACAAUAGUCCAAGUGUGCAUACUCCUUCCUGAAUAAGACACAUCCUUUCUCACAUGCAUCUAUCUUCUCAUAGGGCAUCUUAAGUACACGAAGUAUUUUGUCCGACUGGUACAGGUUUGCAGGCAUGACAUGGCCUUUGGGUAGGAAACGUCCAAAUAGUGUCAUCAUCGCGUCGUAGCAUUCUCUUCCCAAGUUGAACUGAGCCUUCAGAGACAUUACUUGUGCAAUUGCAUCCAGCUGACAGAGCUCAGUGUGCUCAUGGAGAGGACGUUUUGAAGACUCCAACAUUUCAUAGAAGGCCUUUGCAGAUUCCUCCAUGUCAUCUUCCGAAUCCCGAGCAUCAUCAAAGUCUUCCACCAUGUCUUCGAUCCCGGUACCAGGCUCGUCCGUGCGACGACGGACCACCUCGGCUCUUGUGUGUUGUAUAGACUCACCAUGAAAUGUCCACAUCGUAUAAUUAGGCUUAAAACCCCUCCUCUGCAGGUGUUUAAUCAUUACAGCCUCUGUCGUCUUUUUACAGUUGUCGCAUCCAGGACAGGGGCAAUAGUUUCUUUCCUGACCAUUUGCGAAUGCGGCUUUCACAAAUUCCUUUGUUUUUACAAAGCAUUCUAUCUCUUUCUGACUAGGGUGACCGGUAUACAUCCAUGCACGAUCACUCAUCUUGCGUAGCUACUAAAGACAAAAGAAAUAUAUUUAUAUAUAUUUAGCAUUUAUAUUCAUCGGUUAAUGAGGUUCGCCAUUUUUAUUACGUCCAGGCAACCUACACGCUAAUAGGUAAAGAUAGGUCCUAAUCCCACCCGAGUAUGUGUAGAUUGGGUUCGUUUUCCCAUGCUCUGCUCCGGAUCCAACGCAAAAUUUCGGCAGCACCUCCCCGUUGUUCUCCUAAUACACGUCUCCGCAAUAAACAGAGAGGAUGUGCAUCCGGAGAACAACGGGGGAGGCACUGAUGAAAUUCCGCAUCGGAUCCAGAGCACAACAUACGGGAAAACAACCCCAAUCUACACAUACUCGGGCUGUCCAUGGAUAAUGUUGGACAAUUCGAAAGGAUGGCGGUUAUAAAUAUGCAAAGACAUGCAUCUUUAUAGAUGUCGCCCUUUCGAACGGGAGACGCAUACUGGUCACGCAUACUGAUAAAUUAAUUGAAUUACUUAAAUCUAGAAAGUUUCAUCCGGAAACAGAGCCACAGUAAAUGAAGGGGCGGGGAGGAGAUGAAAUUUGUACUGACCCACGAAUGCAGGGGCGGAGCUCGUACAACGCACGGGCAGGUCUUCGCAGAGCAGACCUCACAGCGACGAGACAACUAUCACAUGUAAAUCCACCCGAUCAACACAAAUAUUCCAAUUAUGUCAUUUUAGAGGAAAACAAGCUAAGUAUAAAAUAGUCAUGAGCUAACCAAGGUUCUUAUGGCAUUUUGGAGCUAAAUGGGCUAAUUAUGUCAUCGUUGGGGAAAUUAAAGCAAGGAUAAUAUGCAAGAGGAGAAGAAAGAGGGGGAGUAGGAGAAGAAGAAGAAUCAAAAAGGAGGAGAAGGAGGAGAAGGAGGAGGAGAAGAAGAAGGAGAAGGAGGAGAAGGUAUUUUUCUUCUCUUCUUCUCUUCUUCUUCUUCUUCUUUCAUUCUUUUCAUUUUUCCUAUUUAUUCUCCUCUUAUCCUCUUGUUGGAGCUAAAUUAUCUAAUUAUGUCUUUUUGGACCUAUAUGGGCUAAUUAUCCCAUUUUAGAGGAAAACAAGCUAAGAAUAUAAUAUUCAUGAGCUAACCAAGGUUCUUAUGCCAUUUUGAGCUUAUUAUGGUAUUUUGGAGCUAAAUGGGCUAAUUAUGUCAUUGUUGGGUUAAUUAAAGCAAGGAUAAUAUGAAAGAGGAGAAGAAAGAGGAGGAGGAGGAGAAGAAGAAGAAAUCAAGAAGAAGGAGGAGAAGGAGGAGAAGGAGGAGGAGGAUAAGGACUAGAAGGUCCUUGGCCUUCUCCUCCUCCUCCUUCUCCUUCUCCUUCUUCUCUUCUUCUCUUCUUCUUCUUCUUCUUCAUUCUUUUCAUUUUGCCUAUUUCUUCUCCUCUUCUCCUCUUGUUGGAGCUAAAUUACCUAAUUAUGUCUUUUUGGAGCUAAAUGGGCUAAUUAUCCCAUUUUAGAGGAAAACAAGCUAAGUAUAUAAUAUUCAUGAGCUAACCAAGGUUCUUAUGCCAUUUUGAGCUUAUUAUGGUAUUUUGGAGCUAAAUGGGCUAAUUAUGUCAUUGUUGGGUUAAUUAAAGCAAGGAUAAUAUGAAAGAGGGCAAUAAAGAGGAGGAGGAGGAGGAGAAAGAAGAAGAAGAAGAAGAAGAAUAAGAAAAAGAGGAGAGAGGAGAAGAAGAAAGAAAAGGACCCCGACCCCCGCCCACGACCCCGACGCGCGACGCCACCAACCUCCAAGGCGCGACGCCACCAACCCCNNNNNNNNNNNNNNNNNNNNNNNNNNNNNNNNNNNNNNNNNNNNNNNNNNNNNNNNNNNNNNNNNNNNNNNNNNNNNNNNNNNNNNNNNNNNNNNNNNNNAAAGGAGGAGGAGGAGAAGGAGAAGGAAGAGGAGAAGAAGAAGAAAAGAAGAAGGAGAAGGAGGAGGAUAAGAAGAAGGAGGAAGAAGAAGGAGAAGGAGGAGCUCCAUCUCCUUCUUCUCCUCCUUCUUCUCCUUCUUCUUAUCCUCCUCCCUCUCCUUCUUCUUCUUCUCCUCUUCUUCUUCUUCCUUCCUUUCAUUUUUCCACUUUCUUCUCCUCUUGUCCCCUUCUUCGGGCUAAAUUGGCUUAGAAUACCUUUUUGGAGCUAAUUAUGUCAUUUCGAGGAUAAUUAGCUAARUAUAGGUCAUKUUUUAUUAAAUAGACCAUUUAGGAGCUAACUAAGCUAAUUAUGUCAUYUAGGUGGAACCCUAGCUAAYUAUASGUYGUKUCGGAGCUAACUUGGGUAAAAUAGGUCAUUCCGGAGCAAACUAUGCUUAUUAAGCCAUUUUGGAUCUAGCUAGGCUAAUUAUAGGCCAUUUAAUACCUAAKUUAGGGGGAAUAGGUCAUCUUGCAGCUACGUAAGCCUUAUUAUGUCAUUUAGGAGAGAACUUAGCUAUCUGUAGGUCAUUUUUUAUUAAAUAGGUCAUUUUGGAGCUAACUAGGCUAAUUAUGUCAUUUCGUAGGAUAAUAAGCCAAUUUAGACUUUCUUGGAUGAGUCUAAGCUACGUAGAAGAAGAGAAAGAGAAGAAGAAGUAAAAGGAGGAGGAGGAGAAGGAGAAGGAAGAGGAGAAGAAGAAGAAAAGAAGAARGAGAAGGAGAAGGAGGAAGAAGGAGGAAAAAGAAGGAGAAGGAGGAGCUCCUUCUCCUUCUUCUCCUCCUCCCUGUCCUUCUUCUUAUUCUCCUCUUCUUCUUCUUCCUUCCUUUCAGUUUUUCUCUUUCUUCUCCUCUUGUCCCCUUCUUCGGGCUAAAUUGGCUUAGAAUGCCUUUUUGGAGCUAAUUAUGUCAUUUCGAGGAUAAUUAGCUAAGUAUAGGUCANNNNNNNNNNNNNNNNNNNNNNNNNNNNNNNNNNNNNNNNNNNNNNNNNNNNNNNNNNNNNNNNNNNNNNNNNNNNNNNNNNNNNNNNNNNNNNNNNNNNUUAAUUUUCCCAACAAUGACAUAAUUAGCCCAUUUAGCUCCAAAAUACCAUAAUAAGCUCAAAAUGGCAUAAGAACCUUGGUUAGCUCAUGAAUAUUAUAUACUUAGCUUGUUUUCCUCUAAAAUGGGAUAAUUAGCCCAUUUAGCUCCAAAAAGACAUAAUUAGGUAAUUUAGCUCCAACAAGAGGAGAAGAGGAGAAGAAAUAGGCMAAAUGAAAAGAAAGAAGAAGAAGAAGAAGAAGAAGAGAAGAAGGAGAAGGAGGAGGAGGAGGAGGAGGAGAAGGAGAAGGCCAAGGACCUUCUAGUCCUUCUCCUCCUCCUCCUUCUCCUCCUUCUUCUUGAUUUCUUCUUCUUCUCCUCCUCCUCCUAUUUUUCUUCUCCUCUUUCAUAUUAUCCUUGCUUUAACUUCCCCAAAAAUGACAUAAUUAGCCCAUUUAGCUCCAAAAUACCAUAAUAAGCUCAAAAUGGCAUAAGAACCUUGGUUUAGCUCAUGAAUAUUAUANNNNNNNNNNNNNNNNNNNNNNNNNNNNNNNNNNNNNNNNNNNNNNNNNNNNNNNNNNNNNNNNNNNNNNNNNNNNNNNNNNNNNNNNNNNNNNNNNNNNUCUUAAUUCUUCUUUUGUAGUUGCGGAUGCUUGCGAGAGAGGUUAAUCAUAAGCGGGAUGCUUGUCCAAGUAAGGGCAGUACCCAAGCGUCGGUCCACCCACAUAUCAAACUAUCAAAGUAACGAACGCGAAUCAUAUGAACAUGAUGAAACUAGCAUGACAGAAAUUCCCGUGUGUCCUCGGGAGCGUUUUUCCUCCUAUAAGACUUUGUUCAGGCUUGUCCCUUGCUACAAAAGGGAUAGGGCCACUUGCUGCACCAUUGCUACUACUUGUUACUUGUUCCUCUUUGCUUGCUACGUUUCACCUUGCUACACAAUCACUUGUUACCGCUACUUUCAGUGCUUGCAGUUAUUACCUUGCUGAAAUCCGUUUAUCAGAGCCUUCUGCUCCUCGUUGGGUUCGACACUCUUACUUAUCAAAAGGACUACGAUUGAUCCCCUAUACUUGUGGGUCAUCAGUAUGGUUGGUCUUCAUUCACUUUUCUCUUGAACUUCAAAAAUUUCAGCAAAAGGAAAUUAUGUUCAGGAGGAAGUUUUAUGGUGGUUCCUCAAGUAAGAAGGGUCCCCCUCUUUCUUUUCGGGAGCCCGAACCUUUUCAACUAAGGGACGCACCGGUACAACCAUCUGAAUGGCCUUCCGAUGAGUUCAUGAUUGAAGCAGGUUUCAAGGAUGAGUUUGAUACACUUGUCCGCAAUGCCGGGUUAGAAGAAUUCCUCUCAGAUAAGUGUGAACAGUAUGCUAUGCUCACUGCCUCUUUCGUGCGUAGAUUUAAAUUUUCAGUUGGCCGUGACUCAUCCAUACUGUUUGAUCUGUACGAUAAAUCUUAUACCGUGGAUUUGGAGGAUUUCAAUAGGAUUUGCAAGAUACCCGAUGGGGGUAGUAUUAAUGAUCCUUCUAAAUCUUCGGUCAGAGACUUUGUCUCUAGUAUAACUGUUGGAGAAACCAGAGAUAUCAUGCAAGCCACCAUAGGAAGCAUCCAUUUCCCUACCUUGCACUACCUUUCCCUCUUCAUAGGUAGGUGCAUUAACGGCAAGGGUGCACAUUGUCACCUAUGCGCUUCGGACCUUAGUAUCCUUAAGAGCGCAGUAACAGGUGACAGGCACUACAGGAAUCAACUUCUUUGCCGUCUGCCAUCACGGACGGCAAAGAGUAAAUCCCGGACAGCAAAGAGAAUAUCACAGACGGCAAAGAAUCUCACGGCCGACAAAAUUUCUGCGUCAGCCUACGACGGCAUCGUACCUUCUUUGCCGUCUGUCUCCCCAAAGCGGGCGACAAAGAGCUUUGCCGUCAGCUUUUCAUAGGAGCAGUUGGCAAAGUGAUCGAGACGGCAGCCAACAGGCGUUGCCUCCGUUAGGGGCUAACGGAGGCUUUGCCGUCUGCCUCCCCCUCUUCUUUGCCGUCUACCUCCCCCCCUCUUCUUUGCCGUCUGCCUCCCCCCUCUUCUUUGUUGUCUGCCUCCUCCUCCCCCCUCCACUCUUUGCCGUCUGCCUACCCCUCCCCCCUCCUCCGUGCCCUCUUCUUUGCCGUCUGCCCCCCUGGAAGCAGACGACAAAGAUACUAUAUGGCCAGCUACUACUGCCCAGGUUGCACAGCUGGGCGCCACGUGGCACCUUUGCCGUCGGCCAGCUGAUGGCAAAGGCCUUUGCCAUCAGCUAGCAGACGGAAAAGAGCCUAUAUUGUCACAUUUUUGUUUAUUUUUUCUAUUUCACAGCACAUAUACAUAUAAUUCAUAGCACAUAUAUGAUAAAUAGGUCACAACACAUAUAUGAUAUACAUAUAAAGCUCAUCAAUGCCAUUUGUUCAUCAACGUACAUCCCAUAUAUCAAAAGAACCAACACAUACAAAGUUUCAUCCAUAUAUACAUACAUAUAGUUGCACAUAUAUUGUUCAUCCAUAUAUACAUAUACAUAUAGUUCCACAUUGUUCAUCAACUCAAAUAAAAACGGAAACUAAAGCACUCCAAUGCCAGCUUCCAUGCAUGUAGUACAUCCAAUCUGCAAAAUGGGAAUAAGAAAGUAAGAAGAAGAAGAACAACAACAUAUAUAUGAAAAAUAAGCUAAAUUGAAGAAGAAAGAUAAGAAGGAAGAAGAGAACAAGGAGAAGAAAAACAAGAAGGAGGAGGAGGAGGAGGAGGAGGAGGGGAAGGGGAAGGAGAAGGAUAAGGAGGAGGAGAAGAAGAAAAAAUAAGAGAAGGAGAAGGAGAAGGAGGAGGAGGAGAAGGAGGAGAGAAGAAGAAGGAGAAGAAGGAGGGCUAUUUCUUCUUCUUCUCCUCCUUCUCCUUCUUCUUCUCUUCUUCUCCUCCUCCUCCUUCUUCUUCUCCUUCUCCUUUUCCUUCUCUUCUUCUCUUCUUCUUCUUCUUCUUCCUUCUUUUCAUUUCUCCUAUUCUCCUCUUCUUGGAGCUAAAUUAGCUAACUAUAUAAUAUUAAUGAGCUAACCAAGGUUCUUAUGCCAUUUUGAGCUUAUAAUGUCUUUUAGGAGCUAAAUUGGCUAAUUAUAUCAUUGUUGGGGAAAUUAAGGAAAGGAGAAUAUGAAAGAGGAUAAGAAAGAGGAGGAGGAGGAGAAGAAGAAUAAAUAAAGAAGAAGGAGGAGAAGGAGGAGGAGGAGGAGAAGGACUAGAAGGUCCUUGGCCUUGUCCUCCUUGUCCUCCUCCUCCUUCUCUUCUUCUUCUUCUUCUUCUUCUUCUUCUUUCUUUUCAUUUUUCCUAUUUCUUCUCCUCUUCUCCUCUUCUUGGAGCUAAAUUAGCUAACUAUGUCUUUUUGGAGCUAAAUGGGCUAAUUAUCCCAUUUUAGAGGAAAACAAGCUAAGUAUAUAAUAUUAAUGAGCUAACCAAGGUUCUUAUGCCAUUUUGAGNNNNNNNNNNNNNNNNNNNNNNNNNNNNNNNNNNNNNNNNNNNNNNNNNNNNNNNNNNNNNNNNNNNNNNNNNNNNNNNNNNNNNNNNNNNNNNNNNNNNCAAGAGGAGAAGAGGAGAAGAAAUAGGAAAAAUGAAAAGAAAGAAGAAGCAGAAGAAGAGAAGAAGGAGAAGGAGGAGGAGGAGGAGGAGAAAGAGGAGAAGGCCAAGGACCUUCUAGUCCUUCUCCUCCUCCUCCUCCUUCUCCUCCUUCUUCUUUAUUUCUUCUUCUUCUCCUCCUCCUCCUAUUUCUUCUCCUCUUUCAUAUUCUCCUUGCCUUAAUUUCCCCAACAAUGACAUAAUUACCCAUUUAGCUCCAAAAUGCCAUAAUAAGCUCAAAAUGGCAUAAGAACCUUGGUUAGCUCAUUAAUAUUAUAUACUUAGCUUGUUUUCCUCUAAAAUGGGAUAAUUAGCCCAUUUAGCUCCAAAAAGACAUAGUUAGCUAAUUUAGCUCCAAGAAGAGGAGAAGAGGAGAAAUGAAAAGCAAGAACAAAAAUAAGAAGAGAAAGAGAAGAGAAGGAGAAGGAGAAGGAGGAGGAGGAGAAGGAGAAGGAGGAGGAGGAGGAGGAGAAGGAGGAGAAGGCCAAGGACCUUCUAGUCCUUCUCCUCCUCCUGCUUCUCCUCCUUCUUCUUUUUCUUCUUCUUCUCCUCAUCCUCCUCUUUCUUCUCCUCUUUCAUAUUCUCCUUGCCUUAAUUUCCCUAACAAUGACAUAUUUAACCCAUUUAGCCCCAAAAUGCCAUAAUAAGCUCAAAAUGGCAUAAGAACCUUGGUUAGCUNNNNNNNNNNCUUCUUUAUUUCUUCUUCUUCUCCUCCUCCUCCUCUUUCUUAUCCUAUUUCAUAUUCUCCUUGCCUUAAUUUCCCCAACAAUCACAUAAUUAGCCCAUUUAGCUCCAAAAUGCCAUAAUAACCUCAAAAUGGCAUAAGAACCUUGGUUAGCUCAUUAAUAUUAUAUACUUAGCUUGUUUUCCACUAAAAUGAGAUAAUUAUCCCAUUUAGCUCCAAAAAGACAUAGUUAGCUAAUUUAUCUCGAAGAAGAGGAGAAGAGGAGAAGAAAUAGGAAAAAUGAAAAGAAAGAAGAAGAAGAAGAAGAAGAAGAGAAGAAGGAGAAGGAGGACGAGGAUGAGGUGAAGGAGGAGAAGGCCAAGGACCUUCUAGUCCUUCUCCUCCUCCUCCUNNNNNNNNNNNNNNNNNNNNNNNNNNNNNNNNNNNNNNNNNNNNNNNNNNNNNNNNNNNNNNNNNNNNNNNNNNNNNNNNNNNNNNNNNNNNNNNNNNNNUGCCAGUUCACCAAAUACUGUCACACCUAAAGAACCUAAUGAUAUUUCUGCGUCUGAUGCAGAAACACAAUGUGGUGAUGAACAUGAACCUGGUGACAAUAUGGACAAUGAUGUUCAUAAUAAUGCUCAACCUAGCAAUGAUGAGGAUGUGGAGAUUGAACCUACGGUUAAUCCUGAUAACCCACAACCUUAGAAAUAUGAUAAGAAUGACUUCACUGCUAGGAAGCAUGGUAAAGAAAGAGAGCCAUGGGUUCAGAGACCUAUGCCCUUCCCUCCUAAGCAAUCCAAGAAAAAGGAUGAUGAGGAUUUUGAGCGCUUCGUUGAGAUGAUUUGACCCAUCUUUCUGCAGAUGCGGUUAACUGAUAUGCUCAAGAUGUCUCCGUAUGCCAAGUACAUGAAAGAUAUCGUGACUAAUAAACGGAAGAUACCGGAUCUUGAGAUCUCCACCAUGCUUGCCAACUACACUUUCAAAGGUGGAAUUCCUAAGAAACUUGGUGAUCCCGGAGUGCCCACUAUACCUUGCUCCAUUAAAGGAAACUACGUAAGAACUGCCUUAUGUGACCUUGGAGCGAGUGUUAGUGUUAUGCCACUCUCUCUUUAUCGUAGACUUGAGUUGGAUAAGUUGACACCCAGUGAAAUUUCUCUGCAAAUGGCCGACAAGUCAGCUUCUUUCCCUAUCGGCCUUUGCGAGGAUGUGCCUGUUGUGGUUGCUAACACCACUAUCUUAAGAGACUUUGUUAUCUUGGAUAUUCCCGAGGACGAUGUCAUGGCUGUCAUCCUCGGAAGACCCUUUUUAAAUACUGCAGGGGCUGUUAUAGAUUGCAACAAAGGCAAUGUCACUUUCCAUGUCAACGGUAAUGAGCACACAGUGCACUUUCCGAAGAAACGAUAUCAAGUACAUUGCAUCAAUGCUAUCGAAAAGACUUCAUCGAUUCUCAUUGGGAUCUUUGAAUGUCCUAUUCCUCAUGUCAAGAUGAAGUAUGAUUUUCUUGUUGGGGAGAUACAUAUCCCCAUUGAGGUGACUUAGUGGCUAUUAGAAAUUUCUCCGUUCUCUCUUGUGAUUCGAGAAGGUUUUGUCAUAAGGACUUGAUCAAUCCCAUUGACGGAUUUCUUCCGAUGACCAUGAAACGGAUGAAUCAAAGAGCCACAUACCUCCGUUUAGAGCUUUCAUUUUCUUUUGCUUAGAAGAAAAAUGAUAGAAUUAGUUUAGCUUUUCCUGUUUUCUGUUUUAGCGUCCCGGAGAAAAAUACCUCAAAAAUAAAAGUUCUCCGAUGGUCCUGAAAAUUUAGUAUGAUUUUUUUUGGAAUUUUUGAAAAUUUCUGGGCCUAAGAGCUGGCCUGGGGGCCAGACCAGUGGGCCACAAGCCCUACCACCGCCACCUACCCCCUUGGUGGCGGAGUGCAAGCUUGUGGGGCCCACAUGGACCCCCUCCACUCAUUCCAGCUCCCAGCCUCUUCUUCCACCUCCAGGAAAAAUUGUUUCGCAGCUCAAACCCGUGUUCUUGCUCACUUGGCUGUAAUUUUCGAUCUCCUUGCUCAAAGCACCAUUCUUCGAACCGUUUUGGGGAAAUUACUCCUUCGUAAGUGACUCCUCCAUUGGUCCAAUUAGUUUUUUCUCUAGUGCUUUAUCCUUCGCGAAUUCUUGCUACCUUGGUGACCCUGUUCUUGAGCUUGAAAGGUUGAUUUUAGCUGGUCCCAAGUAGUUUUAGCGCGUGAUACGGUCUCUAGGCACUAGUAGGAGUAGUUGCUACAAGGUAUGUGAUACGUCCAUUUUGCAUCAUGCUUUCAUGUUGAUAUUUAUUGCUUCUUGGGCUGUUAUAUUACUUGUGGUACCAUAUUUAUGCCUUUUCUCUGUUAUUUUGCAAGGUUUAUUUGAAGAGGGAGAAUUCAGGCAGCUGGAAUUCUGGACUGGAAAAGGAGCAAAUCCUAGUCCACUAUUCUGCACAUCUCCAAAUGCCCUAAAAAUUUACGUGGAUUUUUUUUGGAAUAUAUUAAAAAAUACUGGGCGACAGAACUACUGGAGGGGGCCACCACGGCCCCACAAGCUUGCCCACCGCCACCACCCCCAUGGUGGUGCAGGGCAGGCUUGUGGGCUGCGUGAAGGCCCACUAGCCCCCCUCUUUUUUUUAUAUGAAGCGUCCUGGUCUGGAAAAAAAUCAAUAGGGAGCUUUUUCGUGGUUUCGCCGCCGCCACGAGGCNNNNNNNNNNUCCGUGAAUAUUUACAUGGAUUUUUUCUGGAAUAUAUUAAAAAUACUCGGUGAAAGAACUACUGGAGGGGGGCCACGAGGGCCCCACAAGCUUGCCCACCGCCACCACCCCCCUGGUGGCGUAGGGAAGGCUUGUGGGCUUCCUGAAGGCCCACUAGCCCCUCUCUUUUGCUAUAUGAAGCGUCCUGGCCUGGAAAAAAUCAAUAGGGAGCUUUUUCGUGGUUUCGCCGCCGCCACGAGGCGGAACUUGAGCAGAUCCAAUCUAGAGCUCUGGCAGGACGAUCCUGCCGGGGAAAUUUCCCUCCCGGAGGGGGGAAUCGUCGCCAUCGUCAUCACCAACACUCCUCUCGUCGGAGGGGAGGCAUCUUCAUCAACAUCUUCAUCAGCACCAUCUCCUCUCCAAUCCUUAGUUCAUCUCUUGUAACCAAUCUUCGUCUCGCAACUCAGAUUGGUACUUGUAAGGUUGCUAGUAGUGUUGAUUACUCCGGGUNNNNNNNNNNNNNNNNNNNNNNNNNNNNNNNNNNNNNNNNNNNNNNNNNNNNNNNNNNNNNNNNNNNNNNNNNNNNNNNNNNNNNNNNNNNNNNNNNNNNGUGGAAAAGUUGUCUCAAAUCAGCCCUAAAACCUCUGUAUAUAUAGGUGGGAGGGAGGGGACCUUGCCUUGGGGCUCAAGGAGCCCCAAGGGGGUCGGCCGAGUCCAAGGGGGGAGGACUCCCCCCCCCAAACCGAGUUGGACUUGGUUUGGUGGGAGGGAGUCCCCCUUCCUUCCCACCUCCUCCUUUUUUUCUUUCCUCUUGAUUUUCCUUUGCUUGGCGCAUAGAGCCCUUUUGGGUUGUCCCACCAUCCCACUAAAGGCUGGUGUGCCACCCUCAAGGCCUAUGGGCUUCUCCGGGGUGGGUUGCCCCCCCCCCGGUGAACUCCCGGAACCCAUUCGUCAUUCCCGGUACAUUCCCGGUAACUCCGAAAACCUUCCGGUAAUCAAAUGAGGUCAUCCUAUAUAUCAAUCUUCGUUUCCGGACCAUUCCGGAAACCCUCGUGGCGUCCGUGAUCUCAUCCAGGACUCCGAACAACAUUCGACAACCAACCAUAUAACUCAAAUACGCAUAAAACAACGUCGAACCUUAAGUGUGCAGACCCUGCGGGUUCGAGAACUAUGUAGACAUGACCCGAGAGACUCCUCGGUCAAUAUCCAAUAGCGGGACCUGGAUGCCCAUAUUGGAUCCUACAUAUUCUACGAAGAUCUUAUCGUUUGAACCUCAGUGCCAAGGAUUCAUAUAAUCCCGUAUGUCAUUCCUUUACCCUUCGGUAUGUUACUUGCCCGAGAUUCGAUCGUUAGUAUCCGUAUACCUAUUUCAAUCUCGUUUACCGGCAAGUCUCUUUACUCGUUCCGUAAUACAAGAUCCCGCAACUUACACGAAGUCACAUUGCUUGCAAGGCUUGUGUGUGAUGUCGUAUUACCGAGUGGGCCCCGAGAUACCUCUCCGUCACACGGAGUGACAAAUCCCAGUCUCGAUCCAUACUAACUCAACGAACACCUUUGGAGAUACCUGUAGAGCAUCUUUAUAGUCACCCAAUUACGUUGCGAUGUUUGAUACACACAAAGUAUUCCUCCGAUGUCAGUGAGUUAUAUGAUCUCAUGGUCAUAGGAACAAAUACUUGACACGCAGAAAAGAGUAGCAACAAAAUGACACGAUCAACAUGCUGCGUCUAUUAGUUUGGGUCUAGUCCAUCACGUGAUUCUCCUAAUGACGUGAUCUAGUUAUCAAGCAACAACACCUUGUUCAUAAUCAGAAGACACUGACUAUCUUUGAUCAACUGGCUAGCCAACUAGAGGCUUGCUAGGGACAGUGUUUUGUCUAUGUAUCCACACAUGUAUAUAAGUCUUUAUUCAAUACAAUUAUAGAAUGGAUAAUAAACGAUUAUCUUGAUACAAGAAUUAUAAUAAUAACUAUAUUUAUUAUUGCCUCUAGGGCAUAAUUCCAACAUUUACUUGAUGAAACACAAGUAUGAAUCAUUGAAAGGUUCAAGCAAUUUUAGAGUGAAGAUGAAGAUCGUCGUGACUAGAGGACAAUAUGUCUAUGAUGUAAUCAUGGAGGUAAAUAUCUGAGUUGCGAGUUUGGUAUACAUUGAAGACAAUGUGAAAAUUGUUUCACACCUAAUGCCACGUGGAACACCAUAGUGUGAUGGUGUGUCCGAACGUCGUAGCAGCACCCUAUUAGAUAUGGUGCAUAUUAUGAUGUGUCUUAUCGAAUUACCACUAUUGUUUUGGGGUUAUGCAUUGGAGACAACAACAUUCACUUUAAUGGGGCACCACAUAGUUCUGUUGAGAUGACACUGUAUGAACUAUGGUUUGGAGAAACCUAACCUGUCGUUUCUUAAAAGUUUGGGGCUAGUAUGUUUAUGUCCAAAGGCUUCGGCCUGGUAAGAUCGAACCCAAAGCGGAUAAACGCAUCUUCAUAAAAUACCCAAAAUAGUUGGGUAUACCUCCUACCUCAGAUCCAGAAGCAGAGUGUUUGUUUCAGAAAACGGGUCCUUUCUCGAGAAAGAGUUUCUCUCUAAAGAAUUGAGCGGGAGGAUGGUGAAACUUGAUGAGGUUACUGAACCGUCACUUCAACAAGUGUGUAGCAGGGCGCAUGAAGUUGUUCCUGUGGCGCCUACACCAAUUGAAGUGGAAGAUGAUGAUAGUGAUCAUGGAGCUUCGGAUCAAGUUACUACAAACCUAGUAGGUCGACAGGGUCACAUACUGUUCCAGAGUGGUACGGUAACCCUGUCUUGGAGGUCAUUUUGUUGGAGAACAAUGAACCUACGAGCUAUGGAGAAGCGAUGGUGGGCCUCGAUUCCGACAAAUGGCUGCAGGCCAUGAAAUCCGAGAGAGGAUCCAUGUAUGAAAACAAAGUGUGGACUUUGGAAGAACUACUUGAUGGUCCUAAGACUAUUAAGUACAGAUGGAUCUUUAAAAGGAAGACAGACGAUGAUUGUGAAAAGUCACCAUUAAGAAAGCUCGACUGGUCGCAAAGAUGUUUCCGACAAGUUCAAAGAGUUGACUAUGAUGAGACUUUCUCACUCGUAGCGAUGCUAAGAGUCUGUUGGAAUUAUGUUAGCAGUUGCUGCAUUUUUUAUGAAAUCUUGCAGAUAGGAUGUCAAAACAUUGUUUCCUGGAUGCUUUCCUUGAGGAAAGGUUGUAUGUGAUACAACCAGAAGGUUUUGUCGAUCCUAAGGAUGCUAACAAGUAUACAAGCUCUAGCGAUCCUUCUAGGGACUGGACUAAGCAUCUCGGAGUUGGAUAUGCGCUUUGAUGUGAUGAUCAAAGCUUUUGGGUUUAUACAAAGUUUGUGAGAAACUUGUAUUUCCAAGGAAGUGAUUGGGAGCACUAUAGAAUUUCUGAUGAGUAUAUGUGGUUGACAUAUUGUUGAUUGGAAAUGAUGUAGAAUUUCUGGAAAGCAGAUAGGGUUGUUCGAAAAGGUGUUUUCAAAGGAAAACCGGGAUUGAGCUACUUGAACAUUGAGCAUUGACGUCAGUUGUGCUUCCCUGGCAAUGGCUCCAGAAAAGGGCUGAUCCUGCAAUCUCUGGCGUUAGCUAGACGAAUGCUUAUAACAACUAACCUUCUCCUGCAACGGCACCAGAAGAAUACUGAUAGCACUCCCCGACAAUGAAACUGGAAGAAUGUUGUUGAUGGCCUACCAGCGCGUGGGUUCGCAGCAGUUUUCGAGGGUAGAGUAUUCGACCCNNNNNNNNNNNNNNNNNNNNNNNNNNNNNNNNNNNNNNNNNNNNNNNNNNNNNNNNNNNNNNNNNNNNNNNNNNNNNNNNNNNNNNNNNNNNNNNNNNNNNNNNNNNNNNNNNNNNNNNNNNNNNNNNNNNNNNNNNNNNNNNNNNNNNNNNNNGCAGCUGAAUUUGUCGGAUUCAACCACACGUGAAAGAUUAGUAUCUGCAAGCACAGUAGUAACAACAAAGUAAUAUGAUAACAACAGUGUCAGAAACGAUCUGUUGACGGCAGACUAUUCCUAACGAUUGUAUCAAUGGCACCUUCGUUGCCGCGUUGACGGAAGUUGUCAGUUCCCGUCAACGUCCGGUGAACCAAUAGUGUAAGGAGCAAUAGCAGUGGCAAGGAACAGCAGUAGUGACAGCAGUAGCAAGUAGCAACAGUAGCAAGCGACAGUAGUAGCAACAGUAGCAGCAGAGCAAAGCAAGUAACAGGAGUAGCAACAGUAGUAGCAGCAACAGAGCAAGACAAGUAACAACAGUAGCAAAAGUAGCAGCAGAGCAAGGUAAGUAAUAGCAGUAGCAACAGUAGUACAAACUCGUAGGCAAUGGGUCGGUGAUUUGUUUGGAUGAUAUUCAUCNNNNNNNNNNNNNNNNNNNNNNNNNNNNNNNNNNNNNNNNNNNNNNNNNNNNNNNNNNNNNNNNNNNNNNNNNNNNNNNNNNNNNNNNNNNNNNNNNNNNCCCUUAGUGGAAUCACGGCAUCUUGCAUUGUGCGAGGGCGUGAGGAGAUUACGGUGGCCUUAGUGGCAUCUUGGGGAGCAUUGUGCCUCCACACUGCUCUAACGGAGAUUAGCAUCUGCAAGGGUGUGAACUUCGGGAUACAUCAUCGUCUCCCCGUGCCUCGGUUAUCUCUUAGCCGAACCCUUUACUUAUGCACUUUACUUUGUGAUAGACAUAUUGUUUAUUGUAAUAUAUCUUGCUAUCACUUAGUUGUUUACCUUGCUUAGCAUAAGUUGUUGGUGCACGUAGGUGAGCCUAGUUGUUUGUAGGUUUUGUUCUUGACAUAUUAAACGUUAGUUUUAUUCCGCAUUUGUUCAAGCCUAAACCUUAACUAUUUUAAAGCGCCUAUUCACUCCCCCUCUAGGCGACAUCCACGUCCUUUUCAACCUCUGUCAUUCUUAUGCUUUGCUUUUGAUUGAUAUUGAGUAUGACUAUGACUGGAUCUUUGUUGCUAUGAAUUACAAUGUUUAGUGAGCCCUUGUUCUUUGAAAGUGCUCUGCAUUUAUGUUUUGCGGUCUCAGAAAGAGCUAGCGAGAUACCACCUAUUCAUAUUGCUUCAUGCUUGUCCUGAUUGGAGUGUUGGUAUUUGAAACUCAUUAUUAUUUGCUCGUUAGCUGAUUAUGCCAUUGAUAUUAGUUCACCGUGAGACCUUUGUGUCAUUUGCUUAUGUGGUUAACUUGUGAUCUUGCUGAAAUUCUGGUUAUGAGUUAGACAUAGUUGCAACAACAAGAUCAAACAAAGUUUGUGAAAGUUUUUCUUUCUCUCAGUUUGUGAACUGAGUUGCUUGAGGACAAGCAAGGUUUUAAGGUUGGGGGAGUUGAUACGUCUCCAACGUAUCUACUUUUCCAAACUCUUUUGCCCUUGUUUUGGACUAUAAUUUGCAUGAUUUGCAUGGAACUAACAAGGACUAACGCUGUUUUCAGCAGUAUUGCCUUGGUGUUAUUUUUGUGCAGAAAUCAAUGUUCUCCAAACGUCCUGAAAAUUUACGGGGAGCAGUUUUGGAAAAUAUCAAAAAUACAUGCGCCAAGUUCCACCUCAGGGGGUGGGCCAGUGGGCCACAAGUCCCUGCUCCGCCACCACCCCCCUGGUGGCGGUGGGUAGGCUUGUGGUGCCCACAGGCACCUGCCGCCCCCAACUCCAGCUCUAUAAGUUGUCUUUCGUCCCAGAAAAAAUAAAAAGAGAAGUUUUCGUCGUGUUUUUGAUACGGAGGCGCCGCCGCCACCUGUUCUCCAUCUGGAGGGCAGAUCUGGAGUCCGUCUUGGGCUCCGGAGAGGGGAAAUCGUCGCCAACCUUCUUCCCUCUCCAAUACCAUGAAGCUCAUCAUCGUUCAUGAGUAAUCUAUUCAUAGGCUUGCUGGGCGGUGAUGAGUAGGAUGAGCUCUAUCAUGUAAUCGAGUUAGUUUUGAUGCGGAUUGAUCCCUAGUAUCCACUAUGUUCUGAGAUUUGAUGUUGCUACUACUUUGCCAUGCUUAAUGCUUGUCACUAGGGCCCGAGUGCCAUGAUUUCAUAUCNNNNNNNNNNUUGAUGGGGAUUGAUCCCUAGUAUCCACUAUGUUCUGAGAUUCGAUGUUGCUACUACUUUUCCAUGCUUAAUGCUGGUCACUAGGGCCCGAGUGCCAUGAUUUCAUAUCUGAAAUUAUUAUGUUGUCACCAAUAUAUGUGUGUUUUAGAUCCGAUCUUGCAAGUUGUAGCUACCUACUAUGUGUUAUGAUCCGGCAACCCCGGAGUGACAAUAACCGGAACCACUCCCGGUGAUGACCAUAGUUUGAGGANNNNNNNNNNCUGCAAGUUGUAGUUACCUACUAUGUCUUAUGAUCCGGCAACCCCCGAGUGACAAUAACCGGAACCACUCCCGGUGAUGACCAUAGUUUGAGGAGUUCAUGUGUUCACCAAGUGCUAAUGCGUUGGUCCGGUUCUUUAUUAAAAGGAGAACCUUAAUAUCCCGUAGUUUCCUUUUGGACCCCGCUGCCACGGGAGGGAUGGACAAUAGAUGUCAUGCAAGUUCUUUUCCCUAAGCACGUAUGACGACACACGGAAUGCAUGCCUACAUCAUAUUGACGAACGGGAGCUAGCCACUUAUCUCUCUGUGUUAUAGCUGUUGCAUGAUGAAUAUCAUCCAAACAAAUCACCGACCCAUUGCCUANNNNNNNNNNNNNNNNNNNNNNNNNNNNNNNNNNNNNNNNNNNNNNNNNNNNNNNNNNNNNNNNNNNNNNNNNNNNNNNNNNNNNNNNNNNNNNNNNNNNGCAUGCAAGCUUGUGGGCACCUCGUAUGCCUCCCGGACUCCGUUUUCUUGCGGAGGACUCCUUCUGGCCCAGAAAAAAAACUCAAUAUAUAGUUGCCCGAAGGUUUUGAUCUCCGUAUCACGUAGUUUUCCUCUGUUUUUGUUUCGAGCUUGUUGUCUGCCGCAGAUUUAGAGAAAAGAUGUCUCAGGAAUCUGUUGGGGAGAAUGAUCUUCACCAAGUUCAUGAGGAAGUAGAUGCUGAUCUGAAAAGAGUAGAAGUUACAGAAGCCAGGGACCAAGCUAAGGAUAAAACCCAAGCUAGGGAGGAAGUUCAACCUAUGUCAACAUUGAAGACGUUGAAGGAGUAGACUUUCUCCAACCCUUCCUCCACAUGCUGUCUCCAUCCUUGAUUGAAGUCUUGAGGUUUUGCAAAACAACUCGUGCUCACAAUAUUUAUCUUUCUCGUGAAGUUGUUUUGCUGGAAAACCAUGUCACAGAUCUCAAAGGUAUAAAUCAAAGGUUGAUAGCUUUCUUGGAAUCAAAGGCGACAACAACACCACCAUCACCACCAAAGGAAGACAACUAAGCAUUGGUAUGGGCAAUCCCCUUCGCUUCUGCCAAGCUUGGGGGAGUUGCCCUGGUAUCGUAUCACCUUUAUAUCUUUUGCUUUUACCUUUGUUUUAGUUCUUUCCUUUUCAGUUUUUAUUUCUUCUUUUAGAGGAAUAAGUCUUUAGUUUGUAGUUUGAGUCUUUUGCUUUUGUCUCUCCCCCGAUGUAUUCGAGCUUACGAGCUAUAUAAUAAAGAGUGUCUUAGUCAAGGGCUUUGCUUUGUGCCAUGAUCAAAGAGUAUGAAAAGAAUGAUAGCAUGAAAGAUCAUGAGACGAUCUUAUGGAAAGUGAUAACUUCACUUAUGACAUGUAUGAUGAUUGAAACGUGUUGAGAAUAAAUCAACAUAGACAUUAGUCAUUGUUGCAAUUAAUAAGAAGUAAUAAGGAAAGAGUGGUCCACAUAUAAAUAUAUCAUCUUAGACACUUUUUACAAUUGUGAGCACUCACCAAACUAUUACAUUCCUAGGAGUAGAUGUUGAACAAGGAAGACAACAUAAUGAAUUGUGUUUGCUUGGUUCCAAACAAUGUUAUAUGAUUAGAGAUCCCUUAGCAUGUGACGAUUGCUUCCACCUCAUAUUAGCCAAAACCCCCGCACCAAGUAGAGAUACUACUUGUGCAUCCAUAAACCUCAAACCAGUUUUGCCAUGAGAGUCCACCAUACCUACCUAUGGAUUGAAUAAGAUCCUUCAAGUAAGUUGUCAUCGGUGCAAGCAAUAAAAAUUGCUCUCUAAUAUGUAUGAUCUAUUAGUGUGUGGAAAAUAAGCUUUGUACGAACCUGUGAUGAGGAAGACAUAAAAGCGACAGACUGCAUAAUAAAGUUCUUUGUCACAUGAGGCAAUAUAAAGUGACGUUUCUCCGCACUAAGAGGACAUGCAUCCAAACCUCAAAAGCGCAUGACAACCUCUGCUUCCCUCUGCGAAGGGCCUAUAUUGUACCUUUACUUUUUACCCUUGUAAGAGUCAUGGUGAUCAUCACCAAUUCCCUUUUUGCCCUUGUCUUGGCUACCGUCACAUUCUUGGGAAAGAUCUAUAUUCAUAUAUCAACUUGGAGUUGAGUACUCAUGCUUUAUUAUUGUUGACUUUACCCUUGAGGUAAACCGUUGGGAGACAAAACUAUAAGACCAUAUCUUCCUCUGUGUGUAGCUGAAGCUUUGACACCAUGAGUACCACGUGAGUUAUAACAAUUGUGGAAAAUAAAAGAGAUGAUUGAGUAUGUGGGUUUGCCUUACUAGCUCUUAUUUGACUCUUUCUGAUGUUGUGAUAAAUUGCAAUUGCUUCAGUGACUAUUGAUUAUUGUUGGUUACUUCUCGGUAAGGUUUUUGCUUCAUGCUUUGCUUUGUGAAGGAAUUGUUACUUUCCCAUAAGAAUAUUUAUGAUAUAUUAAUGUUCUAUGUGUGAUCAUGAUGCCCUCAUGUUCGUAUUAUGUUUUAUCGACACCUUCGUCCCUCAACAUGUGGACAUGUUUAUGGAACUUGGUUUUCGCUUGAGCACAAGCGAGGUCUAAGCUUGGGGGAGUUGAUACGUCCAUUUUGCAUCAUGCUUUCAUGUUGAUAUUUAUUGCUUCUUGGGCUGUUAUAUUACUUGUGGUACCAUAUUUAUGCCUUUUCUCUCUUAUUUUGCAAGGUUUAUUUGAAGAGGGAGAAUUCAGGCAACUGGAAUUCUGGACUGGAAAAGGAGCAAAUCCUAGUCCACUAUUCUGCACAUCUCCAAAUGCCCUAAAAAUUUACGUGGAUUUUUUUUGGAAUAUAUUAAAAAAUACUGGGCGACAGAACUACUGGAGGGGGCCACCACGGCCCCACAAGCUUGCCCACCGCCACCACCCCCAUGGUGGUGCAGGGCAGGCUUGUGGGCUGCGUGAAGGCCCACUAGCCCCCCUCUUUUUUUUAUAUGAAGCGUCCUGGUCUGGAAAAAAAUCAAUAGGGAGCUUUUUCGUGGUUUCGCCGCCGCCACGAGGCGGAACUUGAGCAGAUCCAAUCUAGAGCUCCAGGAGGACGAUCCUGUCGGGGAAAUUUCCCUCACGGAGGGGGGAAUCGUCGCCAUCGUCAUCACCAACACUCCUCUCGUCGGAGGGGAGGCAGCUUCAUCAAUAUCUUCACCAGCACCAUCUCCUCUCCAAUCACUAGUUCAUCUCUUGUAACCAAUCUUCGUCUCGCAACUCAGAUUGGUACUUGUAAGGUUGCUAGUAGUGUUGAUUACUCUUUGUAGUUGAUGCUAGUUGGAUUACUUGGUGGAAGAGUUUAUGUUCAGAUCCUUGAUGCUAUUCAUUAUACCUCUGGUCAUGAUUAUGAUUAUGUCUUGUGAGUAGUUACUUUUGUUCCUGAGGACAUGGGAUAAGUCAUGCUGAUAAUAGUCAUGUGAAUUUGAUAUUUGUUCGGUAUUUUGAUAUGUUGUAUGUUGUUUUUCCUCUAGUGGUGUUAUGUGAACGUCGACUACAUAACACUUCACCAUAUUUAGGCCUAGAGGAAGGCAUUGUGAAGUAGUAAGUAGAUGAUGGGUUGCUGGAGUGACAGAAGCUUAAACCCCAGUCUAUGCGUUGCUUCGUGAGGGGCUGAUUUGGAUCCAGUAGUUUAAUGCUAUGGUUAGACUUUGUCUUAAUUCUUCUUUUGUAGUUGCGGAUGCUUGCGAGAGAGGUUAAUCAUAAGCGGGAUGCUUGUCCAAGUAAGGGCAGUACCCAAGCGUCGGUCCACCCACAUAUCAAACUAUCAAAGUAACGAACGCGAAUCAUAUGAACAUGAUGAAACUAGCAUGACAGAAAUUCCCGUGUGUCCUCGGGAGCGUUUUUCCUCCUAUAAGACUUUGUUCAGGCUUGUCCCUUGCUACAAAAGGGAUAGGGCCACUUGCUGCACCAUUGCUACUACUUGUUACUUGUUCCUCUUUGCUUGCUACGUUUCACCUUGCUACACAAUCACUUGUUACCGCUACUUUCAGUGCUUGCAGUUAUUACCUUGCUGAAAUCCGUUUAUCAGAGCCUUCUGCUCCUCGUUGGGUUCGACACUCUUACUUAUCAAAAGGACUACGAUUGAUCCCCUAUACUUGUGGGUCAUCAGUAUGGUUGGUCUUCAUUCACUUUUCUCUUGAACUUCAAAAAUUUCAGCAAAAGGAAAUUAUGUUCAGGAGGAAGUUUUAUGGUGGUUCCUCAAGUAAGAAGGGUCCCCCUCUUUCUUUUCGGGAGCCCGAACCUUUUCAACUAAGGGACGCACCGGUACAACCAUCUGAAUGGCCUUCCGAUGAGUUCAUGAUUGAAGCAGGUUUCAAGGAUGAGUUUGAUACACUUGUCCGCAAUGCCGGGUUAGAAGAAUUCCUCUCAGAUAAGUGUGAACAGUAUGCUAUGCUCACUGCCUCUUUCGUGCGUAGAUUUAAAUUUUCAGUUGGCCGUGACUCAUCCAUACUGUUUGAUCUGUACGAUAAAUCUUAUACCGUGGAUUUGGAGGAUUUCAAUAGGAUUUGCAAGAUACCCGAUGGGGGUAGUAUUAAUGAUCCUUCUAAAUCUUCGGUCAGAGACUUUGUCUCUAGUAUAACUGUUGGAGAAACCAGAGAUAUCAUGCAAGCCACCAUAGGAAGCAUCCAUUUCCCUACCUUGCACUACCUUUCCCUCUUCAUAGGUAGGUGCAUUAACGGCAAGGGUGCACAUUGUCACCUAUGCGCUUCGGACCUUAGUAUCCUUAAGAGCGCAGUAACAGGUGACAGGCACUACAGGAAUCAACUUCUUUGCCGUCUGCCAUCACGGACGGCAAAGAGUAAAUCCCGGACAGCAAAGAGAAUAUCACAGACGGCAAAGAAUCUCACGGCCGACAAAAUUUCUGCGUCAGCCUACGACGGCAUCGUACCUUCUUUGCCGUCUGUCUCCCCAAAGCGGGCGACAAAGAGCUUUGCCGUCAGCUUUUCAUAGGAGCAGUUGGCAAAGUGAUCGAGACGGCAGCCAACAGGCGUUGCCUCCGUUAGGGGCUAACGGAGGCUUUGCCGUCUGCCUCCCCCUCUUCUUUGCCGUCUACCUCCCCCCCUCUUCUUUGCCGUCUGCCUCCCCCCUCUUCUUUGUUGUCUGCCUCCUCCUCCCCCUCCACUCUUUGCCGUCUGCCUACCCCUCCCCCCUCCUCCGUGCCCUCUUCUUUGCCGUCUGCCCCCCUGGAAGCAGACGACAAAGAUACUAUAUGGCCAGCUACUACUGCCCAGGUUGCACAGCUGGGCGCCACGUGGCACCUUUGCCGUCGGCCAGCUGAUGGCAAAGGCCUUUGCCAUCAGCUAGCAGACGGAAAAGAGCCUAUAUUGUCACAUUUUUGUUUAUUUUUUCUAUUUCACAGCACAUAUACAUAUAAUUCAUAGCACAUAUAUGAUAAAUAGGUCACAACACAUAUAUGAUAUACAUAUAAAGCUCAUCAAUGCCAUUUGUUCAUCAACGUACAUCCCAUAUAUCAAAAGAACCAACACAUACAAAGUUUCAUCCAUAUAUACAUACAUAUAGUUGCACAUAUAUUGUUCAUCCAUAUAUACAUAUACAUAUAGUUCCACAUUGUUCAUCAACUCAAAUAAAAACGGAAACUAAAGCACUCCAAUGCCAGCUUCCAUGCAUGUAGUACAUCCAAUCUGCAAAAUGGGAAUAAGAAAGUAAGAAGAAGAAGAACAACAACAUAUAUAUGAAAAAUAAGCUAAAUUGAAGAAGAAAGAUAAGAAGGAAGAAGAGAACAAGGAGAAGAAAAACAAGAAGGAGGAGGAGGAGGAGGAGGAGGAGGGGAAGGGGAAGGAGAAGGAUAAGGAGGAGGAGAAGAAGAAAAAAUAAGAGAAGGAGAAGGAGAAGGAGGAGGAGGAGAAGGAGGAGAGAAGAAGAAGGAGAAGAAGGAGGGCUAUUUCUUCUUCUUCUCCUCCUUCUCCUUCUUCUUCUCUUCUUCUCCUCCUCCUCCUUCUUCUUCUCCUUCUCCUUUUCCUUCUCUUCUUCUCUUCUUCUUCUUCUUCUUCCUUCUUUUCAUUUCUCCUAUUCUCCUCUUCUUGGAGCUAAAUUAGCUAACUAUAUAAUAUUAAUGAGCUAACCAAGGUUCUUAUGCCAUUUUGAGCUUAUUAUGGCAUUUUGGGGCUAAAUGGGUUAAAUAUGUCAUUGUUAGGGAAAUUAAGGCAAGGAGAAUAUGAAAGAGGAGAAGAAAGAGGAGGAUGAGGAGAAGAAGAAGAAAAAGAAGAAGGAGGAGAAGCAGGAGGAGGAGAAGGACUAGAAGGUCCUUGGCCUUCUCCUCCUUCUCCUCCUCCUCCUCCUCCUUCUCCUUCUCCUCCUCCUCCUUCUCCUUCUCCUUCUCUUCUCUUUCUCUUCUUAUUUUUGUUCUUGCUUUUCAUUUCUCCUCUUCUCCUCUUCUUGGAGCUAAAUUAGCUAACUAUGUCUUUUUGGAGCUAAAUGGGCUAAUUAUCCCAUUUUANNNNNNNNNNNNNNNNNNNNNNNNNNNNNNNNNNNNNNNNNNNNNNNNNNNNNNNNNNNNNNNNNNNNNNNNNNNNNNNNNNNNNNNNNNNNNNNNNNNNCCUCCUCCUUCUCCUCCUUCUUCUUUAUUUCUUCUUCUUCUCCUCCUCCUCCUCUUUCUUCUCCUAUUUCAUAUUCUCCUUGCCUUAAUUUCCCCAACAAUGACAUAAUUAGCCCAUUUAGCUCCAAAAUGCCAUAAUAACCUCAAAAUGGCAUAAGAACCUUGGUUAGCUCAUUAAUAUUAUAUACUUAGCUUGUUUUCCUCUAAAAUGAGAUAAUUAGCCCAUUUAGCUCCAAAAAGACAUAGUUAGCUAAUUUAGCUCCAACAAGAGGAGAAGAGGAGAAGAAAUAGGAAAAAUGAAAAGAAAGAAGAAGCAGAAGAAGAGAAGAAGGAGAAGGAGGAGGAGGAGGAGGAGAAAGAGGAGAAGGCCAAGGACCUUCUAGUCCUUCUCCUCCUCCUCCUCCUUCUCCUCCUUCUUCUUUAUUUCUUCUUCUUCUCCUCCUCCUCCUCUUUCUUCUCCUAUUUCAUAUUCUCCUUGCCUUAAUUUCCCCAACAAUCACAUAAUUAGCCCAUUUAGCUACCAAAAUGCCAUAAUAACCUANNNNNNNNNNNNNNNNNNNNNNNNNNNNNNNNNNNNNNNNNNNNNNNNNNNNNNNNNNNNNNNNNNNNNNNNNNNNNNNNNNNNNNNNNNNNNNNNNNNNAAUUAUGAUAGUUGCUCUUUGAUUGAAUGUAUUUAUUUGAUGCAAUCCAUGCUAAACUCUCCACACGCGUAUAGCCAAAACAAGGCCUUUACCAAUCAUAUCGUCAAUGCUAUGAUGAAAUCUCUUGAAGAGAAACUUGAGUUGGAAGUUUUUAUCCCUAGAUAACUUCAUGAUGAGUGGAAACGUACUAUCAAAAUCAAGAUAAAAACUAUGAAUGCAAUGCUUUGUGUGAUUUGGGUGCUAGUGUUUCCACUAUUCCAAAGUCUUUAUGUGAUGUUCUAGGCUUCAAUGAGAUUGAUGAGUGCUCUCUUAAUUUGCAUCUUGCGGAUUCUACUGUUACGAAACCCAUGGGAAGGAUCAAUGAUGGUCUUAUUAUUGCAAAUAGGAACUAUGUACCCGUGGAUUUCAUUGUGCUUGAUAUUGAUUGCAAUCCGACAUGUCCCAUCAUUCUUGGUAGACCUUUCCUAAGGACUAUUGGUGUUGUCAUCGAUAUGAAGGAAGGGAAUAUUAGAUUUCAAUUUCCAUUAAAGAAGGGCAUGGAACAUUUUCCUAGAAAGAAAAUAAGAUUGCCUUAUGAAUCCAUGAUGAGUGCUACUUAUGGUUUGAGCACCAAAGACGACGAUACGUGAUUCUAUCGCCUUAUGCCUAGCUAAGGGCGUUAAACAAUAGCGCUUGUUGGGAGGCAACCCACUGAAUUUAUCUUUGCUUUUUUCUUUUUGUUUUUUGUGUCCACACCAUCAUAAUUCUAUUAUGAUUCUUUUUUUGUGUUUAUUUUUGUGUUUGAUCCAAGUAAAACCUUUAUGACUAGUUUUGGUGAUGGUUGUUUGAUCUUGCUAAAAAAAGACAGAAACUUUGCGCUCACGAAAUUAUUUUUCAUUCCUAUACAGGAAGAGAUUUUGAGUUGAUUCUUUUUGCUGCUGGUCAUAAUUUUUCAGAAUUUGUGAGAUACCAGAAGUACACGAAGUAUACACAUUGCCACAGACUGGUCUGUUUUUCAUAGAUUCUGUUUUUGUUGUGUUGAUUGCUUAUUUUGAUGAAACUAUGGAUACUAUCGGGGGGUACUAGCCAUGGAAAAGUGAGAAUACAGUAAUCUAACACCAAUAUAAAUAGAAAUCAAGUUUGCUACAGUACCUAAAGAGUUGGUCGUUUGUUUUCUUGUGCUAAUGAUAUCACGAGUUUCUAUUUAAGUUUUGUGGUGUGAAGUUUUCAAGUUUUGGGUGAUGUUCUCAUGGACAACGGGAUAAAGAGUGGAAAGAGCUCAAGCUUGGGGAUGUCCAAGGCAUCCCAAGCAAAAUUCAAGGACACCAAAAAGCCUAAGCUUGGGGAUGCCCCGGGAAUGCAUCCCCUCUUUCGUCUUCAAUCCAUCGGUAACAUUACUUAGAGCUAUAUUUUUAUUCACCACAUGAUAUGUGUUUUGCUUGGAGCGUCGUGUAUUAUAGGAGUCUUUUCUUUUUGUUGUGUCACAAUCAUCCUUGCUUCAUGAUACGUCUCCAACGUAUCUACAAAUUUUGAUGGUUCCACGCUAUUAUCUUGUCAACUUUGGAUGUUUUAUAUGCAUGAAUAUGCUAUUUUAUAUCUUUUUUGGGACUAACCUAUUAACUCAGUGCCAAGUGCCAGUUUCUAUUUUUUCGUGUUUUUGAUCCUUUUUUAGACGGAGUCCAAAUGGAAUAAAACUUUCGCGAUGAUUUUUUUUACCAAAAGAGACCCCCAAAGCUUUGGAAGAAGGCCAGAAGAGCCACGAGGGAGUCACAAGCCCAAGAGGCGCCCCCACCCCCCUAGGCCACACCAACCAGGCUUGUGGCCUCCUCGUGGGCCCAACCGACGUAAUUCCAUUCCCAUAAAUUCCUAUAAAUUCAGAAACCCCCAAAAAGAAACCUAGAUCGGGAGUUCCACGGCCGCAAGCCUAUGUAGCCACCAAAAACCAAUAUGGAGCCCGUUCUGGCACAUUGCCGGAGGGGGAGCCCAUCUCCGGUGGUCAUCUUCAUCAUCCCGGCGAUCUCCAUGACGAGGAGGGAGUAGUUCUCCCUCGGGGCUGAGGGUAUGUAGAAGUAGCUAUGUGUUUGAUCUCUCUCUCUCUCUCGUGUUCUUGAGAUGUCUUGAACUCGAUGUACCGCGGGCUUUGCUACUAUAGUUGGAUCGUAUGAUGUUCUUCCCCCUCUCCCUUCUUGUAAUGAAUUGAGUUUCCCCUUUGAAGUUAUCUUAUCGGAUUGAGUCUUUAAGAACACUUGAUGUAUGUCUUGCACGUGUCUAUCUGUGGUGCCAAUGGGAUAUUCAUGUGAGUACUUGAUGUAUGUUUUGGUGAUCAACUUGCGGGUUUCGUGACAUCGGGAACCUAUGCAUAUGGGUUGGCACACGUUUUGACUCUCCGGUAGAAACUUUGGGCACUCUUUGAAGUUAUAUGUGUUGGUUGAAUAUAUGAUUCUGAGAUUGUGUGAUGCAUAUCGUAUAAUCAUGCCCACGGAUACUUGAGGUGACAAUGGAGUAUCCAGGUGACAUUAGGGUCUUGGUUGAUGUGUGCCUUAUGUUACUCUAGUACGAUCUCCAGGAUAGAUUGAACCGAAAGAAUAGCUUCGUGUUAUUUUACUACGGACUCUUGAAUAGAUCGAUCAGAAAGAAUAACUUUGUGGUGGUUUCGUACCCGACAAUAAUCUCUUCGUUUGUUCUCCAUUAUUAGUGACUUUGGAGUGACUCUUUGUUGCAUGUUGAGGGCUAGUUGUAUGAUCCAAUUAUGUUAUCAUUGUUGAGAGAACUUCACUAGUGAAAGUAUGAACCCUAGGCCUUGUUUCCACUCAUUGCAAUACCGUUCGUGCUCGCUUUUACUAUUAGUUACCUUGCUUUUUUUGUAAUUUCAGAUUAAAAAAACCUAUAUCUACCAUCCAUUUUGCAAUUGUAUCACCAUCUCUUCGCCGAACUAGUGCACCUAUACAACUUACCAUUGUAUUGGGUGCGUUGGGGACACAAGAGACUCUUUGUUAUUUGGUUGCAGGGUUGCUUGAGAGAGACCAUCUUCAUCCUACGCCUCCCGUGGAUUGAUAAACCUUAGGUCACCCACUUGAGGGAAAAUUUCUACUAUCCUACAAAGCUCUGCACUUGAAGGCCCAACAACGUGUACAAGGAGAAGGUUGUGUAGUAGACAUCAAGCUCUUUUCUGGCGCCGUUGUCAGGGAGGCUAUGUAAGCGGCCCUCACCUCCUGUCAACGAAGCUCUUUUCCGGCGCCGUUGCCGGGGAGGUUAGCGCUUGAAGGUAUAUCUUUAGAUCUUGUAUUCGAAUCUUUUUGUUUCUUGUUCUUUCUCUAGAAAACUACAAAAAAAUGGAAUUGAGGAUGCCUCAUAUGCUCCAUCUUUUCAAUGUCUUUCGUGAGCAUGAUGGGAAGGAAAAUUGUGCUCAAGUGAUGAAAGAAGAAUUACAUAGAAUGCUUGGCAUAGAAUAUGUGAAUGAUGAGCAUGAUUGCAAUGUUGUUAGCAUGAAUUCUUUGAAUACCCAUGAUGCUAAUAAUAUGCAAACCACAAGCUUGGGGAUGCUAUAUUUGAUGAAGAUGAUCUUUUUAGUUCUUCCACUUUGAAUGAUCAAAAUCAUUUUGAUGAAAGCAUGCCCCCUAUCUAUGAUGAUUAUUGUGAGGAUACUUAUGCUAUAAAUAAGAGGGAUGAUAAAACUUGUCAUACUCUCGAGAACCCCUUUGCUAAACCUUGCUUUUUCAUUGUGGACACAAUUUGUAGUGCUCAAGUCUUUUAUGAUAAUACCACUACUAUUCUUGAGAAUAUAUUUCCUUAUGUGGAGAGUAGUAAAAUUCAUAAGCUUGUAGAUCAUGAAAAGAAAGCCUUAAGUGUUGGUUAUAUUGUUGAAUUCAUUCAUGAUGCUACUGAAAAUUACUAUGAGAGAGGAUCAUAUGCUUCUACUUAUUGCAAUAGUAUCAAGCUUCCUCUCCAUGUGUUGAAAUUUUUGAAGCUAUGCUUGUUUUGCCUUCCUAUGCUAGUUGAUUCUUAUUCCAACAAGUUAUUUGUUCACAAAAUCCCUAUGCAUAGGAAGUGGGUUAGACUUAAAUGUUCUAGCCAUAUGCUCCAUGAUGCUCUCGUUGUGCUUCAAUCCUUAUCUUUUAUGUGAGCAUCAUUGAAAUCAUCAUGCCUAACUAAGGGCUUUAAACAAUAGCGCUUGUUGGGAGGCAACCCAAUGAAUUUAUUUUUGCUUUUUGCUUUCUGUUUUGUUUUGUCCACGCCAUCAUAAUUCUGUUAUGAUUGUGUUUUUUGUGUUUUAAUUAGUGUUUGUGCCAAGUAAAGCCUUUAUGAUUAGUUUGGGUGAUAGCUAUUUAAUCAUGCUGAAAAAGACUGAAACUUUCUGCUCACAAAAUUAUUUUUAAUUUCUAUCCAGAGAGAGAUUUUGAGCUGAUUCUUUUUUCUUCUGACUAAUACGCAAAUUUUCCUAAUUCUCAUCAUUUUUAAGAAUUUUUGGAGGUGCAUAAGUAUGGUUCUCAUUCGGAUCAUUACACACUGUUCUGUUUUUGACAGAUUCUGUUUUCAAUACAUAGUUUUCUUGUUUUGGUGUUUCCAUAGAUUAUUUUGAGUAAUAUUAAUUGUGGAAAUAGUAAGAUACAUUAGGCAUUGUGUGAAAAAAAUUAUGAGUCUUGUUUUGACAGUACCCAAGUGAUUGAUUUGCUCGUUAUCAUACUAACCCAUCUCACGAAGUUCCGUUAAGUUUUGUGUUGUGAAGUUUUCAAGUUUUGGGUAGAGUUUCGAUGGACUAUUGAACAAGGAGUGGCAAGAGCCUAAGAUUGGGGAUGCCCAAGGCACCCCAAAGCCAUAUGAAAGGACACCAAAGAGCCUAACCUUGGGGAUGCCCCGGGAAGGCAUCCCCUCUUUUGUCUUCAAUCCAUCGGUAACUUUACUUGGGGCUAUAUUUUUAUUCACCACAUGAUAUGUGUUUUGCUUGGAGCGUCGUGUAUUAUAGGAGUCUUUUCUUUUCGUUGUGUCACAAUCAUUCUUGCUGCACACCUUUUGGGAGAGUCUUCACAUAUCCAAAUAAUUAUUCAACUACUCAUUGAUCUUCACUUAUAUCUUUUGGAGUAGUUUGUCUUUUGCUCUAGUGCUUCACUUAAAUCUUUGUAGAGCACGGUGGUGUCAUAUUUUGUAGAAAUAAAAACUCUCGAUCUUCACUUAUAUCUUUUUGAGAGUGCUCUCUCUAAGUAACUUGGUAAUUGGCGUGUGCUAUGAAAUUAGUCCUAAAUAUGAUAGGCAUCCAAAGAGGAUAUAAUAAAAACUUCCAUAUUCAAGUGCACCGAUUAGUAAGAGAAGUUUGAUUCCUCACAAUUAGUUUUGAGAUAUGGAUAUAGUAAUAUUAGAGUUAUGUUAGUAGGUUUUUGUGAAUCUAGAAAUACUUGUGUUGAAGUUAGUGAUUCUCGUAGCAUGCACGUAUGGUGAACCGCUAUGUUAGGAAGUCGGAGCAUAAUUGAUUUAUUGAUUGUCAUCCUUUGUGUGGCGGUCGGGAUCGCGCCAUGGUUAACAACUACCAACCCUUCCCCUAGGAGUAUGCGUUUAGAACUUUGUUUCGAUUACUAAUAAAAACUUUCGCAAUAAGUAUGUGAGUUCUUCAUGACUAAUGUGAGUCCAUGGUAUAGAUGCACUUUCACCUUCCACCAUUGCUAGCCUCUCUAGUGUCGCGUAAUUUUCGCCGGUGCACAAACCCACCAUAUGCCUUCCUCAAAACAGCCACGAUACCUACCUACUAUGGCAUUUUCAUAGCCAUUCCGAGAUAUAUUGUCAUGUAACUCCCACCAUUCUAUCUCAUGACUUGUGCCAUCACUCUCAUAUUGCCAUUGCAUGAUCGUAAGAUAGCUAGUGAGUCAUACGCCAAGCUAGAUCGUUGCACAUCCCGGUACACUGCUGGAGGGAUUUCCUCUAGAGUCAUCAUUGUUCUAAGCAUUGAGCUUUGAGUAAAUUAAAGUGUGAUGAUCAUCAUUAUUAGAGAAUUGUCCCAUGUGAGGGGGAAAAAGGCCAAAGUUUCCCACACAAAAAAAAGAUAUGGAAAGAGGCCAAAGAGCCUAAACAAAAAAAGAGAAAAAUAGAGAAGGGACAAUGCUACUAUCUUUUCCACACUUAUGCUUCAUAAUAGCACCAUGGUCUUCAUGAUUGAGAGUCUCUUGAUUUGUCACUUCCAUAUACUAGUGCGAAUUUUCAUUAUAUAACUUGGCUUGUAUAUUCCAAUGAUGGGCUUCCUAAAAAUUGCCCUAGGUCUUCGUGAGCAAGCAAGUUGGGUGCACACCCACUAGUUUUCCUUUUGAGCUUCCACGCACUUAUAGCUCUUGUGCAUCCGUUGCUUGGCAAUCCCUACUCAUUCACAUUGAUAUCUAUUGAUGGGCAUCUCCAUAGCCCAUUGAUACGCCGAGUCAAUGUGACCAUCUUCUCCUUUUUGCCUCACAACCUCCACCACACUCUAUUCCACCUAUAGUGUUAUAUCCAUGGCUCGCACUCAUGUAUUGCAUGAGAGUUCAAAAAGUUUGAGAAAGUAAGAGUGCAAAAACAAUUACUUGGCCAAUACCGGGGUUGUGCAUGAUUUAAAUUCGUUGUGUGGGGAUGAUAGAGCAUAGCCAGACUAUAUGAUUUUGUAGGGAUAACUUUCUUUGGCCUUGUUAUUUCAAAAGUUAAUGAUUACUUUGCUAGUUUGCUUGAAGUAUUAUUGUUUCCAUGUCAAUAGUAAACUAUUGUUUUGAAUCUUACGGAUCUGAACAUUCAUGCCACAAGAAAGAAGUUACAAAGGACAAAUAUGUUAGGUAGCAUUCCACAUCAAAAAUUCGGUCUUUAUCACUUCCCUACUCGAGGACGAGCAGGAGUUAAGCUUGGGGAUGCUUGAUACGUCUCCAACAUAUCUAUAAAUUUUUAUGUUUCCAUGCUAUUAUCUUGUCAACUUUGGAUGUUUUAUAUGCAUGAAUAUUCUAUUUUAUAUCUUUUUUGGGACUAACCUAUUAACUCAGUGCCAAGUGCCAGUUUCUGUUUUUUCUGUGUUUUUGACCCAUUUUCAGACGGAGUCCAAAUGGAAUAAAACUUUUGCGAUGAUUUUUUUGGGACCAAAAGAGACCCCCGAAGCUUUGGAAGAAGGCCAGAAGAGUCACGAGAGAGUCACAAACCCAGGAGGCGCCCCCACCCCCCUAGGCCACACCUACCAGGCUUGUGACCUCCUCGUGGGCCCAACCGACGUAAUUCCACUGCCAUAAAUUCCUAUAAAUUUAGAAACCCCCAAAAAGAAACCUAUAUCAGGAGUUCCGCCGCCGCAAGCCUCUGUAGCCACCAAAAACCAAUCUGGAGCCCAUUCCGGCACCCUGUCGGAGGGGGAACCCAUCUCCGGUGCCAUCUUCAUCAUCCCGACGAUCUCCAUGAUGAGGAGGGAGUAGUUCUCCCUCGGGGCUGAGGGUAUGUACCAGUAGCUAUGUGUUUGAUCUCUCUCUCUCUCUCGUGUUCUUGAGAUGUCUUGAUCUCGAUGUACCGCGGGCUUUGCUACUCUAGUUGGUUCUUAUGAUGUUCUUCCCCCUCUCCCUUCUUGUAAUGAAUUGAGGUUCCCCUUUGAAGUUAUCUUAUCGGAUUGAGUCUUUAAGAACACUUGAUGUAUGUCUUGCACGUGUCUAUUUGUGGUGACCAUGGGAUAUCCAUGUGAGUACUUGAUGUAUGUUUUGGUGAUCAACUUGCGGGUUUCGUGACAUCGGGAACCUAUGCAUAUGGGUUGGCACACGUUUUGACUCUCCGGUAGAAACUUUGGGGCACUCUUUGAAGUUCUAUGUGUUGGUUGAAUAGAUGAUUCUGAGAUUGUGUGAUGCAUAUCAUAUAAUCAUGCCCACGGAUACUUGAGGUGGCAAUGGAGUAUCUAGGUGACAUUAGGGUCUUGGUUGAUGUGUGUCUUAAGGUGUUAUUCUAGUACGAACUCUAGGAUAGAUUGAACGGAAAGAAUAGCUUUGUGUUAUUUUACUACGGACUCUUGAAUAGAUCGAUCAGAAAGAAUAACUUUGUGGUGGUUUCGUACCCGACAAUAAUCUCUUCGUUUGUUCUCCGCUAUUAGUGACUUUGGAGUGACUCUUUCUUGCAUGUUGAGGGCUAGUUAUAUGAUCCAAUUAUGUUAUCAUUGUUGAGAGAACUUCACUAGUGAAAGUAUGAACCCUAGGCCUUGUUUCCAUGCAUUGCAAUACCGUUCGUGCUCGCUUUUACUAUUAGUUACCUUGUUGCUUUUGUAAUUUCAGAUUACAAAAACCUAUAUAUACCAUCCAUUUUGCACUUGUAUCACCAUAUCUUCACCGAACUAGUGCACCUAUACAACUUACCGUUGUAUUGGGUGUGUUGGGGACACAAGAGACUCUUUGUUAUUUGGUUGCAGGGUUGCUUGAGAGAGACCAUCUUCAUCCUACGCCUCCCACGGAUUGAUAAACCUUAGGUCACCCACUUGAGGGAAAAUUGCUACUGUCCUACAAACCUCUGCACUUGGAGGCCCAACAACGUCUACAAGGAGAAGGUUGCGUAGUAGACAUCACUGCACACCUUUUUGAGAGAGACAUGCACUCAUCGUGAAUUUGCUAGAAUACUCAUUGAGCUUCGCUUAUAUCUUUUGAGUUAGGCAAUUUAGCUCGCAUGUGCUUCACUUAUAUCUUUUGAGCUAGAUAACUUUGCUCUAGUGCUUCACUUAGAUCUUUUUAGAACACGGCGGUGUCAUAUUUUGGAGAAAUAAUAACUCUCGAUCUUCACUUAUAUCUUUUUGAGAGUGCUCUCUCUGAGUAACUUGGUAAUUGGCUUGUGCUAUGAAAGUAGUCCUAAAGAUGAUAGGCAUCCAAAGAGUAUAUAAUAAAAAACUUCCAUAUUCAUGUGCAUUGAUUAUAAAGAGAAGUUUGAUUCCUCUCAAUUAGUUUUGAGACAUGGAUAUGGUAAUAUUAGAGUUAUGUUAGUAGGGUGUUAUGAAUCUAGAAAUACUUGUGUUGAAGUUAGUGAUUCCCGUAUCAUGCACGUAUGGUGAACCGCUAUGUUAGGAAGUCGGAGCAUGAUUGAUUUAUUGAUUGUCAACCUUUGUGUUGCGGUCGGGAUCGCGCGAUGGUUAACACCUACCAACCCUUCCCCUAGGAGAAUGCGUUUAGCACUUUGUUUCGAUUACCAAUAAAACUUCCGCAAUAAGUAUAUGAGUUCUUCAUGACUAAUGUGAGUCCAUGGUAUAGAUGCACUUUCACCUUUCACCGUUGCUAGCCUCUCUAGUGCCGCGCAACUUUCGCCAGUGCACAAAACCACCAUAUACCUUCCUCAAAACAGCCACCAUACCUACCUAUCAUGGCCUUUUCAUAGCCAUUCCGAGAUAUAUUGCCAUGAAACUCCCACCGUUCCGUCUCAUGACUUGUGCGGUAAGCUAGCGAGAUGUUUCAACGGCAUACGCUAAGCUAGAUCAUUGCACAUCCGGGUACACUGUCGGAGGCAUUUCCUAUAGAGUCAUCAUUGCUCUAAGUAUUGAGUUGUGAGUAAAUAAAAGUGUGAUGAUCAUCAUUAUUAGAGCAUUGUCCCAUGUGAGGAAAUAAAAAAGAAGAGGCCAAAGAUGCCCACCAAAAAAAUGAAAAGAGGCCAAAGAGCCCAAAAAAAGAGAGAGAAAAAGAGAGAAGGGACAAUGCUACUAUCUUUUUCCACACUUGUGCUUCAAAAUAGCACCAUGUUCUUCAUGAUUGAGAGUCUCUUGUUUUGUCACCUCCUUAUACUAGUGGGAAUCUUCAUUAUAUAACUUGGCUUGUAUAUUCCAAUGAUGGGCUUCCUCAAAAUUUCCCUAGGUCUUCGUGAGCAAGCAAGUUGGGUGCACACCCACUAGUUCUCCUUUUGAGCUUUCACUCACUUAUAGCUCUAAGUGCAUCCGUUGCAUGGUAACCCCUACUCAUUCACAUUGAUAUCUAUUGAUGGGCAUCUCCAUAGCCCUCUGAUACGCCGAUUCGAUGUGACCAUCUCCUUAUUUUUGCCUCACAACCUCAACCACACUCUAUUCCACCUAUAGUGCUAUAUCCAUGGAUCACGCUCAUGUAUUGCGUGAGAGUUGAAAAAGUUCGAGAAAGUAAGAGUGCGAAAACAAUUACUUGGCUAAUACCGGGGUUGUGCAUGAUUUAAAUUUGUUGUGUGGGGAUAAUGGAGCAUAGCCAUACUAUAUGAUUUUGUAGGGAUAACUUUCUUCGGCCUUGUUAUUUCGAAAGUUCAUGAUUACCUUGCUAGUUUGCUUGAAGUAUUAUUGUUUUCAUGUCAAUAGAAAACUAUUUUUUUGAAUCUUACGGAUCUGAACAUUCAUGUCACAUGAAAAGAAGUUACAAAGGACAAAUAUGUUAGGUAGCAUUCCACAUCAAAAAUUCAGUCUUUAUCACUUCCCUACUCGAGGACGAGCAGGAUUUAAGCUUGGGGAUGCUUGCUACGUCUCCAACGUAUCUAUAAUUUUUGAUGGUUCCAUGCUAUUAUAUUGUCAACUUUGGAUGUUUUGUAUGCAUUUUAUAUCUUCUUGGGACUAACCGAUUAACUCAGUGCCAAGUGCUAGUUCCUGUUUUUUCCGUGUUUUUGACCUUUUUCAGAGGAGAAUAUCAAACGGAGUCCAAACGGAAUAAAACCUCCGGAAAGAUUUUUUUCCCGAAACAGAAGAUACGCAGGGAACUUGAGAACCAAGGCAAAGGGCUCCGGGGGAGGCCACAAGCCCCCUAGCCGCGGUCUGGGGGCACGCCUAGCAGGCUUGUGGGCCCCCCAUGGCUCCUUUGCCCUACCUCUUCCGCCUAUAAAUUACCUAAAAAUCUGAAACCACGGGAGAGAGCCACGAAAUACUUUUCCGCCGCCGCAAGCUUCUGUCUCCGCAAGAUCCCAUCUGGGGACCGUUCUGGUGCCUUGUUGGAGGGGGGUUCGGACACGGAGGGCUUCUUCAUCAACACCAUUGCUUCUCCGAUGGUGCGUGAGUAGUUCACCACACACCUUCGGGUCCAUAGCUAGUAGCUAGAUGGCUUCUUCUCUCUCUUGGAUCUUCAAUACAAAGUUCUCCAUGAUCUUCAUGGAGAUCUAUCCGAUGUAAUCCUAUUUUGUGGUGUGUUUAUCGAGAUCCGAUGAAUUGUGGAUUUAUGAUCAGAUUAUCUAUGAAUCUUAUUUGAGUCUCCUCUGAUCUCUUAUAUGCAUGAUUUCAUAUCCUUGUAAUUCUCUUCGAGUUGUGGGUUUCGUUUGGCCAACUUGAUCUAUAAUUCUUGCAAUGGGAGAAGUGCUUUGGGUUCAUACCGUGCGGUGACCUCACCCAGUGACAGAAGGGCUAGCGAGGCACGCAUCAUGUUUUUGCCAUCAAGGGUAAAAAGAUGGGAUUUAUAUCUAUUGCAUGAAUUUAUCCCUCUACAUCAUGUCAUCUUGCUUAAGGCGUUACUCUGUUUGUUAUUAACUCAAUACACUAGAUGCAUGCUGGAUAGCGGUCGAUGUGUGGAGUAAUCGUAGUAGAUGCAGAAAGUAUCGGUCUACUUGUCUCAGACGUGAUGCCUAUAUGUAUGAUCAUUGCCUUAGAUAUCGUCAUGACUUUGCGCGGUUCUAUCAAUUGCUCGACAGUAAUUCGUUCACCCACCUUAAUAUUUGCUAUCUUGAGAGAAGCCUCUAGUGAACACUAUGGCCCCCGGGUCUACUUCACAUCAUAUUUUCUGCUCUACACUUUUACUUUGUUGCACUUUCCACCUUCAUAUCUCACCUUGCAGUUAACCGUGAAGGGAUUGACAACCCCUUUGUAGCGUUGGGUGCAAGUUUGCUUGUUUUGGGCAGGUACUUUGGAGACUUGCCUUGAUACUCCUACUAGAUUGAUACCUUGGUUCUCAAACUGAGGGAAAUACUUACUGCUACUGUGUUGCAUCAUCCUUUCCUCUUCAAGGGAAAAACCAAGGCAAGCUCAAGAGGUAGCAUACUACUAGGCUUUUCCCUAGUAGUGUAUAUUCUUGGAGCAAUCAUAGCACGCAGGUUGCAACUUAACUCUAACAGAGGCCAUUUUUAUGGCGAGAUUUAUGCUUCAUGUUUAGCUAAGAAGUGUGGCGUGUCACCGCGGUCUAGUGAUCCUAUUCUUCCUACUCGGUAUUUCGAUUUUGAGGCCAUGAAGCACCACAAGUUCAUAAAGGCCCCCGCUACUGAUUAUAAUUACAAACUAAUGUUGAAUAAGAAAUAUAUUAUGCAUGUUAUCUUGUCGGCACCUUCCCUCUUUGAUUAUGAGGGAAAAGGAAGAUAUUAUGUCUAUGAGAGGGAGGCGCAUGAGUGCAACAUAGUAGUGGAGGCUGCCCGUCAGGCCGCGGAGGCUGUACCAAGGGAUUCCAUGAGUUACCAUACCGAGUAUUACCCAGGCCACUACGGAUGGUGAUUACCAAGCUAGGCCGAAAGCCUAAGCUUUGGGAGUACGUGCUUCCACCGACUUUACAUUCAUGCUUACAUAUUCUAGUUGUCGGCUUUCACACUCUUGCAUUGUAUUAUCCAUGUUAGAUUUAUUUUCUUGCCUUCCUCUUGUAUGUUUGAAUAACUUGUAGAAAACUCAAAAAGAUUUGUCUUUUGUUCCUUUACUUUUUGGGAGAUUUCCCGUGUAAAAGUUUUUUUCUCGUUUUAGUUUUCACUUCUUUAAUAUGAUUUCUUCAAGAAAAACGAAAAAAUUCCAAAAAUAUUUUAGUUUUUUUUUUCUGAAUUUCUUUUCAUUUCAUUGAGUGUACCCAAGGGGAAGACCAUGAUGAAAAUGUUGAGUGACUCUCAUAUGGAUUGUUAUUGAUCUAAUAAACAGCCCAGAUUACUUUAUCUUCUCCUUUCGAAUAAAAUGUUGUAGGUUCCAACUUAGUCCACCACACUCUUGCAUUAAUAUUAUUUUCAUAUCGUUCGGUCGUGCAAGUGAAAGGCAAUAAUGACGAUAUUUGAUGAAGUGACCGUGGUAGAGAGAAGCACGUAUGAACUCAACUUGUUUUUAUUUUUGUAAAUAUAUUUAGACCAGUAUCCAUGAUUUAGCAUAUUAUGACCAAACAUGUUUACAAUAACAAUUAGAUAUUGUAGUUGUUCAUGCCAUGCUUAAGUAGCUAGGAGUGGAUAAUGAUUUAUAUUGGAUGUCAACAUGCAUUAAAAUGGUUGUGAUGUAGUAUGAUGAUAUGGUAUCCUCCUCUGGAUGUUCGAGUGGCUUGACUUGGCACAUGUUCAUGCAUGUAGUUGAAUCAAAACCAACAUAGAAUCCACGAUAUUUAUGUUCAUGGUGUUUAUAUCCUACUCACGCUAGUAUGCAACGAUAAUUAUUCAUAAAGUAUGUUCAUGAUCGUCUUUGCUCUCUAGCUGGUCACUUCCAUAACUAUUUGCUAGCAUUCGCCUGUACUAAGCGGGAAUAUUUAUUGUGCAUUAAAGUCCUUGAAACAAAGUUAUUCCACAUGAGUCCACUAUAUCUAUCUAUAUGCGUUAUUACCCUGUCGUUCCAAGUAAAUUUGCAUGUGCCACCUCUAUAUUUCAGAUGAACUUAUAUUUUGUGUGCCUAGACCUCUCAUGGAGCGACAGGGGGCAGUCAGUAUCCUCAAUGCUAAGCUGGUUAUUCUCAUGAUGAGUGUUUAUUCACUCGUCCUUGCAUGAGAUGGGUUGGUAAAAAGGGACUACCAAUCCCGAAAUCAUAGAUCGCAAAUAAUUAAACAAACCCCCCUGGAUCGUUGUUGGUAUGGAUGUCACCCGUGGAUUCGGCUAGCCGUGCAGUGUGUUUGUUGGUGGAGCGGGACUAAACCUUUAUUUUUACCGCUUGGGAACCGCCGCUGAUUUGUUUUAACAUGGAAGAUAUCGAUAAGUCUUGCUCGUAACAUUGACAGGAAGGGCGUACCUCCAUAAAUAAUUUAUCUCUAAUUUUCGCUAUGAUCUUUCGCACCACUACAAGUACGUGCUUCUCUCUGCGAAGGGACUUUCUAUUUACUUCCAUGUUAUUUUAUUUUACUUUGAGUCAUCACCUUCUCAAAGAAGUAGGAGACCUUAGAGCACUGUUAUCCUCCUUAUGCUUUGUGUCUAGUUAGAUGUUGUUUUUUAGCAUGUCUGGAUCUCUUCUACCAUGAAUUACAAUGUCUAGUCACUGCUUCAACUCUGGAGGUGUUGUGCAUUUAUGUUUUGCAGUCUCAGAAAGGGCUAGCGAGAUUCCAUUGUUGUCAUAUUAUAUCAUGAUUGCUUUGACCUAGUGUUGGUUUUUGAGUUAUCUUAUUAUUUCUCACUGGUUUAUUAUGCCAUUGAUAUGGUAUAAUAUAGUUUCUAAAGGUUAUUGCCGAUAUGAUUAGUCAUGAUUUAUGCUUAAAACCCGGGUGCCCUCUAAGCAUGUAUAUGUAAACAAGAACAAAAGAGUUCGUAAAUUUUUCCUUUAUCACUUCCAGUUUGUCAACGGAAUUGCUUGAGGAUAAGCAAUGGGGUAAGAUUGGGGGAGUUGAUACAUCUCCAUCGUAUCUACUUUUCCUAACGAUUUUGCUCUUGUUUGGACUCUAGAUUUCUUGAUUUGAAUGAAACUAACCUGGAUUGACGUUGUUUUCAGCAUAACUACCAUGUUUUUGUUUUUAUGCAGAAAUAAAAGUUCUCGGAAUGGAACGGAACUUUUUGGUGAUUUUUUACGGAAUAAAAGAAAAAUACUGAAACCAAGACCCACCAGAGGGGAGACCCCAUGCGCCCACUAGGCACCAGGGCACGCCAUCCCCCCUGGCGCUGCCUGGUGUCUAGUGGGGCCCACAGGGCUCCGUUGACCCUAAUUCAAGCACUAUAAAAUCCUAUUUUCGAAUAAAAAGUGAGGAAGUUUCAUCACGUUUCAUGCUACGGAGCCGUCGCCGCCUCUUUUUCUUCAUCGGGAGGCCAAAUCUAGAGUCCGUUUGGGGCUCGGGAGAGGGGAACCUUCGCUCUUCAUGGCCACUAACCCUCCUUCACCGCCAAUUUCAUGAUGCUCUCCACCGGGUGUGAGUAAUCCUUUCGUAGGCUUUCUGGUCGGUGAAGAACAAGAUGAGAUUCAUCAUGUAAUCGAGUUAGUUUUGUUAAGGAUUGAUCCCUAGUAUCCACUAUGUUCGGAGAUUGAUGUUGCUAUAACUUUGCCAUGCUUAAUACUUCUCACUAGGGCCCGAGUGCCACGACUUCAGAUCUGAACCAUUUAUGUUUUCACCAUUAUAUCUAUGUUUUUACUCAAUCUUGCAAAUUAUAUGCACCUAUUACGUGUUAGGAUCCGCAUACCCCAAAGUGACAAUAAUUGGGAUUCUUUUCGGUGAUUACCGUGGUAUGAGGAGUUCAUGUAUUCACUAUGUGUUAAUGCUUUGUUCUAAUUCUCUAUUAAAAGGAGGCCUUAAUAUCCCUUAGUUUCCUUAUGGACCCCGCUGCCACGGGAGGGUAGGACAAAAGAUGGCAUGCAAGUUCUUUUCCAUAAGCAUGUAUGACUACUUACAAAAUACAUGCCUACAUUAUAUCGAUGAACGUGAGAUAGCUCUAUGUCACCCUAUGUUACGACUGAUACAUGAUGAAUAUUAUCCAUCAAUAUCACCGAUCCAGUCCUACGAAUUUUCCACAUAUUGGUCUAGCUAAGUUACUACUGUUGCUACUGUUGUUACAAGUGCUACAAAACUGCUAUCACUGUUACCGUUACUGCUUCUAUUGUUACCACUACUAUCAAAACUAUCAUAUAACUGUGUUACUGAUCAUUGUGUUGCAGAUACUAAAUCUCCAAGUGUGGUUGAAUUGAAAACUCAGCUGCUAAUACCUGCAGAUAUUCUUUGGCUCCCAUUGUGUUGAAUCUAUAAAUUUGGGUUGAAUACUCUACCCUCGAAAACUAUUGUGACCCCAUAUACUUGUGGGUUAUGAAUGAUGGCUCCAGCAGGCUGAGAACACCUGUGACUGUCCCACCAUUGAGAAGCAGGACCCUUCAGGAAGUAAGCCACAAAGUUGACAUAGCUUUCCAUGGGAACAUUGGCAGACUCCAGCUCAUAAGCCAUGUCAUGGAGCCAGUCAUCAGCAUCAAGGGGCUGAGUUGAGCUGCAGCAAAUCAUAGGGUUGAGAUGGCAGAAGUCUUGCAGUGUCAUGCCUUGCUCCUGGUUCAUGUUCGGCCUUGGGAAUUGGUUCAUGAGCCCUUGCGUAAACUGGCGGUUCAGUUCAAACUUUCGGAUCAUCCCAGCCAUAUAUUCAGGGGAUGGGGUGGUGGAUUGUUGGCGGCACCACUCGGGCGGACAGCUGGUCUAACCAUCCUGCUAACAUUUAACAUGGGUAGUUUAGCAUAGUGUAGUUGCAGGGGUUUGGAACCAUUCAUGAAGUAACAAGCAUAACGAAAGCGAAAUGCGAUAGAUACUUCAUAGUAGCCAAGUUCGACAUACACAUCCAUACAUAAGUUCGAUUAGAGACCAUCGAUUACAAGUUUGAAAUUUGAUAUAACCUGGACACACUAGGUGGCACGCAGGCACGCGGUGGAGAGAUACAACAAUGAGACAUAGUGAUAAUGCUACAUUAACGUCGGGGACAACCACUGAAACCGGGUAACUGGCAGUGACACUCAACGGAAAACCUAGGGGCGGGAUUCUGCAUCUCGCUGUUGCUCAUGUGCAGGUACUGGUCCAGAAUGGGAAGCACAGGUCCACAUGUUGGAGUAGGACCCCCAAUAGCGGAGCACUCAUGGCCUGGUGGUAGCUCUGUCCUGCGCGAGUAGAGGAUGUACUCAGGGUGGAUCCUUGUGCUGACUGAUGGUAGAAAUUGUGUCACUGUGUCAUAAAGAGGGGUACGCAUGGCCUACAACUCAAUAGUCAAAGCUUAGAAGGCCCGAUCCAGCGCCUAAGUGUACUGAACCAAAACCUCUAGGUCGUAGCGACGACUCACGUAGGGGUAUGGACAGCGGUGUCGUGUCGGUCGUUACGAUCCCGCACGAAAGUAGUGUGGGCAGUGAGGUCAGAUCCAGUCUCAUACCCAGCGGGAGCAUACGGGAUGUAUCGGAAUGGAGUCUCCUCCAAGCGAGGGUGCUCUCCACGGAGGCGGGUGGUAGAGAUAUAGGCAGCAUCAUGAACUGGCAUAUCAAUUGUCACCCCAACACCGCACAAGGUGUGCAGCUCAGUGAUGGAGAUGUCCUGCCGAUUGUAGAUGUGAAUCUGAGCCUCGUACUCCUCGUGGUUGAACUUGUGGAAGUCCUCGGGGUACAAGCGAUAUCCCAGCCUGCUCAAGAGGUCGACCAUAAUGGCCAGGAACCCAAUAGCAUUGACAACCAUAGUCAGGCGUACGAACUAUCUUGUAGGACGCAUCUGAAAAGGAAGGUUCAAGGAUGUCAAAUGAUAGUGUGUUCAAUAUACUUUCAAAAGAAUAGCAGUAGAUAAUCUAGCUCUUCGGGUUGAUGUGAUUACGAGAACCUAAUCUUAGAGUUAGCAAAAAUCUUUAACCCGAAAGAGAAGAGAGAUUAAAACCCAGAGUAUAGAAGAGGAGUAAAAGAUACUAAUACAACCCGAUUGAGAUGUGGGCACGUAAGCCACAUGACAAUGUUAGUAAGAGUUUUUCAAGUACUAGACUCAACUUCGGCCAAGAAGUUGGAAAGGGAGGGUACCUAGAGGGAGUCAUCUCUGAUACCAACUUGUGAUGCCCCCAACUUAAUCGUACGCUAAUCAUACACACAAAUACGUACGACCAAGAUUAGGGACUCACGGGAAGAUAUCACAACACAACUCUAGACACGAAUUAAAGUCAUACAAACUUCAUAUUGCAAGCGAGGGGCCUCGAGGGCUCGAAUACAUAAGCUCGAGAACACACAAGUCAGCGGAAGCAAAUAGUAUCUCAGUAUAGACACAGAAACAAGUUUUGCCUUAGAGAAGGCUAGCGCAAAAGAUACGUCGAAUGAAAGAGGCGAGGCCUCCUGCCUGGGAACCUCCUGAACUACUCCUGGUUGUCAGCGGCCUCCACGUAGUAGUAGGCACCGUCGGGGUAGCAGUCAUCAUCAGCGGGAUACCCCAUCUCCUGGGCUCCAUCAUCUCGCCACGGCGAUCGUAUCAAGGUGAAAAGAGGGGGCAAAGCUACGGUGAGUACUCAUCCAAAGUACUCGCAAGACUAACAUCAGAACUAUGCUAAGUAUGCAUUACUAUCAAAGUAAUGGGGUUAUAUCUGGACUGGCUGCAGCAAUGCGAGAAUAGAGAGAAGGAACUAGUCCUAUCGAAGACUAGCACCUUCAGUGUCUUGCAGCGUUAGAAGAGUGUAGAGCAAUAACACAUAUAUAGUCAUAUUGUUGCAGCAAAUUUAAUUAUGUCACGCCCAGAGAUUCUUCCUCGACUUCCCACGGGAAAGCAAUCUCGGAGCCAAACAUUCCAGUUAAGUGACAGUUCUAGUUGUAUUCGAUCGGGAUACAAUUCCAAGUCAUCCUGUUACCGUGGACACGGCUAUUCGAAUAGUUAAUUCCAUCUUUGCAGGGGUGCACCACAUUUCCCAACACGCUCUAUCAACUCUGGCCGAACACACUAUCAUGGGUCAUGCCCAGCCUCGGAAGAUCAACACGUUGCAUCCCUACCUAGGCUCAACACGCAGGUCAGCCUGCCGGUCUACAUCUUAAGCGCGCAGGGGUCUUGGGCCAGCCGCCCUUUGCGCUCAUGCACGUUGCAUGGGCGGCCGAGAUCAGUCCUGGCACCUCUAAUACAAGAUCAAUGCUUACGCGGACCACUCGGGCGUGCGCAACUCAAAUGCUCACGUCCGAAGAGAUUUGGCUGAUACAACGACGCUCGGUACCCAUAACUUCUUCCACGUGAAGGUUAGUGUGAAAGAGGUCAACGACCAACUCAGACCAAAUACUCAAAUCCCAUUAGCACUUUUAUUUAACUUGUAGCGACGACCAGCAAUCAACGAUAUGUGGUCCCGUUGCCCCAUCUCGAGGAUGUGUGGCAAGGGUCAAGAAUGCCCGACCAUGCCUCGUCACAAUCACGCGGGUAUCCACCCACAACACACCUUUCAUCAUGUUCCCAGUAGUAAGGUCAAGUAACCGUGUGGCUGUAACAUCGGAGGGAUCCGAGGUAUCACCCUUGAUGGAUGCCGAAUGAUGUAAUCGUCAAGGCGAGCAGGGAGGAAUCACCCUUGAUGGUCCAUGCUUGAGGGGUUGCACAACAGAGUCAUUAUCAAAAGUGGUGAAGGAGGAAUCACCCUCCGUAAACCACCAUCAAUUAACUACACUACAGAUAUAUCAUUACGAAUAAUGGGUUCAACACUCCAUACAUAUCAACUCCAUCUUUGUAAAGUGCUAUGAUGAUUUCUUAUACUUUGGAAUUAUCAGCCGUAGGUGUGAGAGUCAAACAUGACGGGGUUCCUAACACUUGUAAAGGAAGUUCGGACAACCGGACGUGUCCAUUGACUCGAUGAGGUAUCAUGUAAGAUGACAAAAAACGUUGGAAGAGGUUGGCCCCAAUGUAUGUGGGCAUUUUAGGGUCGGCGUUGGAGAUGCCCUUUAUCGAGGGAUCUUUGCCUUUUAGUUAGUAAGAAGAAGAAUAGAUCCGUCCAAAAAAAACAAAAAAGUGAUAAAAAUGAGUUACAAGCAAUUAUAGCCGAAGACACAUUUUAAGGGGAGAAAAUACACUUUCUUACGGUCUUAGUUUGACUAUUAGCUAAAUGUUUAAUAAAAGGUUGUCAAAGGACUUCGCACCACCUACCCAUUAACACCAUUCACCAUGCCCUCAAAAAAACUACUAUACAGUUCACCAUUCCUGGCCUUGCUUAAACCAGUGAACCAUCCCCGGCCACCACUUGGCACACGUACUGCAGGACAGCAACCUCCUGCCAGAAAAUCUAUCCACGGGAGGAAUUAUUUCAUCUGCACCUAGUUCCUUACACUUGGGAAUCAUCAGUCGUAGGUGUGAGAGUCCGACAUGAUGAGGUCCGAACACCUGUAAUUCGGACAACCGGAUGUGUCCAUGGACUCGAUGAGGUAUCAUGUUACAUGACAAACAACAUUGGAAGAGCUUGGCCCGAAUGUAUGCGGGCAUUUUAGGGUCGGCGUUGGAGAUGCCCUUAUCGAGGGAGCUUUGCCUUUUCAUUAAUAAGAAGAAUAGAUCCAUCCAAAAAACAAAAAAAAGGUGAGAAAAACUAGUUACAAGCAAUUGCAGCCGAAUACACAUUUUUAAGGGGAGAAAAGACACUUUCUUACGGUCUUAAUUUGACUAUUAGCGAAAUGUUUAAUAAAAGGAAACGUUUACGAUCGACACGUUGGCCGAACGAUCCAGCCGGACGCGCGCUACGCGUAGGAUCCAUAUGGAUCGAACGCGUCCCAUGGGCCUCCCGCCCCCCGCUGCCCCCUUUUCCCCUUAUCCCCUUGUGUUGUUUCUGGCCAGAAAAAUGUCCCCACCGUGUUCGAUCCAUAUGGAUCCCUUCUGUUAUUUCUGCCCAGCUGUCCCUCUCCGUGCACAUCCCUAUCCAUUGGUCCUGCCCACCUCUUAUCUCUCUCUCCACCUCCCGCGUUUGUGUUGCACUGCUCCUUGCUCCUUUUUUUCUUCCUCGGAAACAUGCAGGCGGCACGAAGCCAUCCACCUCCUACAUGCUAUGUGCCGCAGUCGCCCAGUGCCAUAACUCCUCGUCCAUCAAAGCUGCCACGGCUGUCACCGGGUGCUGCAAGGGAGCAGACCAUGCGGGGGAUGCUCCAACACUUAGAAGGUGCUUGGAUCCAAAAGACUAAAACUAGUCUGACUAAAACUAGUCUCUUUAAGAGGCUAAAGUUCCAAGCACCCCUGACUAAAGAGAGACUAAAACUAGACUUGAGGCUAAAAUCUUUUAGUCAGGGAUACCCCUACUAAAAUGUGCAUUAGUCCUCUCUCUCCUCAUUUAACUCCUCAGGCAAGUUCUGGAUUGGAGGGUUUGAAGGAUAAUAAAUGUUUAUUAACUUGAUUUUAGUCUUUUUAGUACUUGAAUCCAAGCAUGGAUGAGGCUAGCAAGUUUUAGUCUCAUUACUUUUAGUCAUGGGACUAAAACAUAUCCAAGCACCCUCUUACUGGGGCGGGCGACAUGACCCAGCGGCAUCGUUUUGCUACAAACAACAAGGUGUUUUGUUGAACUAGCGACACCAAUUGCUGGAACCGUGCACACAGGAGCUGCAAACAUACACCCACGGACUGCACCUGCCGCCGACGAUGUCGGCGAAAAUGUUACAACCAUGUAUCAUGGAAGCUACAACCAUCUCUCGGAAAAAGCUACAACGAUGCACACGGGAGCUACAACCGGCAACGCCAUCGUCGGGAAAAUGCUUCAACCGUGUCCCGCACAAGCUACAUCCACAUACGUCACAGCUGCAAUCAUUUCGGUGUUGCUACAACAGUGUCACCAGAGCUACAACCGGCGACGUUGUCAUCACAAAAAUGCAUGAACCGUGUAGUGAAGAAGUUACAUCCAUGCGCAGCAGAGGUGCAAGCAUUUUGUGGCAACGCUACAGCCGUGUUGCCAGAGCUGCGAUGCAGGGCAAGCCAUGAUGCUGACGACCAUCGGUGUGUGGAGCUUCGCGACCAACGCCGCCGCUAUCAUGAUUCCCGUAUGAUGGAACCAAGCGGCAACAGAGUUACAACCUUGACAACAAAAACUAUUUUUGUAAAACCAGGAAGGAUGUGUUUCAAUCGCUACCGGUUAUGGAAGCGACAAGCCUGCCUGCGGUGUUGGUUCGAGGACUACAAGGCAGCAGCAACGGCAACGAGUUGUGGCGCGUGAGGUGGAUGUAGCCUACAACGCAGAAUAAGGACCCACGCAGGUCUAUUUCUGUUACGGGACGAAGCUAUUUGAAGAAGAAGAUAAGAUGACGUGGGUUGCAGGAUCGGGCGACUACAGAAUGCCUAAUAUGACACUGGCCGAACCCUUGGGCCGGUCCGCCGGCGCCUGCCGCCUAGCGAUCCCCUUUAAUAAAAGGUUUUCAGAGGGCUUCACACCAUCUACCCAUCAACACCAUUCACAAUUUCCCUAAAAAAACUACUACAAUUCACCGUUGCUGACCUUGUUUAAAACUGUCAGCCAUCCCCGACACCACUUAACACACGUGCUGCAGGUGCAGGACAGCAACCUCCUGCCAGAAAAUCUAUCCACGGAAUCUGCACCUAGUGUCAUACUCUCUGUGUAAAAAAAUAUAAGAGCAUUUAAAUCAUUACUUUAAUAAUCUAAACAUUUUUAUAUUUUUUUACGAAGGGAAUACUUAUAACCAUACGAACAUGAGGAAUACUUAUAACCAUACGAACAUGUCCAAUCAAUCAAUAAUCUACCGCUCGCCAUUGUUGACCCAAAACUGCCAACAAAACGGUCCCUCCCAACCACAUUGCAGUUGGCACAUGCUGGCCCGAGACGGCUAACCGCCAGGAUGCGUGCAGCUGCUUGUUGUUCCCUCCAAUAAUUGGAGCAGCAAACUUUACAGGAUCGAGAAAGGUUUUCCAAGCCAACAGCACGCGCUAUUCUUCUCACCACUUUUGUUAUCAUAGGUAUAUGAAUAAUGUAGCAUUCAUACAAAGCACAAGCCACUCGCUUUUCAGUUCACUGGUCUGCAAUGCACCGGCAGCACCGUAAGACGAGGAAUAUCACAGCCAAUCUGCAUACCACUUCCAGAAAACGCCAUCAAGAAUCAGACCAGAGCCAUCAUGCAUGUCUUGCCAUGCCAUGUCAUGCCAUGAUGCCCAUGGCUGUGAUCGGAGCGAUCCGCACACUAUGUUCAACUCCUCCUCCCCCAUCUUCAGACAACAGCUACCCUUCAUACGGCCUGCAGACCGAGCGUCCGGUCCAUCCACCUGAUGAUGUCGGCGGCGAUCUCGUCGCGCUCGGGUUCGAAGAGCAGGUCGUGCAGGAACCCCUCGUACAGCCGCAGGUCCUUGUGCCUCGACGCCGCCUCCCUGUAGAGCUCCUGCGAGGCCAGCGGGUCCGUCACCCGGUCCGCCGUGCCGUGCAGGACUACAAACGGGACAGUCACCUUCUUCAGGUUGUGCAGCAGGUAGGAGGAGAUGCGCAGGAUCUCGUGGCCCGUACGGACCCUGAUCGGCCCCGUGUAGACCAGCGGGUCAGAGUACUUUGCUAGCAGCGCCGCAGGGUCGCGGGACACCGGGAUGCCCCGCUUGUUGGCUCCCUUGAAUUGGAACUUGGGUGCAAUCAGAGAGAAUAUCGGUGCCACUGCCUGCAUUUGAUUCAGAUGAGUCUCAGUGAUGAAACACGACUUGCCAUGCAGGUAAACCAAAAAUAUAUCGCGAAUUUUGAAGUUUUAAAUUUUGUGGAUGAAUUCAAAAGCAGAGCUUCUGAAAUAGCUCUACUUUUGAUAUGAGCGUACAAUAUCAAAAGUUCUCAAAUCAGCAUAAUUUGGAAUAAUAAUAGGAAACCAGAAUAGUUCUAUUACCCCGACUAUCGGAUGCGCUGGUUUUACACGCACAGCUGGUGAAGUCAGGAUGAUCCCUUCCAGUCUGGUUCUGAUAUGGGCGUACAGCGACGCCUGCAAGAUGACAGCUAGUGAUGAGCAACCAUGAAACAAGUAAGUUAAGCGUUGUUAAAUGAGCAUCGUUAGCCAAACCAUUUCAACCAGGCUAUUUUGUUAAUGCUUUGCACCACUCUCCGCCGUCAGGGUAUCCAUUGUUCACAGGCCCAGAGGAGUAGGGUCAGUGUCUAGAUCUGGCCUAAAUACCGAUGACAAAAAAGCGAUUUAAUUCGACAGGCCAUACCUUCAAAACAACAGCUCCACCAGUGGAGUGGCCGAGUAGAAAACAAGGAACAUCUGGAUUCUCCAGCAUAAUUUUAUCAAGAAGUACUUCCUGCUCAGAGAUGAUAAUAUUGCAUUACAUCAGCCAUCAGGAACAGUAGCAAGGAAAAAAAUAGUGUGCUAUACAAAACAACGUCGACCUUAAAAAUAUGCUAUUACCGUGUUAUAGCAUUGCCAUUAGCAAGAUAUUGUACACUGAUCAAUUUAGCGACACAAUUCUCUACACAUUAUACCGUGCUAUUAGCGGCGCUAUAUCGUGCUAUUUUUUUCAGUGAACAGAAUAGCUUUGUGCCUUCUAUGGAAAAACCUUGAACAGGAUGUAGAAGUAGGUGGACAGACAGAGACUUACCAUGUCUUUUAUAACAUAGUCCAGAGAAGGAACAUAACCGUGCAGACCAUCACUCCCACCAUGACCUGUUAUGCAGAAGCUCAAGUUAGCCUGUUGAUGUUGAAACGAAUGCAAAAUUCAGUAGGCAUGCUCACACCUCACAGGAACAAAGAGACUGAAAACCAUGGAUAAUUUUCUCGAAGCACUGCUAGAUUCAUGGGAAUGAGUUGCAAGGUAAGAAUCCACAACUAUGCGGGUACAGCAUGACAACCUUAGCAUCGUUGCUUAUAUUUUACUACCUCCUAUAAAAAAAACUACUAUCUGGUUCUAAAUGUUUGUCAUAAUAUUACCAAUACCAGAUAGCUAGCUAACACCUAGUUAGCUUGAUACCUACAUGAUCCACACACACACACAAAAACAAAAAAAAAAAAAAAAAACUAAGCACUCCCUCCGAUCCAUAUUAAAUGUCGCUGAUUUAGCACUGAUCUUCCACCAAACCAACCAUGUGUAACAUUUCCUAUAAUAUAGCAGAAGAAGACAUGUUCAGAAAACCACAAGUAGGUUUCCUUACCAAUCCAGUCCAUUGCAUAUACUCCAAAGCCACAUGACGUUAGCUGCUCGGCAAAAUGCAAAUACCUCCCACUGAAAAGCAAGAUCAAGAUGCAUUUAGUAAUGCCUCUAAUACAGGGAGGAUAUGAAAAAUAUAGGUGUGUCCACCAACAUGCUGGGGCCUGGAGGACUGGAGGGGACUGACUCAACAUGAUUUCCUUACCUAUGUUCAUUGAGCCCAUGUACGAUGAGCAGAAUGGCCCUGAAGCAAAAGAGGAAGAUAGUCAAUACAAAAUUGUGUCACUGCAAGUGAAAGAGAGGUUCAGCUUGAUGCUUCAAACUUCUCGUUUCUUAUGAAAGAGACUGAACAGAACCAUAAUCUUCAGAAGGUGUUCACACAUGUAGAUCCAUAAAACCAGUCAGCAAAAUUAGGGGUGGAGGAUCACCUAAAUUAGUUGUGAUUAUGUCAUUUUUCAACAUUUGUUUGCUGGGUUGUUUGACUAUUAUGCCAUUCAUAUUGAAAACAGAGUUGACGGUCAGCUCAGGCAACUACACACCGGGUCAUGUCAAGAAUAAUCAACACUUUGGUUGCACAAAGUGGGCGCAUUAAAGAAUUAAGAAAAAUCCCUCUGCCCCUUUCUUGAUAGCUAAGUUUUCCCGUGUCACAUGGAGACAUUACGUUAAGGUUUUUAUGGAGUAUUGAGAGAUAAGAAUGGAACAGAAGUUGGAGAUAAGUAUCAGCUUAUAUUCCUAAUCCGUUCCACUUUACUUGUUCCCCCUUUCCUGUAUUUCAAUGUUGCUUCACACCGUCCCAAAAAAAUUGCACAAAGCUAUCGUUAUUUUAGUCAACUAGCCCAGGUUCCGAAGGAGAGACGCGUACAAGAAAUAUGACAACCUAAAACAGCAGCUCUGCGAUGAGGACAAACUGCAUGCAUCAUCGUUGACAGGGGUAGGUAAUGAGUACGAAUGCAAAGAUAGGUGAAGAUCUGAAUUACAACGUGCAUCGCACGGCACGUCUCUUUAUGAGUAGAGCAGCAGACACAGCCUUCUGUAAAACACUAGGUCCAGGUAUCUAGUAAAGCACUCUAAUCGCGUGAUCAAAACCGCAGCUAGUAUGCAUGAUCUAAAUGCUCAACGUGCCUUGCCAUUACUACACUAGGAUCACCUAAACAGGAGCAGAAAAUUGCAACUUUAACUGAAAUUACCACCCGUUGGCAUCAGAGAAGAGUACCAAAGACGCAAGAGAACUAUUCACCACGCACAAUUCGCAAAUAAACAUAAUUUCUAAGGGAUCAAAGACCAAAAGAAAUCAUUUUAUAUUUUUGAGGGGAGGAAAUCCUUGUAAUAUUGUCAACAAAAUGCCCAGAAUUCUCCCAAAAAAACCUACGUGAUUGACUGAUUCAAAAAUCCCUUCAGGGUGAGGUCAAGUCCACGAACUACCGUUCCCCCACCGCUCCACCGUUAUGAUAUAGUACAGCCAAAGAAAAAAGUGGCGAGUAAAAGACCACGAACCACGAAAGCGAAAUCCACAGAAACGAACAAAAGGAAACCACCAAUUUCCACAGCGACCGAAACCCCCACGGUCCACGGAAGGCAAUUCAAUCGCACACGCCACGGGUCGGGCGGACGGGGCUCACCUCGUCUCCGUGCCGACCGCCGGCGCCCAGACGCGGCAGAAGAGCGCGUUCCGCCUGGCCCCGGCGAUGACGAACGUGCCGCACGUCCUCCCGUCCGCGUCCGAGUCGUCCUCCGCCAUGGGCACCUCCUCCGCGAGCGCCCGGCGGCGGCGCACGUCCUCCUCCUCCGCGGCCCUGCGCCUGCUCCUGGCCUUCCCGGGGCGGCCGGGCUCCGCCGGGCUGGCGGCGUCGGGGCGGCGGCGGCGGCCGACGAGGAGGAGGAGCCAGAGGAAAAGCGAGUGGAGCGCGACGGCGAGGCGGAGCAGCGCGCGGCGGGACAGCACGGAGCGGAAGACGGGCACGAUCCGGCCCGUGGCGCCCGAAGUCAUCAUCAUCUCGUCGCCGCCCAUCUCCAUGGCUCUCCCCCCCCUGCCGCUGCGCGUUUUUCGUGCUUUACUUUUUCUUCGCGUUUUACGCGGUCGCGGGCUUCGUGGGCCGCCCCCGCGUAUUUAUAGGGGAUGGACAUUUAGACUCUGGCGAGAGCGUGGCCUGCUGUUUCCUUCCUGGAAAUCCGUAUCCUCAAGUUGUUUUUUAUUCAUUUCCUGUUAAUACUAAUAAAUUUAUUUAAGAAGAGGAGUGAGGAGAUGGUGGUCCCAUUAACAGUUGCAACGGAUGAACAGUCCAGCUAACAGCUGUGCCAUGCCACGGUCCCACAUGUCACCCCUCUCACCCGAUUAGUGCAACAUUUAAACACCACAUAAUAUAGAGUAUACGAUCAGUUCGAUAUAUAUGGCACUAAAGGGAUACAGGUACUACAGUAGUAGAUUGCCUUCCCAACCAGUGUACAUACAUUCAUUAUUGACAAUAAAUUAUCGGUAUAGCUAUCCGGCAAACUCGCUGGGGUGAGAUCCCACCGAACACCCCUAGAGCCAACCGAUUUGGAUUGCAUGGUGGUAAUUUUCAUCAAAUAUCCAUGUAAAUUAAACAAAAUGACAUGGCAGUUUUCUAAAAUGUCACCCCACCACAUAAACUGCCACCAUUAAUUUUUCGCAUAUGCUAUCCCGACGUACGACAAACAACUAUCUUUACCUAUUACUAGUACAAAUGUCCGUCCGUUGCAACGGGUAAUAAAUUGCAAUACCUGCUACGCGUGCCCAGUGACGAAUCUUGGAAGAAAAUGAAGGGGACUCAAAGUUAAAUAUGCAUAUAGGAAGUCAAAAUCUCUCAAUUCUUUGGUCCAAAUAAGAUCAAAUGUUUUAUAGAAUAAUAGUAUUUUUUCUUUACUAUUUUUUGGAGGGGUCUCGAGCUUAUCGAAACCGUGCUAGAUUCGCCACUCCACGUGCCAUUACUCACCAUUUCUUACACCCAUUGUCAUAAAUGUGGUCAUAAGUUUAAAUUGAUUAUCACUUUUUGAAGCAUGAAUUGUGGAGAUGAAGAUAUCACCCUGAUAUCCUUCGUUUGAUGGAAGAGUAGUAGUACAUGGAUUAGUAUGAUUAAUCACUUGUCUUUGGAAAAACCUGUGUUGCAACUUGUGAAAACAAAUAUAUCAGAUGUUCCUUCCCACAGUAAGCAUGACUCGAGACCUCCACAAGCCCAUACAAUUUAAAAACACAUCCAUUUGUAUUUCCACUUAUUAUUGUCCUAGCCAUCCAUGACUUGCAGGCGUUCCGCACGGCUAAGCUUAGCCGCUCGAUCGACCUUGUCGGAGUGUGCACCUCGUUUGCCAGUCGACCCCGCCAGCGUAUUAUCCCUACGAGCUCUUUCUCAAACCUCCUUCAAAACAAUCACACCAGUUGGUUUAGUGCCCUUUCAAAUCAUCCUUUCUUGUUGAAAAAAAUGUGGACCAGUCUAGUUCAGCCCAUCCAGGAGUUAGGGGACAGAGCGACAACGGACCAAAACAGAUGAAAUUACGGAAGCAAGAAGUGCGUUGCACCAGGCGUAAAAGAGACACAACAUGCUUCAUGUGCCAUUAUGCACCAUUUUUAAUCCAACUUUGAUAAUCAUUAAUAAUAAGGUGAAAUUACUCAAGCAGCAACCUUGGAUCCGUCCUCACGCAAAUCAACAACCUCCAGGGGCCGGAGCCCAGCCAGACAUAGUUCUCCUUUCAGUUUUGGCACAACUUGCUAAACAAAUCACUAACUACAUUUUAACCAUGGUUGAUAUGAGUAAUAAGGGUCAUACAAAGAUACUUCAAAUGCUUGAUCUCCGCCACCAAAGAAGCAUACACAUACAUGUUUGUGUCCCUCCCAUUCAGAAUAUUCACCGCUGAAAAUGAGUAAAUCUCGAUGCAAGCUGGUACUUUCAUUUGUUAUAUAGCAAUAGAUAACUCCUUCAAGUUCGGACGUGAAGAAGCCAACAUACCAUUCUUCAUCCGAUGGAAGAGUAGUUUUGCAUAGAACAAUCGUUUUUCUUUUGUUUUUCUGAAAACACACAUAAUUCCUUAUUUUUAGUAAACUUAUCAUUUUCAUAAAAACUGGAACGCAUUAGCUUCCACCCACUCAUAUGAUGCAUGCAUCCGGAAUAUAUAUUUCUUCUUAUUCCAUACAUGAUACAUAAUAAUGUUACCAAGAUAGCUUGUCAGGCAACACUGAUACAUUGACACGACAAAAAAGAUAACUAUAUUCAUACCUUGUGAGUUAUAUUCUAAGUAGAAUAUAGAUGACGAAGAACCAAAGCUUCUAUGCAUACUCCUGACAAAAAGAAGAAAUAACAGUCAGCUUUAUGUAAAAAUCAAUUAUGUUGCAGUAAUAGAAAUAUAAGUUACGAAAGGCUGACCAGUUAUUCCUACCCACUAAACAAAUAUGUAGCACUAUCAACCAUAAGCAUUGCAUUAUUGCAUACGACUAAACUUGACAUAUAUAUAACACCGUGCGUCCAAACCUAUUUCAGCAAAAGAAAGAACAAUUCUUUUAGUUUGACUUGAUUUUUAUUAACAAGUAAAAUUGUUGGCAGUGUAGGAUGCCGAAUUUACAUGGACCAUAUCAACCACAAUAAGCUGAUGUUUGCUAUCAGUAUAAAUUUGACUUUCCCAUGUCUGGAUUGCAAGAAUUUUCACGAGCUUACCUGAGUACAAUGUCGCUGGUCCAUCUUCUUGGUAGAAACCAGAUGUGGUCUUGUUGCUGGAGUUUCACUCCGCACUGGGACAUUCCACUAUUGGACGCUCUCGCCGGAUUGGCACAACGACUUGUCUGGCCUCAUGACGAUAUCACUUGUCGUCGAGCCUGGAGCAUUAUACCAUGCUUAUAUCAAGACCCCCAAAACUAAGAUAAGAUACAUAGAAAUCUUAAGAGUAUGUGUCAAAACGACCUGACCAUGAAUUUCAAAAUAUGUUCCGAGGGAAAGUUAGAUAAGAAAAAUGCAGUAUUGUGUUAAUUACUUCCUUGCAUCAAUUGAAAUUGCUAACUCCUGCAGCUAAUUUCACAAAGGAAAGAAGAUGGCAAAAUAAUACAAAGUUUUCAUCCUAUAACCAUAAGUUAACUUGAAACCUGCUACUACCUUAAAAUUGUGGCUGGAGUAAUAUAGAAGCUAGCGUGGACGGACCAAUAUGUAGCAUAACUGCAGAAAAGAAAAAAAAUCUAAGGAGUAAGGACAAAUUAAGAGUGCUGGAUCUGGAGGCCUAUAUCAUAAGAUUUCAGUAGAGACAAAUUAAGAUCUUUAUAGAGAAAAUAACACACCUCUGAAAAAAAAGGAAGGACCAAACUAUGUCAAUGACGUACAUUACUAACCAUGCCCGUACGUUGCAACGGGAGAAACAAACUCUCUCAUCUCUUUCGGGGAAAACAAACGAUACUCUGCUCAACUAAAGCUUACAAUUUCCCAUCAUAAUGAGGCAUAAUUUCCAUCUUGUUUUAGCUUACAAUUUCUUCUCAUAUUAAGGCAUAAUUUUCCAUCUUGUUUUAUUCACAUACACAUGGGUCUGUUUUCGACCGAGCUCUGUUUUACAAUAUAAAUUUUCAUCCUCCCAUUCUCGGCCUAAUCAUCACCCCUUGCUCUACACAACAUUUCUUGAAGAGAAUACAAACACUAUUUUUUCUUCCACCAAUACUUAAAGGAUGCAAGGAAUGUUUUUGUUGUUAAUGUACAUGUGCAUGUGUUUAUGCGGUAAUAAUAUAUGACAAACGACGACACGUGCAUAAUCUAGAAGAUAAUCAUGCUAGCAUAUUCAUGAGAUAGGGAAGACAACAUAUAAAAUCUGAACCUGAAUCAUUGUACUAUUUAGGCUUUUCUUUUCUUUUUAUACAACGUCUUCUGUUCCACAUAUUCCUCUGGAUUUUUCACUUAAACAACUUCGAACACUACUUAACACAUGUUUUCACAUGCUAAAUGCAUUCAGGGCCACAUACAUCGUAACCUACAUUCAACCCAGAAAUUAUGAAAUUUAGUCAAACAUUUACCAAAUUAUUUAGACACUUCUAUCCAACCUAAGAUCAGGCCAAGUCAUGCACGCAUAGGAUAUCAGACGCAUGUGCCUGAAUAUUUGAUCAAGGCUGUUGCAACUCCUCUAGAAAAUAUCCAUGAGGACUGAGACAAAUCUCUAUCUGUACGUAGUAGUUUGCAAGGAGCAUAUACAUACUAUUUUUUGAAAUGCAGCAUAUACAACUGAUACUACUUUAACUGAAAAUAAACCUAUCGUUGUCUGCUCUCCAAUUUCAGAGUAGCAUGGUUUAAUUCAUUCAUGACCUCUGCAUUUUAUUCAGACAGCAGCAUGCACCAAGAUACCUACUUAGAAAGCAAAAUCUUCUCUUUCACAGGGCUAGUGUUUCAUCUAGCUUUAGCGUAUCCUCUCUUUCUCCCUUUGGAUAAGUAGUAUAGUUGAUAACAUACAGACUUAAGAAGUAAAUAGUUGAUGACAGAUGCAAAUCAAUGACAUUGUAGUGUAUGUACCUCAGGUCAGAUCAAGUUUUGGCGGAAAGUGGAAUAUGUGAAGACAGAUUUCCAUUGAAGUCGACGGUAUACAGCCAUGUCUGUGUCAGAAACUUGGCAUGAGGAUGAGCCAUAUAACUGUAGAUUCUCCAGGAGAGUUAGAACACAAAAAACUAUUUGACCUUGCAAUAGAAUUGAAAGGGUUAGGUGAUGUGCGUAUCUCUCUCUGUUGUCUCUACCUCUCUGCUCUCUGUCUUCCUCACAUAUCUCCUUUUUCUCCAGAAGACCAGAACAACAGAUGCAACAAUCAAUGUCUCAAUCGGCCACCGAUCUAGUGCUGGACCGCUUCUCCUCUCUCUGUCCAGGAAGUGGUACACCACAAUGGAACUCAACCACCGAUCUCGUGCUGGAUCCUGCCGACCAUGUCCAGCCUCACAAUAGAUCUAGCAUCUCCCGCACUGGUCAUCCUCACGCUUGCCAUGCGAGAUUCGGAGAGUGGAAGCGGGGGCAGCUGCCAGCGCGAUGAAGCCUCUGGCAGCACACUCGUAGGAUCUGGCGCAGUCGUGAGGCGGGUCGCGAGCCUCCCUCCUACCAGGGCCCCUCCUGCUAUUGGGAAACUCGAAGAGGAAUGGAGAGUGGAGGCGCCGACAGUAGGACGAUGGGUGCCUAAGGGGGUGGGAGGGUAGUCUGGGGGUGGAGGAGAGGUCGAGAGGGCCGGAGGCGGAGGGGAGAGCCAUAGCCCGAGGGCUGGGGAGGGAGAGGCCGGUAGAUCUGGCAUCAUACCUCGCCUGCUCGCGACCGAAGCACUGUAACGACAAUAGAGAGGAGAACGCACCAUACCUCGCCUCCUCGCGACCCAAGCGCCGCCGGCCUCAGCUCCCGUCUUGAUCGAUUCCCUCGUCCUCCUCCUUCCUUCAUGCGCCAAACCAGGACGGGAGCGUUGCGCCCCAACCAUGGCGCCGCCCCGGAGAACCACGAUGCCUUGCAAGGUCCCAUCGUAGCUCGCCUGGAUUCGGAUGCGACAGCCGUUCCCCACGUCGAGUCCAUGCGCCACCGCCGCCCUAUGCGAGUGUCACUCGAUCAGAUCGAACUAAAGAAGGUAUUGCGGGUUGAAUACGAAUAACAACAGGGGCUUUUCUAUAAAAAGGCCGUGGCGGGUUUUCCGACAGAAGCGAUAGCCUCUUUAUUAUUAGGUAAAGAAUAAAGCACAUAUUGCUUCUGUGGUCCGUCGUCGUACUUUUGCAAAAAAACUCCCUGUGGUUUCUGAUAAUUGAACCCGCGGUCCACACGUAACAGUGAAUCUUGAGAAAAACGCUUCGCGAUGGCCCGACCCCACGCGAGCGAGAGCAAACCCUACCCCGAGCCGUUCCCUCGCCGCCGCCGCCACACCUCAUCCCGCUCGCCGCCUCCGCCGGAUUGGGACACGGACUGCGCGCAUCGAUGGACGACAGAGGCGGCGGUGGGCGAGAGAGGAGGGAGGCCGCCGCUGCACUGCUGCGCCGACUCGGACGCCGACGCCGUGUCGUCCGUGGCCAUGGCCGCCGCCGCGACGACGACACCGCGUUGCCCAUCCUCACGCCGUCGUGGCGCCGGCCGGAGAAGAGGCCGUCAAAGAGGCCCAUCGCGGCGCGUGGCGGCCGGCCGCAUCGCCCGUGACUCCGUCAAGCGCGCGCGCACGUACGCCCGGCCAAGGCGGCAAAGGGGGAUCGCUCGUGCCGUGGCGGGGAUCACUCGUGCCGUGGCGUGCUCAUGCUUCGAGUGCUAAAGCAUAUGCUUUCUGGCCCAAAAGGGUCUUCCGGCAACAGCUCCGAUGGGUCUCAGGAUUUGAUUGUGGCGGUGCGCCUUCCGAGAGGCAUCAAAGGAAUGGAAAAAUUGGAGACACUGUCGCAUGUUGAAGCUCCCGGCAAGGUUAAUGAUUUAACUGAUGUUGGUCAUCUAUUGCAGCUGAGUAAACUGGGUGUGAUUCUUUCGGCUGAGAAAGGUGGCUUGGGUGUUCUAUUCCAACAGAUUGAAAAAUUACACGGUUGCCUGCGCUCCUUGUCAAUCCAGAUGAACAAACCACCCAAAGCAGAGGAUACUCUUCCAUUAGCUUCACCUCCAAAACUUCUUCAGAGCCUGAACAUUAGUGGCAUUAGAAGUGGGCUCCUUUUGUGGAUUGUAGAGCUUGAUCAACUUACCAAGUUAACAUUGAGCGAGACUUACCUGGGGGAAGACUAUAUACACAUCCUUGGCAAGCUUGCAUCUAUGCGUUGCCUCAGGCUUCGGUGCAAUACCUAUGCCGGAAGCGGGCCCACAUUCAAUGAUGGAGAGUUCAAGAGCCUCAAGUCGUUGGUAGUUGAUGACGGUGUCAUAGCUAACAUUACCUUCGAAACUGGGACAGUUCCCAACCUUGAGAGGAUUGUUUGGUACAAAAAUAUUGUUAUAAUUAAAUCAUGUGCUAACAUUUGCUCUAUCUGGUUUAUCCUCGUGAGAUCAAAUUUUAUGAUUUAUCGGUUAUGUUAUCGUGGAUCCUAGAGCAAAAUUUAUCUUAUCCUGUGUAGUUGGUCGCCCACACUGGAUAGUUUAACCAGAUUUUCUGAUUGUCUGUCUUGAGUGGAUGUGUACAGGAACCUGCAGGAAAACUUCAAUCGGAGCAAGAGUCGCACCACGGAGAUCUUCUUCCUGUGUAGCUUGACAACUUCAGUAAGACUAGAAUCGAUGUGGUUGCCUUGAGUAAGCAUGCUUAUGUACACGGUAAGAGGCAGUAUGUUUGUCAGGAGCCCGGGUGUGGGAAAGGUAUAUCCGACAAAAAGGGGAUAGAUUUAACAUUACACCUUUACUCGUACAUUAAUGUUAGUGAACUUUCUUGUUUACUAGCAUUGACAGAUUUUUCAGUAAUUUUAGACUCAUACCUGAAAUGUUCAUAAAAGCUUUUUUCUCUAUCUUUUUAUUUACGAGGACCUUUCUCUUUUUGCAUAUUAUUAGCGGAUUUAAGGCCCAAUGAUGUGAAUACAUAUAAUACCUUUGGUUAUGUGUCAGGAAAGAUUCAGUUAAAUGAUCAAUUCACUAAUUAAUCAAUCAGUAAAGACUCAGUUGUUUAAUCCUACUAGAGAGAUACUCCAUGCAUUCAAUCAAUUGUUAGUGUUAAUGGAUUGAUCCAGUACAUUCAUUCAUUCAAAUAAUUUAGUCCUACCUGAGAAAUUUAAGAUCACAUAUGUAUCGAAGUCUUGAUCUUUUUUUCUCGUCCAUGUGCAAAUGCUGCUGAGGAAUAAACAAUGAUCAUGUUUAACCGGAUUAGAUGUAUUUUUGGUCUUCACCUAAGCUCCAGGGGUGUGCCAACAAUCAUUACAGGUUGGUCGACAUGAGUCAGGGACCUGACAUGUUUGAGAAGAUGCAAUCCGAUGGCCGCAGGUGUGAUGUCUUCUUCGACCUAAUUUGUUAUGUGAACGGUGAGGAAUUCUCUGUUCUGUGUUCGUUGGACUUCCAUUUGCUUAAAGUUUUUUUUAUUUAGCUAUUCCGUGCUUGCUGAAAUUCUCAUAUGAUGUGACCUGGUAUUAUUGUUGGAAAUAUGCCCUAGAGGCAAUAAUAAAUUAGUUAUUAUUAUAUUUCUUAGUUCAUGAUAAUCGUUUAUUAUCCAUGCUAUAAUUGUAUUGAUUGGAAACACAAUACUUAUGUGGAUACAUAGACAAAACACUGUCCCUGGUAAGCCUCUAGUUGACUAGCUCGUUGAUCAAAGAUGGUCAAGGUUUCCUGGCCAUAGGCAAGUGUUGUCACUUGAUAACGGGAUCACAUCAUUAGGAGAAUCAUGUGAUGGACUAGACCCAAACUAAUAGACGUAGCAUGUUGAUCGUGUCAUUUUGUUGCUACUGUUUUCUGCGUGUCAAGUAUUUGUUCCUAUGACCAUGAGAUCAUAUAACUCACGGACACCGGAUGAAUGCUUUGUGUGUAUCAAACGUCGCAACGUAACUGGGUGACUAUAAAUAUGCUCUAUAGGUAUCUCCGAAGGUGUUCGUUGAGUUAGUAUGGAUCAAUACUGGGAUUUGUCACUCCGUAUGACGGAGAGGUAUCUCAGGGCCCACUCGGUAAUACAACAUCACACACAAGCCUUGCAAGCAAUGUGACUUAGUGUAAGUUGCGGGAUCUUGUAUUACGGAACGAGUAAAGAGACUUGCCGGUAAACGAGAUUGAAAUAGGUAUGCGGAUACUGACGAUCGAAUCUCGGGCAAGUAACAUACCGAAGGACAAAGGGAAUGACAUACGGGAUUAUAUGAAUCCUUGGUACUGAGGUUCAAACGAUAAGAUCUUCGUAGAAUAUGUAGGAUCCAAUAUGGGCAUCCAGGUCCCGCUAUUGGAUAUUGACCGAGGAGUCUCUCGGGUCAUGUCUACAUAGUUCUCGAACCCGCAGGGUCUGCACACUUAAGGUUCGACGUUGUUUUAUGCGUAUUUGAGUUAUAUGGUUGGUUGUCGAAUGUUGUUCGGAGUCCUGGAUGAGAUCACGGACGCCACGAGGGUUUCCGGAAUGGUCCGGAAACGAAGAUUGAUAUAUAGGAUGACCUCAUUUGAUUACCGGAAGGUUUUCGGAGUUACCGGGAAUGUACCGGGAAUGACGAAUGGGUUCCGGGAGUUCACCGGGGGGGGGGGGCAACCCACCCCGGAGAAGCCCAUAGGCCUUGAGGGUGGCACACCAGCCUUUAGUGGGAUGGUGGGACAACCCAAAAGGGCUCUAUGCGCCAAGCAAAGGAAAAUCAAGAGGAAAGAAAAAAAGGAGGAGGUGGGAAGGAAGGGGGACUCCCUCCCACCAAACCAAGUCCAACUCGGUUUGGGGGGGGAGUCCUCCCCCCUUGGACUCGGCCGACCCCCUUGGGGCUCCUUGAGCCCCAAGGCAAGGUCCCCUCCCUCCCACCUAUAUAUACAGAGGUUUUAGGGCUGAUUUGAGACAACUUUUCCACGGCAGCCCGACCACAUACCUCCACGGUUUUUCCUCUAGAUCGCGUUUCUGCGGAGCUCGGGCGGAGCCCUGCUGAGACAAGGUCAUCACCAACCUCCGGAGCACCGUCAUGCUGCCGGAGAACUCUUCUACCUCUCCGUCUCUCUUGCUGGAUCAAGAAGGCCGAGAUCAUCAUCGAGCUGUACGUGUGCUGAACGCGGAGGUGCCGUCCGUUCGGUACUAGAUCGUGGGACUGAUCGCGGGAUUGUUCGCGGGGCGGAUCGAGGGACGUGAGGACGUUCCACUACAUCAACCGCGUUCACUAACGCUUCUGCUGUACGAUCUACAAGGGUACGUAGAUCACUCAUCCCCUCUCGUAGAUGGACAUCAUCAUGAUAGAUCUUCGUGCGCGUAGGAAAUUUUUUGUUUCCCAUGCGACGUUCCCCGACAAUUAUAUGUGCACAGGCUUUGUUUACAACAUCCUUUAGACUGGUUUUGACUGAUAGAAUUGGGUGAAAGCAGAAUUGCUAUUUGUUAGCUAUGACCUAUGAGUCUGAAAUCUGAAGGCAUAUGCUCUUAUAAUUUGAUACGGAGGGUGUUGUUUCGAUCGUAAGUAAUGGAUCAUAUAUUAUGGUAGGCAACCCAGGUUGAAACCUUAAUAAGGGCACUAAGAUGUAAGAACAUCCUGCAAGUGUUAUGAGUAUAUGUUUCAGUUGCAUAUAGCCUGUUGUUUUGUCUGAAGUAAGCUGUUCUCAAUGGGGUGUGAGAAGUGAAAACACGGAUAUUCUGUGUGAAAGGAAGAGUUUUGGGUAUACCAAUGUGCUCAGAACUUGGUAUUCAUAUGAGAAUCUUCUUUCUGCUGUGCUAUCUGUUUGCUGCAAAUGACAUCAAACCGCACAUCUAAUAUGCGUCAUGGUUACAGGUACACAAGAUCUCAGUCAUGCCCUUCCUGCCGCGGAAGCCUGAAGAGAGUCCAGUCCAGGGACCUGUGGGUGCUCACGGGCGACGACGACGUGAUCGACCCUGUGACCCUGGAGAAGGAGAAUGUGAGGCACUUCCACAGCUUCAUCGACAACCUGCCCCUCAUCGUCCCCGACAACCUUCUGCUGGUCUACUAUGACUACCUGCAUCUGAUAGAAAUUUGCAUUUUUAACUUUAACAUAGAUGUUUAGUAAAAUCAGAUAUAAAAACUGGUGCACAAUGACAUAUGAAUCGGUUAUGCUUUUUUUUACCCGGUGCAACGCACGGGCAUUUGUGCUAGUUGGGGUCCUAAAUUAUUACUAGUACUAGUAUAAAAGAAAAUUUUACUCCACCAAACAACUACCCCCUCCGUUCCUAAAUAUAAGUCUUUUAAGAGAUUUCACUAAGUGACUACAUAUGAAGCAAAAUGAGUUAAUCUAUAAUUUAAAGUAUGUCUAUAUACAUCCGUAUUUAGUUCCUUAUUAAAAACUACUAAAAAGACAUAUAUUUAGGAACGGAGGGAGUAGUAAGUAAUUCUACACAAAAUAUUGGCAUGAUUAUAGUUAUAUGUAUUUUUGUGUGAUUUCCCUUGAAGAUACAGAUCAACAUAUCAUUUGUUGUGCUCCUUAUUCUUGCAAAUGCGGAUGACAACACGCGCGCGCACACACACAAACAUAUGUGCAAACGCACGCGCGCGCACACACACACACACCUCCUCUGCCUAUGGGAUGUCAACAGAGAUCUCUCGGGUUGGUCAAGCAAAGGUUCCUUCGAAAUUACUACAUGGAACAUAUCAGCCAACUAGUUACUAGUCCAAAUAGAUCCUCGAGGGAGGUUCAUGAAACAUUGGAGGGUUGUUCCCGUUAGAAUGGUGAUGAGGUGUUUUCGUCACCUCCUGUGUGCCUCCCUCCACGUAUUGAUCGUAGUGGUUCAGAUGGCUAUGAACACCUCGAGGUCGGUAUUACCAGCAUACCUUUUGAUGGGGUGAGGUCAGAAAUUUUAAGGCCACAUGGUGUAUAUGAGUUCUUAAGAUAAGCAGGACACCCAAACAAUCGCAUGCGAGCCUCGUCGCCAUCAAACUUAUAUCGCCUCAUAUAGCUCUCCGACGCGUCUAAGGUGCAUUGUGAAUCAUGAUGAUUUUAUCCUUCUCAUUAAUUCCAUCUUUGACUGAUGAAGUCGCAUUUAUCAUCAUCGUUUUCAUCCAAUGAGGCAAACACAAAAAUUGAGUGCAAAAAAUAUCUCCUCCCACCCCCAAGACACGAUCAACUUUGACCCAAUCAUAGAGGAUUUCAUAGAUAUUCCAUAUUCAGAUAUUCUUAAGUUCCAAUAGAAAUCCUGUUGGGCCCUCAAGCAUAAAGGUUUGCAUAUAGGCAUUAUCCAACAUUCAUCUAUAGCUAAUACUCCACCCAAAGUCACCUAUAAUCACAUAUAUCUAAGUAUUGACUAAUAAAAUGGAAUAUAUCAUUAGGCAAGUUGGCAUAAUGUUGAUGGUAAUGUAUUCUUUUUACCUCUAGUUCACGACCUACGUAAUUACACCCUCCCUUCCGGUUUAGAGGGCUCAAAUCUGGAAUCUCAUCAACCAAGAUAGAUUGUGAGUGGAUGGCACAAGUUUUGUGAGUACAAGAAUGCCCAAUAUAAAUUAUUUCCACAUGUUCAACUCCCAAAGCAACAAGUGCAUCACCCACCUCUAAGAGCAAGUACAAUAGAGUUCAGUCAGCUGGCUAUAAGAAAUAAAGUAGUAUAUUUUUGCUUAGUUGGAGGAAAGAGAAGAGGAGAGAGAAGGUAAGCGGGCUCUUAGUUAAGAGUCAGCUCUAACACAUGCUCGUAGGUACUUUUGUGAGAGUGAAAGGCGGGCCAUAUAAUAAAAAAGUAGUACACUCUUCUAAUCUACUAUUGUAAAUGUUGACUAUAAGAUGGGAUAUAGAUGACGUGGCAAUGACUUAUAGCCAACACCUCGCUAUACUACUAACCAUGCUCUAAUUGGACUUGCAAGGUGCAUGCAAAAUAAGAUGCAUGCAUGACCACUAUUCCCUCUCUCUCAUCUCUAUGAAUUCAAUGUGGCAUGGACUCAAAGCACUUUAAUUCAAUUGGACUCAAACUAAGCCUAGUAUAAUGGAAAUCUAAAAGAAUUUAGAUAAGGAGGGAGUAUCUUUUUAUCUCGCAAUAACCAAAAAGGAGGGGGUAUCUUUUUAUCUCGCAAUAACACACUACAAGCAUUUUUAUCCGUUUAUCUUUGAGAUAAAAUGCUUGCGCAAUUAAACCCAAUAAACAUGCAAAAUAUAGAACAUCUCUUCAUGGAUGGUGAUUGAGAUGGGGGUUGUUGUUGCAGAUUGAGUGGGCGGAGAUGACCCUAAUGAUGCAUUGGUGUUGAAUGGAUUCGUAUUCCCACAAUUGGAUGUGGUGGAUCUAGUGGGGCCAGCCCUCCAGAAAAAGAGUAUUCUCUAUUCCUCCCAAAUACGGAAAAAUACAUAAUAUUUCGUGUGCGAAUUAGAUGUUAGGGAAGACGAUAUGUAGCAGAGAGAAGGUCAAGGAAUCCAAGUAGGACCCACACAUGAAGAUUGCAUACCCCGGACCUCUCAAUGCUAACCUUGAACCUGAUGCACGGGCUUUGUUAAUCUUGAUCCUGAUGCACGAGCGCUUUCCAUGUUGAUCCUUAUGCACAUGGUGGACUCCCUAUUAAUUUUAUUAAAUUGCCAUGGAUACAUGUGUUGGUAGUGUUGGAAAUAUGCCCUAGAGGAAUAAUGAAUUAGUUAUUAUUAUGUUUCCUUGUUCAUGAUAAUCAUUUAUUAUCCAUGCUAUAAUUGUAUUGAUUGGAAUUCAAAUACAUGUGUGGGUAUAUAGACAAAACACUAUCCCUAAUGAGCCUCUAAGGACUAGCACGUUGAUCAAAGAUGGUCAAGGUUUCCUGGCCAUAGACAUGAGUGGUCAUUUGAUAACGGGGUCACAUCAUUAGGAGAAUGAUGUGAUGGACAAGACUCAAACUAUGAACGUAGCAUGUGAUCAUGUCAUUUUAUUGCUACUGUUUUUCUGCAUGUCAAGUAUAUGUUCCUAUGACCAUGCGAUCAUGUAACUCACUGACACCGGAGGAAUACCUUGUGUGUAUCAAACGUCGUAACGUAACUGGGUGACUAUAAAGGUGCUCUACACGUAUCUCCAAAGGUGUUCAUUGAGUUAGCAUGGAUCAAGACUGGGAUUUGUCACUCCAUAUGACGGAGAGGUAUCUCGGGGCCCACUCGGUAAUACAACAUCACAACAAGCCUUGCAAGCAAUAUGAUUAAAGAGUUAGACAUGGUUUUUUUUAUUAUGAAAUGAGUAAAGAGACUUGCAGGUAACGAUAUUCAAAUAGUAUAGAUAUACCGACGAUCGAAUCUCGGGUAAGUAACAUACCGAAGGACAAAGGGAAUACGGGAUUAACUGAAUCCUUGACAUAGAGGUUCAACCGAUAAAGAUCUUCGUGGAAUAUGUAGGAGCCAAUAUGGACAUCCAGGUCCCACUAUUGGUUAUUGGUCAGAGAAUGUCUCGAUCAUGUCUACAUAGUUCUCGAACCCGUAGGGUCCGCACACUUAAGGUUCAGUGACGUUUCGGUAUUAUUGAGUUAUGAAUGUUGGUGACCGAAAGUUGUUCGGUGUUUGAGAUGAGAUCCCGGACAUCACGAGACCUCCGGAAUGAUCCGGAGGUAAAGAGUGAUAUAUAGGAAAGUUGCAUUUGGCUUCCGGAAAGAUUUCGGGCAUUACCGGUAAAGUACCGGGAGUGACGAAUGGGUUCCGUGGUUUCACUGCGACGGGCCACCCACCCGGGAGGAGACCGAGUAGGCCUAAAGGUGGCGCACCAACACCUAGUGGGCUGAUGUGGCCAUCCCAAUAAAACCUAUUUCGGCCAAGUGUACAAGUAAAAAGGAAAAAGGAAAAAAAGGGAGGAGGAGACCAACUAGGAAGGGAGUCCUCCACCAAACCGAAUUGGGGGAGGACUCUCCUCCCUAGCUCGGUCGAACCUCUCCUCCUUGAGGAGGAGGCAAUGUAGCCCUCCCACCUCUUCCUCCUAUAUAUAGUGGAGGUUUUGAGGGCAACACACACCUGAAAAUCCACGUGCUGCCUGAUACGUCCAUUUUGCAUCAUGCUUUCAUGUUGAUAUUUAUCGCUUUAUGGACUGUUAUUAUACUUUGUGGUACCAUACUUAUGCCUUUUCUCUCUUAUUUUGCAAGGUUUAUUUGAAGAGGGAGAAUACCGGCAGCUGGAAUUCUAGACUGGAAAAGGAGCAAGUCUGAGUCCUCUAUUCUGCGCAACUCCAAAUGCCCUGAAAAUCAACGUGGAUUUUUUUGGGAAUAUAUAAAAAAUACUGGGCGAAAGAACUGUCAGAGGGGAGCAGCCAGGGGCCCACAAGCCUGGUUGCCGCGGCCUACCCCCCUGGCCGUGGCAACAGGGCUUGUGGGCACCUUGGUGGCCCACUGGCCCCCCUCUUUUGCUAUAUGAAGGGUUUCGUCCGAGAAAAAAUCAGGGUGGAGCUUUUUCUUGGAUUCGCCGCCGCCACGAGGCGGAACUUGAGCAAAACCAAUCUAGAGCUCCGGCAGGACGAUCCUGCCGGGGAAACUUCCCUCCCGGAGGGGGAAAUCAUCGCCAUCGUCAUCACCAACACUCCUCUCGUCGGAGGGGAGUCAUCUCCAUCAACAUCUUCAUCAACACCAUCUCCUCUCCAAACCCUAGUUCAUACCAAUCUCCGUCUCGCGACUCUGAUUGGUACUUGUAAGGUUGCUAGUAGUGUUGAUUACUCUUUGUAGUUGAUGCUAGUUGGAUUACUUGGUGGAAGAGUUUAUAUUCAGAUCCUUGAUGCUACUCAUUACACCUUUGAUCAUGAUUAUGAUUAUGCUUCGUGAGUAGUUACUUUUGUUCCUGAGGACAUGGGAUAAGUCAUGCUGAUAAUAGUCAUGUGAAUUUGGUAUUCGUUCGGUAUUUUGAUAUGUUGUAUGUUGUCUUUUCCUCUAGUGGUGUUAUGUGAACGUCGACUACAUAACACUUCACCAUCUUUGGGCCUAGAGGAAGGCAUUGGGGAGUAGUAAGUAGAUGAUGGGUUGCUAGAGUGACAGAAGCUUAAACCCCAGUCUAUGCGUUGCUUCGUAAGGGGCUGAUUUGGAUCCACUAGUUUAAUGUUAUGGUUAGACGUUGUCUUAAUUCUUCUUUCGUAGUUGCAGAUGCUUACGAGAGGGGUUAAUCAUAAGUGGGAUGCUUGUCCAAGUAAGGGCAGUACCCAAGCACCAGUCCACCCAUAUAUCAAACUAUCAAAGUAACGAACGCGAAUCAUAUGAACAUGAUGAAACGAGCAUGACAGAAAUUCCCGUGUGUCCUCGGGAGCGUUUUCCCUCUUAUAAGACUUUGUUCAGGCUUGUCCCUUGCUACAAAAGGGAUUGGGCCACUUUGCUGCACCGUUGCUACUACUUGUUACUUGUUACCUUUCGCUUGCUACGUUUCACCUCACUACACCAUCACUUGUUACCGCUACUUUCAGUGCUUGCAGUUAUUACCUUGCUGAAAACCGUUUAUCAGAGCCUUCUUCUCCUCGUUGGGUUCGACACUCUUACUUAUCGAAAGGACUACGAUUUAUUCCCUAUACUUGUGGGUCAUCACUGCCCUCUCCUCCAUAGAUUGUCUACUUCAUCUAGAUUAGUCCGGCAUAGCUUGGCGAAGCCGUGCUGGAUUAGUUCACCACCACCACCACCACGCCGUCGUGCUGCCAGAGAACUCAUUUACCUCGCCGUCCCUCUUGCUGGAUCAAGAAGGUGGAGAUCAUCAUUGAGCUGUACGUAUGCUGGACGCGGAGGUGCCGUCCGUUCGGCACUAGAUCGGGAUGGACCGUGAUGGGAUCACGGGACGGAUCGUGAUGAGAUCGUGUGACGGAGUGCGAUUUGGAUCACGAAGAUGUUCGACUACAUCAACCGCGUUAUAUACGCUUCCACUUAGCGAUCUACAAGGUACGUGGAUCCGCACUCCCCCUCUCGUAGAUGGUCAUCACCAUGGAUAGAUCUUAUGUGUGCGUAGGAAAUUUUUUGUUUCCCAUGCAACGUUCCCCUUCAGUCGCAUCAUGAGCUAGGUCUAUGCAUAGAUGACAUCUCGAGUAGAACACAAAUUAGUUUGUGGGUGUUGAUAUUCAGAUUGCUGCCCUCCUUAGUCUUUUCUUGAUUCAGCGGUAUUGUUGGAUGAAGCGGCCCGGACAAACCUUACUUGUACGCUCACGAGAGACCGGUGCCAUCAACUGACAUGCAACUUGUUGCAUAAAGAUGGCUAGCGGUUGUCUGUUUCUCCUACUUUAGUUGAAUCGGAUUUGACAAAGGCGGUCCUUGGAGAAGGUUAAAUAGCAACUUGUGUAUCACCAUUAUGGUUAUGCGUAGGUAAGAAUCGUUCUUGCUAGAUACCCAUAGCAGCCAUGUAAAAGAUGCAACAACAAAUUAGAUGACAUCUAACUUGUUUUUGCAGGGUAUGCAUGUGAUGUGAUAUGGCCAAAGACAUGAUAUGAUAUAUUUGAUGUAUGAGAUGAUCAUGUCGUAAUAGUUAAAUAUCGACUUGCAUGUCGAUGCUACGACAACCGGCAGGAGCCAUAGGGUUGUCUUUAAUUAUUUUGCGCUUGGUGAUGCUUUGCUUUAUCGCUAGUUCAGUAGCUUUAGUAGCAAUAGCAUAGUUAACGCGAAAACCUCGAUGGCAGCACAAUGAUGGAGAUCAUGGUGUGGCGUCGGUGACGAUGGAUAUCAUGCCCGUGAUUUGAAGGUGGAGAUCAAAAAGCACAAGUUCAUGGCCAUAUCAUGUCACUUAUGAUUUGCAUGUGAUGUUAAUCCUUUUUAUGCACCUUGUUUUGCUUAGGACGACGGUAGCAUUAUAAGGUGAUCCCUCACUAAAAUUUCAAGAUAAAAUUGUGUUCUCCCCUAGGUUGCACCGUUGCGUAAGUUUGCCGUUUCGAGACACCACGUGAUGAUCGGCUGUGAUAGACUCUACGUUCACAUACAAUGGAUACAAAACAAUUGCAUACGCGAAACACUGGGGUUAAACUUGACGAGCCUAGCAUGUACAGACAUGGCCUCUGAACACAAGAGACCGAAAGAUCGAACAUGACUCAUAUAGUAGAUAUGAUGAACAUAGAGAUGUUCACCAGUAAAGCUAACUCAACUCAUGUCAUGAUCGGACUUGAGUUAAUGAAUUUGGAUCACGCACCACUCAACUGAGCACAGGGUUGUCAAUUUGGGUGGGAGUUCUUAAGUAAUAUGAUUAAUUGAACUCAUUAUCAUGAACAUAGUCAAAAUGCCUUUGCAAAUUAUGUUGUUGUUGGAAAUAUGCCUAGAGGCAAUAAUAAAUUGGUUAUUAUUAUAUUUCCUUGUUCAUGAUAAUCGUUUAUUAUCCAUGCUAUAAUUGUAUUGAUUGGAAACUCAAAUACAUGUGUGGAUACAUAGACAAAACACUGUCCCUAGUAACCCUCUAGUUGACUAGCUCAUUGAUCAAAGAUGGUUAAGGUUUACUAGCCAUAGACAAGUGUUGUCACUUGAUAACGGGAUCACAUCAUUAGGAGAAUGAUGUGAUGGACAAGGCCCAAACUAUAAACAUAGCAUGAUCGUGUCAGUUUAUUGCUACUAUUUCAUGCAUGUCAAUGUAUUUGUUCCUAUGACCAUGAGAUCAUAUGCAACUCCCAGACACCGGAGUAAUACCUUGUGUAUAUCAAACGUCGCAACGUAACAGGGUGACUAUAAAGGUGCUCUACAGAUAUCUCCGAAGGUGUCUAUUGGGUUGGCGUGAAUCGAGACUGGGAUUUGUCACUCCAUAUGACGGAGAGGUAUCUCGGGGCCCAAUCGGCAAUACAACAUCACAAUAAGUCUUGCAAGCAAUGUGACUAAGAAGUUAGUCACGGGAUCUUGUAUUACGGAAGGAGUAAAGAGACUUGCCGAUAACGAGAUUGAACUAGGUAUAGAGAUACCGACGAUCGAAUCUCGGGCAAGUAACAUACCGAAGGACAAAGGGAACAACAUACGAGAUUAAUUGAAUCCUUGACAUAGAGGUUCAACUGAUAAAGAUCUUCGUAGAAUAUGUAGGAGCCAAUAUGGGCAUCCAGGUCCCGCUAUUGGUUAUUGGCCGUAGAGGUGUCUUGGUCAUGUCUGCAUAGUUCUCGAACCCGUAGGGUGUGCACACUUAAGGUUCGAUGACGUUUUGGUAUAGUUGAGUUAUAUGUGUUAGUAACCGAAAGUUGUUCGGAGUCCCGGAUGAGAUCUCGGACAACAGAGGAGCUCCAGAAUGGUUUGGAGUUAAAGAUUGAUACAUAGUAAGUCCUAUUUUGGUCACCGGAAAAGUUUCAGGCUCAUCGGUAGUGUACCGGGAGUGCCGGGAGGGUACCGGGGACCAUCGAGAGGGAUGUCAUGCCCCGAGGGGCCUUAUGGGCUGUGGGAGGAUACAAACCAACCCCUAGUGGACUGACAUAAGCUCCCACUAAGUCCCAUGAGGUUUGAGAAGGAAAGAAACCCAAAGGUGGAAAAGGUGGAAAGGGUUUCCAAGUGGAGAGGAGGAAUCCUACUCCUACUAGGAUUGGAGUAGGACUCUUCCACCUCCAAUUUCGGCCAAACCUUGAGGGUUUGAGGCUGCCUCCUCCCCUCCCUCCCUCCUAUAUAUACUAGAGGUAUUGAGGGUUUUUGAGACACAUAAAAAACAACCACAUGUUGCCCUCUCUCUCUAGAUCUGUUUCUCCUCUAGUCUAGUUUCAGCGGUGCUUAGGUAAAGCCCUGCUAGAAUAGCUCCACCACCACAACCACCAUGCCGCCGUGCUGGAGAACUCAUCUACCUCUCCGCCCCUCUUUCUGGAUCAAGAAGGUGGGGAUCAUCAUCGAUCUGUACGUGUGCUGAACGCGGAGGUGCCGUCGGUUCGGCACUAGAUUGGGAUGGAUCGUGAUGGGAUCGCGGGAUGGAUCGUGAUGAGAUCGCGGGACGGACUGCGAUUUGGAUAGCGAAGAUGUUCCACUACAUCAACCGCGUUAUAUACGCUUCCGCUUAGCGAUCUACAAGGGUAUGUAGAUUCACUCUCUCCUCUCGUAGAUGACCAUCACCAUGGAUAGGUAUUUGAUACGUCUCCAUCGUAUCUACUUUUCCAAACUCUUUUGCCCUUGUUUAAUUUGGACUCUAAUUUGCAUGAUUUGAAUGGAACUAACCUAGACUGACGCUGUUUUCAGCAGAAUUGCCUUGGUGUUAUUUUUGUGCAGAAAUCAAAGUUCUCCCAACGUCGUGAAAAUUUACGGGGAGCAGUUUUGGAAAAAAAGAAAAAUAUCUGCGCCAAGUUCCACCUGAGGGGGUGGGCCACAAGCCCUGGCUCCGCCACCACCCCCCUGGUGGCGGUGGGCAGGCUUGUGGGGCCCACACGGCUCUGCUGGCCCCAACCUCAGGUCUAUAAGUUCACUUUCGUCCCAGAAAAAUUAAAAAGAGAAGUUUUCGUCGCGUUUGCGAUACGGAGCCGCUGCCACCACCUGUUCUUCAUCUGGAGGGCAGAUCUGGAGUCCGUCUUGGGCUCUGGAGAGGGGAAAUCGUCGCCAUCGUCAUCAUCAAUCUUCUUCCCUCUCCAAUUCCAUGAAGCUCUUCGUCGUUCGUGAGUAAUCUAUUCGUAGGCUCGCUGGGCGGUGAUGAGUAGGAUGAGAUCUAUCAUGUAAUCGAGUUAGUUCUGAUGGUGAUUGAUCCCUAGUAUCCACUAUGUUUUGAGAUUGAUGUUGCUACUACUUUUCCAUGCUUAAUGCUUGUCACUAGGGCCCGAGUGCCAUGAUUUCAUAUCUGAAAUUAUUAUGUUGUCACCAAUAUAUGUGUGUUUUAGAUCCGAUCUUGCAAGUUGUAGCUACCUACUAUGUGUUAUGAUCCGGCAACCCCGGAGUGACAAUAACCGGAACCACUCCCGGUGAUGACCAUAGUUUGAGGAGUUCAUGUGUUCACCAAUUGCUAAUGCGUUGGUCCGGUUCUUUAUUAAAAGGAGAACCUUAAUAUCCCGUAGUUUCCUUUUGGACCCCGCUGCCACGGGAGGGAUGGACAAUAGAUGUCAUGCAAGUUCUUUUCCCUAAGCACGUAUGACGACCCACGGAAUGCAUGCCUGCAUCACAUUGAUGAACGGGAGCUAGACACAUAUCUCUCCGUGUUAUAACUGUUGCAUGAUGAAUAUCAUCCAAACAAAUCACCGACCCAUUGCCUACGAGUUUGUCCUACUGCUGAUGUUACUUGUUUUGCUCUGCUGUUGUUACUACUGUUGCUGCUGCUACUGUUGCUACUACUGUCGCUUGCUACUAUUGGUACUUGCUACUGCUGUCACUACUGUUGUUCCUUGCCACUGCCGUUACUCUCUACUUUGCUGUUACUACUUUGCUUGCAGAUACUAAUCUUUCAGGUGUGGUUGAAUCUGACACAUUCAGCCGCUAAUACUUGAGAGUAUUCUCUCACCUCCUGUUUGGCGAAUCAACAAAUUUGGGUCGAAUACUCUACCCUCGAAAACUGCUGCGAACCCACGCGCUGGUGGGCCGUCAACAACAUUCUGCUAGUUCCAUUACUGGGGAGUGCUAGCAGCAUUCUUCUGGUGCCGUUGCAGGGGAAGCUUUGUUGUCACAGAAUCAGCAUUCGUCUAGCUAUUUCCAGAGAGUGCCAGUCAGCAUUUUUCUGGCGCCGUUGCCGGGGAGGUAUUGCUAUAUUCUGUGAGUCACUUGGGAUUUAUAUCUGCUGAUCACUAUGAAGAAUCUGAAGGAUCCGAAAACCAAAGUCUUGCCCUCAACUACGAGGGGAGGUAAGGAAUUGCCAUCUAGCUCUGCACUUGAUUCACCUUCAGUUAUGAGUAAGUUUGCGACAUCACCUCCUGCUAGAAAUCUUGAUAUGUCGCCUGUGCUUGAUGAUGCUUAUGAUGCUACUGCUAGAGAUGCUAUGCUUGAUACUUCUAGAGAUGCUAAGCUUGAUACUGCUUUGCCUGAUGAUGCUAGAGAUGCUAUUUUGCCUGAUGUUGCUAUGCUUGAUACUGCUAGAGAUACUACUUUGCCUGAUGUUCCACUAGGGGUGUUCCUUGAUGCUCAUAUUGCUAGAGUUACUCCCAAUGCUCGUGAUACUUCUGAAACUACCGAUACUAUUGAGAUAGAACCUGCUUUUGCUCCUGCUAGAUCUAGCUCUCCUAGAUAUGAAUUGCCUGAUAUACCUGAGGGUUACGUUAUGGAGGGAGAGAUAGCUGAGGAUUUUCUUACGUGUAAGGAUGCCUAUGACGCUGAGAAAUUACUUCUCAAGUGGAAGGAAAAAUCUCGGGAAGCUAAGAUGAAAUAUGACCCGAAGUUUGCCACUUCACCUAUCUUUAUCACCGAUAAGGAUUAUGAAUUCUCUGUCGACCCUGAGAUAAUCUCUCUAGUCGAAUCUAAUCCUUUUCACGAUUAUGAGUCUGAGACUGUCGUAGCCCAUCUUGCCAAACUACACGAUAUAGCCACCCUUUUCACUAAUGAGGAGAAGAUCCACCGCUACUAUAUCCUUAAGCUGUUUCAUUUCUCUCUAAAGGAUGACGCUAAAGCCUGGUUCAUCUCUCUUGCUCCUGGAUGUGUGAGUAGUCCCCGGGAGAUGGUCUAUUACUUCUGUGAGAAAUAUUUCCCUGCCCAUAAGAAGCAAGCUGCCUUGCAGGAAAUAUACAACUUUGCUCAACUCCAAGAAGAGAGUCUCCCACAAGCUUGGGGGAGGCUCGUCCAGCUACAGAAUGCUUUGCCUGAUCACCCUCUUAAGAAGAACGAGAUACUUGAUAUCCUCUAUAACGGACUUACUGAUGCCUCUAGAGACCACCUAGAUAGUUGUGUCGGUUGUGUUUUUAGGGAACGAACUAUAGAACAAGCUGAGACCCUACUGAAUAACAUCGUGAUCAACGAUAAUGCUUGGACUAUUCCUGAACCACCUCCGAAGCCAACUCCUAAGAAAAGAGGUAUUCUAUUCCUCAGUUCUGAAGAUAUGCAAGAAGCCAAGAAAUCCAUGCAAGAGAAAGGCAUUAGAUCUAAAGAUAUCAAAAAUCUACCACCUAUCGAAGAGAUCCAUGGUCUCGAUAACCCGAUAUAGGUAGUGGUAGUGAAUUCUCUGCGUAGGUUUGAUGAGAGUGAUAUUCCUUUUGAUAAACCUGCUAGCCUAUGCUUUGAUGAAUUUGAAAACUUUGUUGCCAAACAACAGAGUUUCAAUGAUUAUGUUAGCAGACAUUUGGAACAAAGUACUCGUAUGCUUAGCCAUUUAAGUGCUUGUGUAGACAGAAAUAUAAAUGCUCUGAAGCUUCUGAGUAAACAUGACUCUAUGAUUACUACUCAGGUAGAACAAGUACUUAAAGCUUAUAAUAACUUGCUCAAUGAAUUACAGGACAACUCUGUCAGAGUCAUUACUAGAGGAGGCAAAAUGACUCAGGAACCUUUGUAUCCUGAAGGUCAUCCUAAGAGAAUUGAUCAAGAUUCUCAAGGAGUCAAUGCUGAUACACCUAGUCAUCCUAAGGAGAAGAAGAAGGAUGAUAGAAACCUGCAUGCCAGUUCACCAAAUACUGUCACACCUAAAGAACCUAAUGAUAUUUCUGCGUCUGAUGCAGAAACACAAUGUGGUGAUGAACAUGAACCUGGUGACAAUAUGGACAAUGAUGUUCAUAAUAAUGCUCAACCUAGCAAUGAUGAGGAUGUGGAGAUUGAACCUACGGUUAAUCCUGAUAACCCACAACCUUAGAAAUAUGAUAAGAAUGACUUCACUGCUAGGAAGCAUGGUAAAGAAAGAGAGCCAUGGGUUCAGAGACCUAUGCCCUUCCCUCCUAAGCAAUCCAAGAAAAAGGAUGAUGAGGAUUUUGAGCGCUUCGUUGAGAUGAUUUGACCCAUCUUUCUGCAGAUGCGGUUAACUGAUAUGCUCAAGAUGUCUCCGUAUGCCAAGUACAUGAAAGAUAUCGUGACUAAUAAACGGAAGAUACCGGAUCUUGAGAUCUCCACCAUGCUUGCCAACUACACUUUCAAAGGUGGAAUUCCUAAGAAACUUGGUGAUCCCGGAGUGCCCACUAUACCUUGCUCCAUUAAAGGAAACUACGUAAGAACUGCCUUAUGUGACCUUGGAGCGAGUGUUAGUGUUAUGCCACUCUCUCUUUAUCGUAGACUUGAGUUGGAUAAGUUGACACCCAGUGAAAUUUCUCUGCAAAUGGCCGACAAGUCAGCUUCUUUCCCUAUCGGCCUUUGCGAGGAUGUGCCUGUUGUGGUUGCUAACACCACUAUCUUAAGAGACUUUGUUAUCUUGGAUAUUCCCGAGGACGAUGUCAUGGCUGUCAUCCUCGGAAGACCCUUUUUAAAUACUGCAGGGGCUGUUAUAGAUUGCAACAAAGGCAAUGUCACUUUCCAUGUCAACGGUAAUGAGCACACAGUGCACUUUCCGAAGAAACGAUAUCAAGUACAUUGCAUCAAUGCUAUCGAAAAGACUUCAUCGAUUCUCAUUGGGAUCUUUGAAUGUCCUAUUCCUCAUGUCAAGAUGAAGUAUGAUUUUCUUGUUGGGGAGAUACAUAUCCCCAUUGAGGUGACUUAGUGGCUAUUAGAAAUUUCUCCGUUCUCUCUUGUGAUUCGAGAAGGUUUUGUCAUAAGGACUUGAUCAAUCCCAUUGACGGAUUUCUUCCGAUGACCAUGAAACGGAUGAAUCAAAGAGCCACAUACCUCCGUUUAGAGCUUUCAUUUUCUUUUGCUUAGAAGAAAAAUGAUAGAAUUAGUUUAGCUUUUCCUGUUUUCUGUUUUAGCGUCCCGGAGAAAAAUACCUCAAAAAUAAAAGUUCUCCGAUGGUCCUGAAAAUUUAGUAUGAUUUUUUUUGGAAUUUUUGAAAAUUUCUGGGCCUAAGAGCUGGCCUGGGGGCCAGACCAGUGGGCCACAAGCCCUACCACCGCCACCUACCCCCUUGGUGGCGGAGUGCAAGCUUGUGGGGCCCACAUGGACCCCCUCCACUCAUUCCAGCUCCCAGCCUCUUCUUCCACCUCCAGGAAAAAUUGUUUCGCAGCUCAAACCCGUGUUCUUGCUCACUUGGCUGUAAUUUUCGAUCUCCUUGCUCAAAGCACCAUUCUUCGAACCGUUUUGGGGAAAUUACUCCUUCGUAAGUGACUCCUCCAUUGGUCCAAUUAGUUUUUUCUCUAGUGCUUUAUCCUUCGCGAAUUCUUGCUACCUUGGUGACCCUGUUCUUGAGCUUGAAAGGUUGAUUUUAGCUGGUCCCAAGUAGUUUUAGCGCGUGAUACGGUCUCUAGGCACUAGUAGGAGUAGUUGCUACAAGGUAUGUGAUACGUCCAUUUUGCAUCAUGCUUUCAUGUUGAUAUUUAUUGCUUCUUGGGCUGUUAUAUUACUUGUGGUACCAUAUUUAUGCCUUUUCUCUGUUAUUUUGCAAGGUUUAUUUGAAGAGGGAGAAUUCAGGCAGCUGGAAUUCUGGACUGGAAAAGGAGCAAAUCCUAGUCCACUAUUCUGCACAUCUCCAAAUUCCGUGAAUAUUUACAUGGAUUUUUUCUGGAAUAUAUUAAAAAUACUCGGUGAAAGAACUACUGGAGGGGGGCCACGAGGGCCCCACAAGCUUGCCCACCGCCACCACCCCCCUGGUGGCGUAGGGAAGGCUUGUGGGCUUCCUGAAGGCCCACUAGCCCCUCUCUUUUGCUAUAUGAAGCGUCCUGGCCUGGAAAAAAUCAAUAGGGAGCUUUUUCGUGGUUUCGCCGCCGCCACGAGGCGGAACUUGAGCAGAUCCAAUCUAGAGCUCUGGCAGGACGAUCCUGCCGGGGAAAUUUCCCUCCCGGAGGGGGGAAUCGUCGCCAUCGUCAUCACCAACACUCCUCUCGUCGGAGGGGAGGCAUCUUCAUCAACAUCUUCAUCAGCACCAUCUCCUCUCCAAUCCUUAGUUCAUCUCUUGUAACCAAUCUUCGUCUCGCAACUCAGAUUGGUACUUGUAAGGUUGCUAGUAGUGUUGAUUACUCCGGGUAUGAUUAUGAUUAUGUCUUGUGAGUAGUUACUUUUGUUCCCGAGGACAUGGGAUAAGUCAUACUCAUAAUAGUCAUGUGAAUUUGAUAUUCGUUCGGUAUUUUGAUAUGUUGUAUGUUGUUUUUCCUCUAGUGGUGUUAUGUGAAUGUCGACUACAUAACACUUCACCAUAUUUGGGCCUAGAGGAAGGCAUUGUGAAGUGGUAAGUAGAUGAUGGGUUGCUGGAGUGACAGAAGCUUAAACCCCAGUCUAUGCAUUGCUUCGUGAGGGGCUGAUUUGGAUCCACUAGUUUAAUGCUAUGGUUAGACUUUGUCUUAAUUCUUCUUUUGUAGUUGCGGAUGCUUGCGAGAGAGGUUAAUCUUAAGUGGGAUGCUUGUCCAAGUAAGGGCAGUACCCAAGCGCCGGUCCACCCACAUAUCAAACUAUCAAAGUAACAAACGCGAAUCAUAUGAACAUGAUGAAACUAGCAUGGCAGAAAUUCCCGUGUGUCCUCGGGAGCGUUUUUCCUCGUAUAAGAAUUUGUUCAGGCUUGUCCCUUGCUAUAAAAGGGAUUGGGCCACUAGCUGCACCAUUGCUACUACUUGUUACUUGUUACUCUUUGCUUGCUACGUUUCACCUCGCUACACAAUCACUUGUUACCGCUACUUUCAGUGCUUGCAGUUAUUACCUUGCUGAAAUCCGUUUAUGAGACCCUUUUGCUCCUCGUUGGGUUCGACACUCUUACUUAUCGAAAGGACUACGAUUGAACCCCUAUACUUGUGGAUCAUCAAGACUCUUUUCUGGCACCGUUGCCGGGGAGUGAAGUGCCUUUGGUAAGUGGAAAUUGGUAAGGAAACAUUUAUAUACUGUGCUGAAAUUUAUUGUCACUUGUCUCUAUGGAAACUCUUCCUUUGAGGAGUUUGUUCGGGGUAUCUUCACCACGAACGGAAGCACGAGGAGUUUCUCCUCAACCGGAGGUACCUACAGAAAAUAUCUUUUAUGAAAUUCCUUUGGGUAUGCUUGAGAAACUGCGGCUAAUCCUUUUACACGAGAUGGAUCUUCACAUCCAGACUUUCAUCUAAUCUAUGUAGAUGAAGUUUGUGGUUUAUUUAAGCUUGCAGGUUUGCCCAAGGAUGAGGUAAAGAAGAAAGUCUUUCCUUUAUCUUUGAAGGAUAAGGCGUUGACAUGGUAUAGGCUAUGUGAUGAUGCUGGAUCAUGGGGCUACAAUCGGUUGAAAUUGUAAUUUCAUCAAAUGUUCUAUCCUAUGCAUUUAGUAGAUCGUGAUCGGAACUUUAUUUAUAACUUUUGGCCUCGUGAUAGGGAAAGCAUAGCUCAAGCUUGGGGAGGCUUAAAUCAAUGCUAUAUUCAUGCCCCAAUCAUGAGCUCUCGAGAGAAAUCAUCACUCAAAACUUUUAUGCUUGGCUUUCUCAUGAAGAUCGUACCAUGCUUGACACUUCUUGUGCCGGUUCUUUAUGAAGAAGGAUAUUGAUCACAAGUGAAAUUUAUUGGAGAGAAUCAAACACAACUCUGAAGAUUGGGAGCUGGAGGAAGGUAAGGACUCAGGUAUGAAUUUCCAGUUUGAUUGUGUUAAAUCUUUUGUUGAGACAAACACUUCUAGAGAUUUUAGCGCUAAGUAUGGACUUGACUCUGAGAUAGUAGCUUCUCUAUGUGAAUCUUUUGCUGCUCAUGUUGAUCUUCCCAAAGAGAAGUGGUUUAAAUAUCGUCCUCGUGUAGAAAGCAACAUAGCCAAAACCAAUCUAGUUGAGGAGAAAAUCAUAGCUUUUAGUGAUCCUGUUGUUCCUUGUGCUUACACUGAGAAACCACCAUACCCUGCUAGGAUGAAGGACUAUUCUAAAGCUCCAACUGUGAUACGUAGGGGUUACAUUAGACCACUUGCACCCCCCGAGGAGAUUAGAGUUGAACCUAGUGUUGCUAUUAUCAAAGAUCUCUUAGCCGAAGACAUAGACAGGCAUGUUAUUAAAUUCUGUGAGGACUCCGCUAGAAUUGCUAAACCUCACGUGAAAGACAAGCACGGACCUGUAGUUGGCCUGCCCGUUGUUUCUGUUAAGAUAAGAGAUCACUGUUAUCAUGGUUUAUGUGAUAUGAGAGCUAGUGUUAGUGCAAUACCCCGUUCUCUCUAUGAUGAAAUCAAAGAUGAGAUUGCACCUGCUGAGUUACAACCCAUUGAUGUCACUAUUACGUUAGCUAAUAGAGACACUAUCUGCCCUCUGGGAAUUGUGGGAGACGUAGAAGUCCUGUGUGGUAAGACGAAGUAUCCUACUGAUUUCCUCGUCCUUGGUACUGCACAAGAUAGCUUUUGUCCCAUCAUAUUUGGUAGACCCUUUCUCAACACUGUCAAUGCUCACAUUGAUUGCAUUAAGCAGACUGCCACAGUAAGUUUUGAGGGUGUGCCUCAUGAAUUUAACUUCUCCAAGUUUGGAAGACAACCCCAUGAAAGAGAGUCGUCUGGUAGAGAUGAAAUCAUUGCUCUUGCCUCUAUUUCCGUACCUCCUACGGAUCCUUUAGAGCAAUAUCUUCUUGAGCAUGAAAAUGAUAUGCAUAUGGAGGAGAGAGAUGAGAUAGAUAGAAUUGUCUUAGAACAAUAUCCUAUUCUCAAGAAUAAUCUGCCUGUUGAACUGCUUGGGGAUCCUCCCCCACCAAAGGGAGAUCCUGUGUUCGAGCUUAAACAGUUGCCUGAUACUCUUAAGUAUGCCUGUCUUGAUGAGAAGGAGAUAUAUCCUGUCAUUAUUAGUGCUCUCCUCUCAGAGCGCGAAGAGAAGAAGUUACUAAAAACUCUGAAGAAGCACCGCGCUGCUAUUGGAUAUACUCUUGAUGAUCUUAAGGGUAUUGGUCCUACUCUAUGUCAGCACAAGAUUAAAACCGAUCCUGACUUUAAGCCAGUUGCUGAUCAUCAAAGGAGAUUAAAUCCUAAGAUAAAAGAGGUCGUUACAAAAGAAAUAUUAAAGCUUAUGGAAGCAGGAAUCAUUUAUCCUGUUGCUCAUAGUGAUUGGGUAAGUCCAGUACAUUGCCUACCUAAGAAGGGAGGUAUCACCGUCGUUCCUAAUGAUAAGGAUGAACUAAUCCCACAAAGUAUUAUUACCGGCUAUAGAAUGGUGAUAGACUUCCGGAAACUGAACAAGGCAACCAGGAAAGAUCAUUAUCCUUUGUCGUUCAUCGACCAAAUGCUAGAAAGGUUAUCAAAACACACACACUUCUGCUUUCUAGACGGUUAUUCAGGUUUCUCGCAAAUACCCGUUGCACAGUCUGAUCAAGAGAAAACCACUUUCACCUGCCCUUUCGGUACCUUUGCCUAUAGAUGUAUGCCUUUUGGCUUAUGUAAUGCACCCGCCACCUUCCAAAGAUGUAUGAUGGCUAUAUUCUCUGACUUUUGUGAAAAGAUUGUCGAGGUUUUCAUGGAUGACUUCUCUGUUUACGGGUCUUCCUUUGAUGAUUGCCUCAGCAACCUUAAUCGAGUCUUACAGAGAUGCGAAGAAACCAACCUCGUCUUGAAUUGGGAGAAGUGCCACUUUAUGGUUAAUGAAGGUAUCGUCUUAGGACACAAAAUCUCUGAAAGAGGCAUUGAAGUUGAUAAGGCUAAGGUUGAUGCAAUUGAGAAAAUGCCUUGCCCCACAGAUAUCAGAGGUAUACGAAGUUUCUUAGGUCAUGCUGGUUUCUAUAGAAGGUUCAUUAAAGACUUUUCUAAGAUUUCUAGGCCUCUUACCAACCUCUUGCAGAAGGAUGUUCCUUUUGUUUUUGAUGAGGAUUGUGAGGAAGCCUUCGAAAUACUUAAGAAGGCUUUGAUAACCGCACCUAUUGUUCAACCACCUGACUGGAACUUGCCCUUUGAAAUCAUGUGUGACGCUAGUGAUUAUGCUGUUGGUGCUGUUGUAGGACAAAGAGUUGACAAGAAGUUGAAUGUCAUUCACUACGCUAGUAAAACUCUAGACAGUGCCCAAAGAAACUAUGCCACUACGGAGAAGGAAUUUUUAGCAGUCGUGUUUGCAUGUGAAAAGUUCAGAUCUUACAUAGUUGACUCCAAAGUCACUAUUCAUUCUGAUCAUGUUGCUAUUAAGUACCUUAUGCAGAAGAAGGACGCUAGGCCUAGGCUGAUCAGAUGGGUUCUCCUGCUACAGGAAUUUGAUUUGCACGUCGUUGACCGAAAAGGUGCGGAUAACCUUGUAGCAGAUAACUUGUCUAGGCUAGAGAAUGUCCUUGAUGACCCACUACCAAUUGAUGACAGCUUUCCUGAUGAGCAAUUAAAUGUCAUCCGCACUUCACUUAGUGCACCGUGGUAUGCCGAUUAUGCAAACUAUAUCAUAGCCAAAUACAUACCACCCAGUUUCACCUAUCAACAAAAGAAGAAAUUCUUCUUUGAUUUGAGACACUAAUUUUGGGAUGAUCCUCACCUUUAUAAGGAAGGAGUAGAUGGUGUUAUUAGACGUUGUGUGCCUGAACAUGAACAGGGACAGAUCCUGUAGAAGUGUCAUUCCGAAGCCUACGGAGGACACCAUGCUGGAGAUAGAACUGCCCACAAGGUAUUGCAAUCAGGUUUCUAUUGGCCCACUCUCUUCAAGGAUGCUCGUAAGUUUGUCUUAUCUUGUGACGAAUGCCAAAGGAUAGGGAACAUUAGUAAGCGUCAAUAGAUGCAUAUGAACUAUUCACUUGUCAUUGAACCAUUUGAUGUCUGGGGCUUUGAUUAUAUGGGACCCUUCCCGAGUUCCAAUGGGUACACUCACAUCUUAGUUGCUGUGGAUUACGUUACUAAGUGGGUAGAAGCUAUCCCCACUAAAAAUGUUGAUCACCACACCUCUAUUAAGAUGCUUAAAGAAGUCAUAUUCCCAAGAUUUGGAUUCCCUAGAUACUUGAUGACUGAUGGUGGUUCACACUUCAUUCAUGGUGUUUUCCGCAAGAUGCUAGCUAAGUAUGAUGUCAACCAUAGAGUUGCAUCUCCUUAUCAUCCUCAGUCUAGUGGUCAAGUGGAGUUGAGUAAUAGGGAGAUCAAGUUGAUCCUACAAAAGACCGUCAAUAGAUCUCGAAAGAACUGGUCUAGCAAACUUGACGAUGCACUAUGGGCUUAUAGGACUGCUUAUAAGAAUCCCAUGGGCAUGUCACCGUAUAAAAUGGUUUACGGUAAGGCCUGUCAUUUACCUCUUGCGUUGGAACACAAAGCUUAUUGGGCAAUCAAAGAGCUCAACUUUGAUUUCAAACUUGCCGGUUAGAAGCAGUUGUUUGAUAUCAGCUCGUUAGAUGAAUGGAGAGCCCAGGCAUAUGAGAAUGCCAGGUUGUUCAAGGAAAAGGUUAAGAGAUGGUACGACAAACGAAUACAGAAACGAGAGUUCAAUGUAGGUGAUUAUGUCUUGCUAUACAAUUCUCGUUUGAGAUUCUUUGCAGGCAAGCUUCUCUCUAAAUGGGAAGGUCCCUAUGUUGUCGAGGAAGUAUAUCGUUCCGGUGCCAUCAAAAUCAAUAACACGGAAGGAAAUUUUCCUAGAGUGGUAAAUGGGCAAAGAAUCAAGCAUUACAUCUCUGGUACUCCCAUAAAUGUUGAGACCAAUAUCAUCAAUGUCAUAACUCCAGAGGAGUACAUAAGGGAUGUUUAUCAGCCUGUUUCAGACCUUGAAAACGAAGAUGUAUCUGUUUCGCAAGAAAUUGUACUCCGAUACUUUUCCAAUAGAAAAUUUCCUCAGUUUUGGAAUUUUUGGAAAAUUAGAAAAAUAAAAAUAAGUCCGGAGAGCAAACGAGGAAGCCACAAGGGCCCACUCCGCCACCACCCCCUGGUGGCGGUGGGCAAGCUUGUGGGCACCUCGUAUGCCUCCCGGACUCCGUUUUCUUGCGGAGGACUCCUUCUGGCCCAGAAAAAAAAUCAAUAUAUAGUUGCCCGAAGGUUUUGAUCUCCGUAUCACGUAGUUUUCCUCUGUUUUUGUUUCGAGCUUGUUGUCUGCCGCAGAUUUAGAGAAAAGAUGUCUCAGGAAUCUGUUGGGGAGAAUGAUCUUCACCAAGUUCAUGAGGAAGUAGAUGCUGAUCUGAAAAGAGUAGAAGUUACAGAAGCCAGGGACCAAGCUAAGGAUAAAACCCAAGCUAGGGAGGAAGUUCAACCUAUGUCAACAUUGAAGACGUUGAAGGAGUAGACUUUCUCCAACCCUUCCUCCACAUGCUGUCUCCAUCCUUGAUUGAAGUCUUGAGGUUUUGCAAAACAACUCGUGCUCACAAUAUUUAUCUUUCUCGUGAAGUUGUUUUGCUGGAAAACCAUGUCACAGAUCUCAAAGGUAUAAAUCAAAGGUUGAUAGCUUUCUUGGAAUCAAAGGCGACAACAACACCACCAUCACCACCAAAGGAAGACAACUAAGCAUUGGUAUGGGCAAUCCCCUUCGCUUCUGCCAAGCUUGGGGGAGUUGCCCUGGUAUCGUAUCACCUUUAUAUCUUUUGCUUUUACCUUUGUUUUAGUUCUUUCCUUUUCAGUUUUUAUUUCUUCUUUUAGAGGAAUAAGUCUUUAGUUUGUAGUUUGAGUCUUUUGCUUUUGUCUCUCCCCCGAUGUAUUCGAGCUUACGAGCUAUAUAAUAAAGAGUGUCUUAGUCAAGGGCUUUGCUUUGUGCCAUGAUCAAAGAGUAUGAAAAGAAUGAUAGCAUGAAAGAUCAUGAGACGAUCUUAUGGAAAGUGAUAACUUCACUUAUGACAUGUAUGAUGAUUGAAACGUGUUGAGAAUAAAUCAACAUAGACAUUAGUCAUUGUUGCAAUUAAUAAGAAGUAAUAAGGAAAGAGUGGUCCACAUAUAAAUAUAUCAUCUUAGACACUUUUUACAAUUGUGAGCACUCACCAAACUAUUACAUUCCUAGGAGUAGAUGUUGAACAAGGAAGACAACAUAAUGAAUUGUGUUUGCUUGGUUCCAAACAAUGUUAUAUGAUUAGAGAUCCCUUAGCAUGUGACGAUUGCUUCCACCUCAUAUUAGCCAAAACCCCCGCACCAAGUAGAGAUACUACUUGUGCAUCCAUAAACCUCAAACCAGUUUUGCCAUGAGAGUCCACCAUACCUACCUAUGGAUUGAAUAAGAUCCUUCAAGUAAGUUGUCAUCGGUGCAAGCAAUAAAAAUUGCUCUCUAAUAUGUAUGAUCUAUUAGUGUGUGGAAAAUAAGCUUUGUACGAACCUGUGAUGAGGAAGACAUAAAAGCGACAGACUGCAUAAUAAAGUUCUUUGUCACAUGAGGCAAUAUAAAGUGACGUUUCUCCGCACUAAGAGGACAUGCAUCCAAACCUCAAAAGCGCAUGACAACCUCUGCUUCCCUCUGCGAAGGGCCUAUAUUGUACCUUUACUUUUUACCCUUGUAAGAGUCAUGGUGAUCAUCACCAAUUCCCUUUUUGCCCUUGUCUUGGCUACCGUCACAUUCUUGGGAAAGAUCUAUAUUCAUAUAUCAACUUGGAGUUGAGUACUCAUGCUUUAUUAUUGUUGACUUUACCCUUGAGGUAAACCGUUGGGAGACAAAACUAUAAGACCAUAUCUUCCUCUGUGUGUAGCUGAAGCUUUGACACCAUGAGUACCACGUGAGUUAUAACAAUUGUGGAAAAUAAAAGAGAUGAUUGAGUAUGUGGGUUUGCCUUACUAGCUCUUAUUUGACUCUUUCUGAUGUUGUGAUAAAUUGCAAUUGCUUCAGUGACUAUUGAUUAUUGUUGGUUACUUCUCGGUAAGGUUUUUGCUUCAUGCUUUGCUUUGUGAAGGAAUUGUUACUUUCCCAUAAGAAUAUUUAUGAUAUAUUAAUGUUCUAUGUGUGAUCAUGAUGCCCUCAUGUUCGUAUUAUGUUUUAUCGACACCUUCGUCCCUCAACAUGUGGACAUGUUUAUGGAACUUGGUUUUCGCUUGAGCACAAGCGAGGUCUAAGCUUGGGGGAGUUGAUACGUCCAUUUUGCAUCAUGCUUUCAUGUUGAUAUUUAUUGCUUCUUGGGCUGUUAUAUUACUUGUGGUACCAUAUUUAUGCCUUUUCUCUCUUAUUUUGCAAGGUUUAUUUGAAGAGGGAGAAUUCAGGCAACUGGAAUUCUGGACUGGAAAAGGAGCAAAUCCUAGUCCACUAUUCUGCACAUCUCCAAAUGCCCUAAAAAUUUACGUGGAUUUUUUUUGGAAUAUAUUAAAAAAUACUGGGCGACAGAACUACUGGAGGGGGCCACCACGGCCCCACAAGCUUGCCCACCGCCACCACCCCCAUGGUGGUGCAGGGCAGGCUUGUGGGCUGCGUGAAGGCCCACUAGCCCCCCUCUUUUUUUUAUAUGAAGCGUCCUGGUCUGGAAAAAAAUCAAUAGGGAGCUUUUUCGUGGUUUCGCCGCCGCCACGAGGCGGAACUUGAGCAGAUCCAAUCUAGAGCUCCAGGAGGACGAUCCUGUCGGGGAAAUUUCCCUCACGGAGGGGGGAAUCGUCGCCAUCGUCAUCACCAACACUCCUCUCGUCGGAGGGGAGGCAGCUUCAUCAAUAUCUUCACCAGCACCAUCUCCUCUCCAAUCACUAGUUCAUCUCUUGUAACCAAUCUUCGUCUCGCAACUCAGAUUGGUACUUGUAAGGUUGCUAGUAGUGUUGAUUACUCUUUGUAGUUGAUGCUAGUUGGAUUACUUGGUGGAAGAGUUUAUGUUCAGAUCCUUGAUGCUAUUCAUUAUACCUCUGGUCAUGAUUAUGAUUAUGUCUUGUGAGUAGUUACUUUUGUUCCUGAGGACAUGGGAUAAGUCAUGCUGAUAAUAGUCAUGUGAAUUUGAUAUUUGUUCGGUAUUUUGAUAUGUUGUAUGUUGUUUUUCCUCUAGUGGUGUUAUGUGAACGUCGACUACAUAACACUUCACCAUAUUUAGGCCUAGAGGAAGGCAUUGUGAAGUAGUAAGUAGAUGAUGGGUUGCUGGAGUGACAGAAGCUUAAACCCCAGUCUAUGCGUUGCUUCGUGAGGGGCUGAUUUGGAUCCAGUAGUUUAAUGCUAUGGUUAGACUUUGUCUUAAUUCUUCUUUUGUAGUUGCGGAUGCUUGCGAGAGAGGUUAAUCAUAAGCGGGAUGCUUGUCCAAGUAAGGGCAGUACCCAAGCGUCGGUCCACCCACAUAUCAAACUAUCAAAGUAACGAACGCGAAUCAUAUGAACAUGAUGAAACUAGCAUGACAGAAAUUCCCGUGUGUCCUCGGGAGCGUUUUUCCUCCUAUAAGACUUUGUUCAGGCUUGUCCCUUGCUACAAAAGGGAUAGGGCCACUUGCUGCACCAUUGCUACUACUUGUUACUUGUUCCUCUUUGCUUGCUACGUUUCACCUUGCUACACAAUCACUUGUUACCGCUACUUUCAGUGCUUGCAGUUAUUACCUUGCUGAAAUCCGUUUAUCAGAGCCUUCUGCUCCUCGUUGGGUUCGACACUCUUACUUAUCAAAAGGACUACGAUUGAUCCCCUAUACUUGUGGGUCAUCAGUAUGGUUGGUCUUCAUUCACUUUUCUCUUGAACUUCAAAAAUUUCAGCAAAAGGAAAUUAUGUUCAGGAGGAAGUUUUAUGGUGGUUCCUCAAGUAAGAAGGGUCCCCCUCUUUCUUUUCGGGAGCCCGAACCUUUUCAACUAAGGGACGCACCGGUACAACCAUCUGAAUGGCCUUCCGAUGAGUUCAUGAUUGAAGCAGGUUUCAAGGAUGAGUUUGAUACACUUGUCCGCAAUGCCGGGUUAGAAGAAUUCCUCUCAGAUAAGUGUGAACAGUAUGCUAUGCUCACUGCCUCUUUCGUGCGUAGAUUUAAAUUUUCAGUUGGCCGUGACUCAUCCAUACUGUUUGAUCUGUACGAUAAAUCUUAUACCGUGGAUUUGGAGGAUUUCAAUAGGAUUUGCAAGAUACCCGAUGGGGGUAGUAUUAAUGAUCCUUCUAAAUCUUCGGUCAGAGACUUUGUCUCUAGUAUAACUGUUGGAGAAACCAGAGAUAUCAUGCAAGCCACCAUAGGAAGCAUCCAUUUCCCUACCUUGCACUACCUUUCCCUCUUCAUAGGUAGGUGCAUUAACGGCAAGGGUGCACAUUGUCACCUAUGCGCUUCGGACCUUAGUAUCCUUAAGAGCGCAGUAACAGGUGACAGGCACUACAGGAAUCAACUUCUUUGCCGUCUGCCAUCACGGACGGCAAAGAGUAAAUCCCGGACAGCAAAGAGAAUAUCACAGACGGCAAAGAAUCUCACGGCCGACAAAAUUUCUGCGUCAGCCUACGACGGCAUCGUACCUUCUUUGCCGUCUGUCUCCCCAAAGCGGGCGACAAAGAGCUUUGCCGUCAGCUUUUCAUAGGAGCAGUUGGCAAAGUGAUCGAGACGGCAGCCAACAGGCGUUGCCUCCGUUAGGGGCUAACGGAGGCUUUGCCGUCUGCCUCCCCCUCUUCUUUGCCGUCUACCUCCCCCCCUCUUCUUUGCCGUCUGCCUCCCCCCUCUUCUUUGUUGUCUGCCUCCUCCUCCCCCCUCCACUCUUUGCCGUCUGCCUACCCCUCCCCCCUCCUCCGUGCCCUCUUCUUUGCCGUCUGCCCCCCUGGAAGCAGACGACAAAGAUACUAUAUGGCCAGCUACUACUGCCCAGGUUGCACAGCUGGGCGCCACGUGGCACCUUUGCCGUCGGCCAGCUGAUGGCAAAGGCCUUUGCCAUCAGCUAGCAGACGGAAAAGAGCCUAUAUUGUCACAUUUUUGUUUAUUUUUUCUAUUUCACAGCACAUAUACAUAUAAUUCAUAGCACAUAUAUGAUAAAUAGGUCACAACACAUAUAUGAUAUACAUAUAAAGCUCAUCAAUGCCAUUUGUUCAUCAACGUACAUCCCAUAUAUCAAAAGAACCAACACAUACAAAGUUUCAUCCAUAUAUACAUACAUAUAGUUGCACAUAUAUUGUUCAUCCAUAUAUACAUAUACAUAUAGUUCCACAUUGUUCAUCAACUCAAAUAAAAACGGAAACUAAAGCACUCCAAUGCCAGCUUCCAUGCAUGUAGUACAUCCAAUCUGCAAAAUGGGAAUAAGAAAGUAAGAAGAAGAAGAACAACAACAUAUAUAUGAAAAAUAAGCUAAAUUGAAGAAGAAAGAUAAGAAGGAAGAAGAGAACAAGGAGAAGAAAAACAAGAAGGAGGAGGAGGAGGAGGAGGAGGAGGGGAAGGGGAAGGAGAAGGAUAAGGAGGAGGAGAAGAAGAAAAAUAAGAGAAGGAGAAGGAGAAGGAGGAGGAGGAGAAGGAGGAGAGAAGAAGAAGGAGAAGAAGGAGGGCUAUUUCUUCUUCUUCUCCUCCUUCUCCUUCUUCUUCUCUUCUUCUCCUCCUCCUCCUUCUUCUUCUCCUUCUCCUUUUCCUUCUCUUCUUCUCUUCUUCUUCUUCUUCUUCCUUCUUUUCAUUUCUCCUAUUCUCCUCUUCUUGGAGCUAAAUUAGCUAACUAUAUAAUAUUAAUGAGCUAACCAAGGUUCUUAUGCCAUUUUGAGCUUAUAAUGUCUUUUAGGAGCUAAAUUGGCUAAUUAUAUCAUUGUUGGGGAAAUUAAGGAAGGAGAAUAUGAAAUAGGAGAAGAAAGAGGAGGAGGAGGAGAAGAAGAAGAAAUAAAGAAGAAGGAGGAGAAGGAGGAGGAGGAGGAGAAGGACUAGAAGGUCCUUGGCCUUCUCCUCUUUCUCCUCCUCCUCCUCCUCCUUCUCCUUCUUCUCUUCUUCUGCUUCUUCUUUCUUUUCAUUUUUCCUAUUUCUUCUCCUCUUCUCCUCUUGUUGGAGCUAAAUUAGCUAACUAUGUCUUUUUGGAGCUAAAUGGGCUAAUUAUCUCAUUUUAGAGGAAAACAAGCUAAGUAUAUAAUAUUAAUGAGCUAACCAAGGUUCUUAUGCCAUUUUGAGCUUAUUAUGGCAUUUUGGAGCUAAAUGGGUAAUUAUGUCAUUGUUGGGGAAAUUAAGGCAAGGAGAAUAUGAAAGAGGAGAAGAAAUAGGAGGAGGAGGAGAAGAAGAAGAAAUAAAGAAGAAGGAGGAGAAGGAGGAGGAGGAGGAGGAGGAGAAGGACUAGAAGGUCCUUAGGCCUUCUCCUCCUUCUCCUCCUCCUACUUCUUCUCUUGUUCUUCUUCUUCUUUCUUUUGAUUUUUCCUAUUUCUUCUCCUCUUCUUGGAGAUAAAUUAGCUAACUAUGUCUUUUUGGAGCUAAAUGGGCUAAUUAUGUCAUUGUUGGGGAAAUUAAGGCAAGGAGAAUAUGAAAGAGGAGAAGAGAAACUUACCGUAGUGGUCAUCAAGGAGGAGAAACACCUGGAGAAGGGUCGUGCAAUUUUCGCUCGAGAGUUAUUCUACACAAUAGAUAUUUUGCAAUGUCUCAGUUAGCAUGAUGACACUCAAUUAUUAAUACUAGUUUAUAAUGAAACUCACCGUGCCAAUCGAAGAGAAGACGGGCAUCGACGGAGGGACUUGACCGCUCUUCUCGCACAGACCCAGAAGAGUGGGUCGUAUUAGUUAGUAAUGAAACAAACAUUACACACAUGAUUUGGCUAAUGUGAAAAAAACUUACCACAAAAAGCUCGUACGGGGCCCGUUCACCCGCCUCAUUCUGAGACCUCUCCUCCUCAAUCAAUCAUGCCGUGGUCUGGUCCCUCUCAUCAAGAGCAGCCUGACUUGCCAAUCUCUCUUUCUCAAGAGCAGCCUCAAGAGCAGCCUGGCUUGCCAAUCUCUCUUUCUCAAGAGUAGCCUGGUUUUCCAAUCUCUCUUUCUGAAGAGCAGCCUGAAACACCAUUCCUCGUUACCACAGUAAUGAUCUAUGGUGACACACAUAAUGAAAUGGAUGAAAGUGUUCUUAGUCCUUACAACUAACCUCAAUGGCAAGAUCGACUGUCCGUGGACGAGCAUUAUCUCAGGACAGCUGCUCGACUGGCGCGCCUUGAUCUCCGGGAGAGUGAGUGGACAACGUAUUAUCCCAUCUCCAAUGGUUAUCGAUCCAUGGGGCCUCCCGCCACCAGAUAUCAUCACCAGCUCUGGAUCCAAAGGUUCCUGGCUAGGGUUAGAGUCAUCCCCUUCCGUAGCCUUCCCCGCAUCCCUGUAUGCCACGAGCUUCUGGUAGGAUGAUAUGUUGGUGAAGUUAUUGGGAUCAUCCAGGUCAGACUCAGAGAAUGCCUUCUCCUUCUUGUACGAGGCAGUAUGGGCCAUGCCAUAAAGGUCGUACAAGUGUGGCAUCUCCGUCUUAUUGUGAUGCGCCUAAAAGAGAGGAACAAAAUAUUAGCAUGAAGAAUGAAUUGCAUGAAUCAUGAAGCAAAUCACAUACCUAGUUUCGUCCGAACUGAAGUAAGUUGGCGCUGCCUUGAUGGUGUGGCACACCAACCAUUUGGCUACGCCGAUCCUUCGCAUUCUCGUGGACGGCUCACCAGCUGCCUGUGCACCACUCAUCAACCAACGCCUCCCAACAAUCCAUCUUAUCCGCACACCAUCUCGGGGGCACCUGUAAGUUAUUAGAAAGAAUUUUCAGCGCUACGCCUAUGAAUGAAAUCAAGAAAACUACGUAGAAGGACUUAAGAAUAGGUAAUUACCUUCAUGUAUUGCUCCUUCUUCAGAAACUUUCCACGACAAUCCUUCUUCUGCUUCUUAAUACCACAAGUGGCAUAGUAAUCUCGAAUAGCCUGCGGCCGAGCCUCGUGGCACAAGUUCUGUAGUAACCGCCUACACUCGGCCUCGAGAACCCUGGCCGCCUCCUCCUCAUAUCCAUUCUCACACCUAUAGAAGGUCUGCAAUCAAACGUGAAAACACCGAUUAGUACAAUAAUUAGCUAUAUUGUUAAUUUUAGAUUAUGUAAAAGGAUGAUUUACCCAAAAGCUCUUGAUCACCAUCUCGGCCCUUGUGUGGCACAAGACACCAUCUAUAAUCCCCUCCGGCGGGGCCUGCGCAGCCUGGUAGUGCUCCCAAGAAAAUCCUAGUGUAGGAACCUGACCCUCACCAGGCAACGUGACAAACCCCGGGAAAUUUGUCCGGAAAAGCACACCAAGGACGGAGUUCGGCCUGCGGACUCCAAGAGGGGGUACCCAUCCUCUGCAGUAUGAUAAGGUCAACGCAUUAGAUAUUUGAAGAAACUUGAAGGCAAAAGCUAAAAAAAGAGUAACUAUACUUACCUAUCUCCUUCAGGUUUAAUCACCGGCCUCUGCUCGCGGGUAGCCGACGCGACCGGGAGACGUGUACUACCACGCUUGUACACGGUGGCCCCGUCCACCUGCCCAUCGCCCUCACUAUCCGUAAGCUCAUCCCCGCCAUCCCCGCCCCCUGAGCCACCCGGACCCUCCGUCCAAUCCGGCAACUCGGUACGAUCCGGCCAGGUCUCCCAUCUGGGCCUCUCCACGUCGGGUGAAGCCUCCGGAACCGUAGUCUCGUGGGCGGAAUGCACCUCGACCCGAGGCUGCUCCUGGAUCGGAGUCUCAUGGGACGAACACCCGUCAACACCAGGCGCCUGGAACGGAGUUCCCGUAGCCUCCUCCGCAAACGGGUCGACCAUAGUACUCCUAUGCUCGGGUGAAUGAGCUGGUGGUGGUGGCGAGGACGGCUCAACAGUCCUCCUGGAUCUUCUGUGGCCACCACCUCUCCCUGUACCCUUCCCCUUCUUCCCUACCCGACCAACACCUCUCCAAGUGGGCAAUGCCACCGACGAAGAAGAACCCACGGGUGGUGUCGACAGACUGUCUGCCAAGGCUCUACGGAGAGAUAGGGGUGGAAGGGAAGUACCACCCCUCGUGCGGGGCGCUUGGGAAGAACCCGUUGAGCGAUCUGGACCAGCGCCCAUCAUCUUUCCACACCUGGUGACCUGCCAUGAUAAAGAUUAAAAGAAAUUAGUACAACAUAAAAAAAUUGAAUAACUUAUAUGAAUAAUAAUAUGUACAUGAAUAAUAAAGAUUAAAAAUAUAUAAUUUAAGUUGUGAAUCUUGCAAACUAAUAAUCAUCAUCAAUAAAUGCAUCAUCAUCAUCACUAUCACGCAUGUCUUCAUGAAUGACGUGCUCGUCGGGUUCAACGGCGUGAAGUUGUGAAAGGCCUUCCUUUUAUCGUUGAAGCAUUGACACGUCAUCCGCAUCAGUAACCUCUACGAGUUCCAGGUCUUCUGGUUCCGGCUCAGGGCUGGAGUCGGAUUUAUUGUCGCUGUCUACUUCCAUGUUCUUGGGUGAAGCACGACGGUUCUUGAAACGUUUCUUGGAAAGAUGUGUUUCUUGGAAGAAUUCUCCAUCAUAUGUGUCUGGGUUAAUGUGAGGUUCAUAAUCCUAUUCAUUUGGGAGAGGUGGUCUGACAUGUGGCGACACUUCAUAAACAACAUACCAACCUUCCAGAUUCUUAUCCAUUUGGCAUGCCCACGGUAGAUAGAAAACUUGGGUUGACUGUUGAGCUGUAAUAUAGACAUCGGGAACAUCUAAAUGGGUGUUUGGAUUGAUUUCGACUAGUCCUAUAUGUUCGUGAGUCCUUCUAGUCUUCUUCGGCUGGAACCAAUAACAUUUGAAGACUACGACGUUCGGUGGGUUUUCACCAUAGAAUUGAAGUUCAUAAAUUGCUUCAACUCUUCCAUAAUACUCGAUAACACCUUUGCCGAUAGUAGAGACACCACAUUUUGUAGAUUUCCGGUCGGGCAUAGAUAGCUCUUUGCCAAAGGUACGAAAGAGAUACCCGUUGAUGUUCUAUUUCUCAAAUGAACGGACCUUAUAGUCAAAACCAUUAGGGACUUGUCUCAAUUCGGCGUCCAUAGACUCUGAAUUAGCCUACAAGUUUAAUACGAAAUGAUUGUUGCAUUAGCCACAAGUUAGACCAAGAAAUGAAAAGGUCCAUUAUUGAUAAUUACCAUUUGUUUGAAACAAGACAUGAAAUCGGGAUAGCCGCCUCCCGUCUUUGACAGAAGCUCAUACUCUUCGACGGAAUCAUUUUCGAUCACCGCUCCAUCCGAGAAUUUGGCGACAUAACGACUGUUUGAAAUAUCCGGGAAUAAGAGUAGUUCAAAUGAAUUAGAAGUUACGGGAAAAUGUGCCGAGAACUCACUCGAUGUACGGCCGCACUUCUGUUAAGUUGUUGAAGAUAUACAACGAAAUGUUCCGGCAUUCUUCGACAUCCAACGUUAUUGGUUUCGAAGCACCGGCUGGUGCGAGCUUCCCUUUGAAUAGGCUGAGGUUGGACCCACCUUUUUUAGGGUCUGCAUCAUUGUGCUGAGGCUUCGGAUUAUGCAAAUGAUUAUUUUUAGCUUCGUAGUGUGCUGUCACAAAGUUUGCGACCUCCUCAGUAAUGAAUGCCUCACCAUCGAUGCUUCAAUUCUACGCUUAUUUUUACAAUUAGCUCGAAGGGUCUUCUGCAUCCUCUCAGUUGCAUAGCACCAACGAUCUUGCAUGGGCCCACCCAAUCUUGCCUCAGUCGGUAGAUGUAAAAUCAAAUGCUGCAUUGGAUUAAAGAAGCCUGGUGGAAAGAUCUUCUCUAACUUACACAACAACUCCGGUGCAAACUCCUCCAUGUCUUUUACCACGCCAGGCGACAAUUCUUUCACACAAAGAACACAGAAGAAAUAGCUCAGCUCCGCCAGUACUAGCCAUUCAUCCUCAGGAAUAAAGCCACGUAACAUCACCGACAUUACCCGCUCUAGCCAUAUGUGCCAAUCAUGACUCUAGAGACCAAAGAUUUUUAAUUUUUCAAGACUCGCUCCCCUCUUUAGAUUCGCUGCAUACCCAUCGGGAAACAUCAAGUGCAUUUUGACCCACAAGAUAAUUUCCCUCAUAGCUGGCCUUCCAAGAUUGAACCAGGCCUUUGGCUUCGACCACUUCUGCUUUCCUUUGCCUUCUCGCAUGUUUUGUAACGGUCUAUGACAUAGUGUCUCUUGAUCGACUCUAGCCUUAGUAUUAUCCUUUGUCUUCCCAUCUAUGUCGAACAAUGUACCAAAAAUAGCCUCUCCGAUAUUCUUUUUAGUGUGCAUCAUGUCGAUAUUGUGUGGAAGAAGGAGGUCUUUGAAGUAAGGCAGAUCCCAGAAGCAUGGCUUGUGAGUCCACGCAUGUUUUGAAUUAUACCCCUUGAAAUACCCUGGACGCUCUGGAUCAGGCUCGAGGGCGUUUAACUGAUCCAGGAUCUGUUGGCCUGUGAACGCAGGUGGUGCCAAGUUUUUGAUAACUUUACCUUUGGUAAAGUUCUUCUUGUCUUUUCUGAACUGAUGGUCAGGAUCGAGGAACUGUCUAUGCAAGUCAAAGCAAGAAUACUUCCGACCCUCCUACAACCGAUGAAACUGAAGAGCUGCCUUGCAUUGGGGCACGGGAACCUUCCAUGCACACACCAUCCAGAGAAUAGCGCAUACGCUGGCAAGUCAUGCAUAGAGUACAUGUACCACACAUGCAUUUUGAAGUUUUCUUUUCGAGCGGCAUCGUAUGUCUUGACCCCAUUAUCCCAAGCUUCUUCCAAUUCAUCCUUAAGUGCUUGCAGGUACACAUUCAUAUUCUUCCCCGGAUAAUUGGGCCCUGGAAUUACCAACGUCAGAAAUAUGUUCUUUCUUUGCAUAAUCUGCCCGGGGGGGGGGGGGGAGAUUGAGUGGAAUGACAAAUACAAGCCAACAACUGUAUUGGGUUGCCGUCAUGCCGAAGGGAUUAAAACCAUCUGUGGCGGCGCAGACUCGAGGAUUACUUGGAUCUGCCGCUUUAUCCUGAUGCAAUCCAUCGAAAUGUUUCCACGCUUCCCCAUCCGAUGUGUGUACCAUCAUCUUAUUCCCAUCCGCAUCUAGUUCGAUUCUUUUGCCCAAUUUGUGCCAUGUCAUCUGUCUGGCUGUCUCUUCGACCAUGAAAACACGUUGAAGUCUUGGUACGAUUGGCAUAUACCGAAGAACACUAACUGCGAUUUUGGUCUGCCUCUUCUCACCCAUACCGUUGUCUACCACAAGAUACGUGCAAGACUCGCAAUUGGGACAAUAGUCCAAGUGGGCAUACUCCUUCCUAAAUAAGACACAUCCUUUCUCACAUGCAUCUAUCUUCUCAUAGGGCAUCUUAAGUACACGAAGUAUUUUGUCCGACUGGUACAUGUUUGCAGGCAUGACAUGGCCUUUGGGUAGGAAGCGUCCAAAUAGUGUCAUCAUCGCGUCGUAGCAUUCUCUUCCCAAGUUGAACUGAGCCUUUAGAGCCAUUACUUGUGCAAUUGCAUCCAGCUGACAGAGCUCAGUGUGCUCAUGGAGAGGACAUUUUGAAGACUCCAACAUUUCAUAAAAGGCCGGUGCAGAUUCCUCCAUCUCAUCUUCCGAAUCCCGAGCAUCAUCAAAGUCUUGCACCAUGUCUUCGAUCCCGGUACCAUGCUCGUCCAUGCGACGACGGACCACCUCAGCUCUUGUGCGUUGUAUAGACUCACCAUGAAAUGUCCACACCGUAUAAUUAGGCUUAAAACCCCUCCUCUGCAGGUGUUUAGUCAUUACAGCCUCUGUUGUCUUUUUUAUAGUUGUCGCAUCCAGGACAGGGGCAAUAGUUUCUUUCCUGGCCAUUUGUGAAUGCGGCUUUCACAAAUUCCUUUGUUUUUACAAACCAUUCUUUCGUCAUCUCUUUCUGACUAGGGUGACCGGUAUACAUCCACGCACGAUUACUCAUCUUGCGUAGCUACUAAAGAUAGAAGAAAUAUAUUUAUAUAUAAUUUAGCAUUUAUAUUCAUCGGUUAAUCAGGUUCGCCAUUUUUAUUACGUCCAGGAAAUCUACACGCUAAUAGGUAAAGAUAGGUCCUAAUCCCACCCGAGUAUGUGUAGAUUGGGUUCGUUUUCCCAUGCUUUGCUCCGGAUCCAACGCAAAAUUUCGGCAGCACCUCCCCGCUGUUCUCCUGAUACACGUCUCCGCAAUAAACAGAGAGGAUGUGCAUCCGGAGAACAACAGGGAGGCACUGACAAAAUUCCACAUCGGAUCCAGAGCACAACAUACGGGAAAACGAACCCAAUCUACACAUACUCAGGUUGUCAAUGGAUAAUGUUGGACAAUUGGAAACGAUGGCGGUUAUAAAUAUGCAAAGACAUGCAUAUUUAUAGAUGUCGCCCUUUCGAACAGGAGACGCAUACUGGUCACGCAUACUGAUAAAUUAAUUUAAUUACCUAAAUCUAUAAAGUUUCAUCCGGAAACCGAGCCACAGUAAAUGAAGGGGCGGGGAGGAGAUGAAAUUUGUACUAACCCACGAAUGCAGGGGCGGAGCUCAUACAACGCACCGGCAGGUCUUCGCACAGCAGACCUCACAGCGACGAGACAACUAUCACAUGUAAAUCCACCCGAUCAACACAAAUAUUAUAAUUAUGUCAUUUUAGAGGAAAACAAGUUAAGAAUAUAAUAUUCAUGAGCUAACCAAGGUUUUUAUGCAAUUUUGUAGCUAAAUGGGCUAAUUAUCUCAUUGUUGGGGGAAAAUAAGGUCAGAAGAAUAAGAUAGGGGAGAAGAAAUAGGAGGAGGAUANNNNNNNNNNNNNNNNNNNNNNNNNNNNNNNNNNNNNNNNNNNNNNNNNNNNNNNNNNNNNNNNNNNNNNNNNNNNNNNNNNNNNNNNNNNNNNNNNNNNAAGACAUAGUUAGCUAAUUUAGCUCCAAGAAGAGGAGAAGAGGAGAAAUGAAAAGCAAGAACAAAAAUAAGAAGAGAAAGAGAAAGAGAAGGAGAAGGAGAAGGAGGAGGAGGAGAAGGAGAAGGAGGAGGAGGAGGAGGAGAAAGAGGAGAAGGCCAAGGACCUUCUAGUCCUUCUCCUCCUCCUCCUCCUUCUCCUCCUUCUUCUUUAUUUCUUCUUCUUCUCCUCCUCCUCCUCUUUCUUCUCCUAUUUCAUAUUCUCCUUGCCUUAAUUUCCCCAACAAUGACAUAAUUAGCCCAUUUAGCUCCAAAAUGCCAUAAUAACCUCAAAAUGGCAUAAGAACCUUGGUUAGCUCAUUAAUAUUAUAUACUUAGCUUGUUUUGCUCUAAAAUGGGAUAAUUAGCCCAUUUAGCUCCAAAAAGACAUAGUUAGCUAAUUUAGCUCCAAGAAGAGGAGAAGAGGAGAAGAAAUAGGAAAAAUGAAAAGAAAGAAGAAGAAGAAGAAGAAGAAGAAGAAGGAGAAGGAGGACGAGGAUGAGGUGAAGGAGGAGAAGGCCAAGGACCUUCUAGUCCUUCUCCUCCUCCUCCUCCNNNNNNNNNNNNNNNNNNNNNNNNNNNNNNNNNNNNNNNNNNNNNNNNNNNNNNNNNNNNNNNNNNNNNNNNNNNNNNNNNNNNNNNNNNNNNNNNNNNNCAACCGAGUGAAAAACGCACUGUGCGGCCAUGUGAUGAAGACACGCUCGGCGGAGUGACGGCGCGUGAGGCGGCCGAGUGAUGGAGACACGUCCAACCGAGCGGCGACAUGUGGGCGGACAAGUGAUGUAGACACGUCCAACAAAGUGGUGACGCGCGGGGCGUCCAUGUGAUGAAGACGCACUCGGAGGAGUGGCGAUGCGCGAGGCAUCUGAGUGAUGAAUACACAUCCAAAUGAGUGGCGACACACGAGGCGGCCAUGAGAUGAAGACACGCUCAGCGGAGUGACGACGCGCGAGGCAGUCGAGUGAUGGAGACACGUCCAAGCGAGGGGCAACGUGUUGGGUGCCCAAGUGAUGUAGGCGCAUCUAGCAGAGUGGCAAUGCGCGAGGUGGCCAUGUGAUGAAGACGCGCUUGGUGGAGUGGUGAUGCUUGAGUCAUGUGAGGGAUGAAGACACGUCCUGCUGAGUGGAGACCCACGGGGCGGCCAUGUAAUGAAGACACACUCAGCUGAGUGAGGGUGCGCAAGGCGGCGAGUGAUGGAGACGCGUCCAACCAAGUGGCGACGUGGUAGACAUGUGAGUGAUGAAGACGCGUACAACUGAGUGGCGAAACGCGGGGUGUCCAUGUGAUGAAGACGCUCUCGAAGGAGUGACGACGCGCUAGGCAUUAGAGUGAUGAAGACGCAUCCAGCUGAGUGGCGACGCGCGGGGCCGCCAUGUGAUGAAGACGCGCUCGAUGGAAUGAUGGCACGCAAGGUGGUCGAGUGAUGGAGAUGCGUACAACCGAGCGGCGACGUGCUAUGCGGUCAAGUGAUAUAGGCACGUCCAGCAGAGUGGUGACGUGCGGGGCAGCCAUGUGAUGAAGACGCUCCCGGCGGAGUGGCGAUGCGCGAGGCAUGUGAGUGAUGAAGAUGUGUCCAGCUGAGUGGCGACGCGCGGGGGCGUCCAUGUGAUGAAGACGUGCUUAGCAGAGUGAUGGCGCGCAAGGCGACCGAUNNNNNNNNNNNNNNNNNNNNNNNNNNNNNNNNNNNNNNNNNNNNNNNNNNNNNNNNNNNNNNNNNNNNNNNNNNNNNNNNNNNNNNNNNNNNNNNNNNNNACCCGACCGACCGUACCCGUCGGCGGCGGCGGUACGGGGCCCACGCCUAGCUAUGUCGUUCGUCGGGUCCCCCUGUCGUCCUCGUUUCGCCCUACCUCUUCCGACCUAUAAAUUCAAGAAAAAUUACCAAAAUUGCACGAGAGAUCCAAGAAAUUACUUUUCCGCUGCCGCACGCUUCUGUCUCCGCAAGAUCCCAUAUGGGGCACAUUCUGGUGCCCUGCCGGAGGGGGUAUUCGGAUACGGAGGGCUUCUUCAUCAACACCAUGACCUCUCCGAUGAUUCGUGAGUAGUUCACCAUAGACCUUCGAGUCCAUAGCUAGUAGCUAGAUGGCUUCUUCUCUCUCUUGGAUCUUCAAUACAAAGUUCUCCAUGAUCUUCAUGGAGACCUAUCCGAUGUAGUCUUCUUUGCGGUGUGUUUGUUGAGAUCCGAUGAAUUGUGGAUUUAUGAUCAGAUUAUCUAUGAAUCUUAUUUGAGUUUCUACUGAUCUCUUAUAUGCAUGAUUCCAUAUCCUUGUAAUUCUCUUCGAGUGGUGGGUUUUGUUUGGCCAACUUGAUCUAUGAUUCUUGCAAUGGGAGAAGUCCUUGGUUUUGGGUUCAUACCAUGCGGUGACCUCACCCAGUGACAGAUGGGGUAGAGAGGCACGCAUUGUGUUGUUGCCAUCAAGGGUAAAAAGAUGGGGUUUUCAUCAUUGGUUUGUGUUUAUCCCUCUACAUCAUGUCAUCUUGCUUAAAGCGUUACUCUGUUCGUCAUGAACUCAACGAGAUUAAUUGAAUCCUUGACAUAGAGGUUCAACUGAUAAAGAUCUUCGUAGAAUAUGUAGGAGCCAAUAUGGGCAUCCAGGUCCCGCUAUUGGUUAUUGGCCGUAGAGGUGUCUUGGUCAUGUCUGCAUAGUUCUCGAACCCGUAGGGUGUGCACACUUAAGGUUCGAUGACGUUUUGGUAUAGUUGAGUUAUAUGUGUUAGUAACCAGUGCGCUGGAUUCUUCUGAGGACCAAGUCUCUCUCUCUAAAAGAGAGAGGCUUGAUCUUUUUGCUGUGGUAGUAUCUCAACUUCUGUUGAUAGAUGGCCAUCCGGCUCAAGGCCAAGUCCCUUGCUUCUUCGAGGAGGUCCACACCGUCUUCUCUUGCCUCCAUAGCCUUUGUUUCUGUGUAUAGGGUGACCCGAGGCGAGUCGAACUCGAUAUCCGUGGGAAUAAUAGCCUCGGACCCGUAUACAAGAAAGAACGGAGUGAAGUCGGUCGACCGGUUGGGCGUGGUGCGGAGGCUCCAUAACACAGCCGACAGUUAUUCAAUCCAGCAGCUGGCGAAUCUGACCAGUGGUGCCACCAGUCUUUUCUUGAUGCCAGCUAGAAUCAGGCCGUUGGCCCUCUCUGCUUGGCCAUUCGACUGGGGAUGUGCCACUGACGUCUAAAUCGAGCCGGAUGCCUACCGUUGGAACGGUAGAGCGCCAGAGUGCCUUUGGCGAAGUUGGUGCUGUUGUCGGUGAUGAUGCUGUGGGGAACGGCCAUAUCGAACAGAGAUGUCCGUGAUGAACCUGACGGUUGUGGGGGNNNNNNNNNNNNNNNNNNNNNNNNNNNNNNNNNNNNNNNNNNNNNNNNNNNNNNNNNNNNNNNNNNNNNNNNNNNNNNNNNNNNNNNNNNNNNNNNNNNNUAUGAGCCAACGAAACCAUCAUUUAGGGUGCGCGCUUGAGCUUUCUGAUUCGCCCCAUCCUGUUGCGACCUUAUGAGCCGACGAAACCAUCAUUUCGGGUGCGCGCUUGAGCUUUCUGACUCGCCCCAUCCUGUCGCGACCUUAGAGCCGACGAAACCAUCAUCUAGGGUGGCACUUUAGCUUUCUGACUCGCCCCAUCCUGUCGCGACCUUAUGAGCCGACGAAACCAUCAUCUAGGGUGGCUCUUGAGCUUUCUGACUCGCCCCAUCCUGUCGCGACCUUAUGAGCCAACGAAACCAUCAUUUAGGGUGCGCGCUUGAGCUUUCUGACUCGCCCCACCUGUCGCGACCUUAUGAGCCGACGAAAUCAUCUGGGGUGCGCUUGAGCUUUCUGACUCGCCCCAUCCUGUCGCGACCUUAUGAGCCGACGAAAUUGUUAUUUUUUAUUUAUUUACCUUCCUGGCACUGCCACAAGGUUUUUCCAAACUUUUUCCUGAUUCAUCUUGAAAUAUUUUGGGUCGAUUGCUAUUUAUUAUCGCCCAUUACUCACUGAGGUGCUAGCCACCGUGACUCACUGAGCCGGCUUAUUUAAAAUAGCUUGAUGCCAUACUUAUCAUAUCAUAUACAUGCAUCAUCUUGCAUUGCAUCAUGCAUCAUACAUACAUAUCAUGCCGGUCUUCAAACCGGAUCAACGCAUAAAUUCUUGCAGGUGCAAAUAAAUCUUUGAAUAGCCAAUUUGGCUGGAUUUUCAUCAUGGUUUAUCAUAACCAGUGUUAAAUGAUUGUGGUUUUUAAGGCCAGCUCGGAAGAAUUGACUAUUGUCGAAGAGCCGCCCUAUCACAUAUAAUGCCGAGUCAUCUAAUUGACCGGCCCUUGGAUUUCUUCAACUUGUGCUCUGUAGUAGACUACAACACUUAUGGAUUUCUCAAACAUAUGGAUUUCUCAAAGGAUAUAUUUUCCGGGUUACAUUGCAAACCACGGUCGAGGAUUUCUUUUAUCACAAAGGCAUCAUCAGCUCACAGAUUGGAUAUGAUUUUAUUCUACAAUGGAAGGAAUAGCCCCGAGUCGCUACAGGCACGCAACCCGACACUCGGGGGCUACAUUAUUCAGAUCAAGAUUACAUCAAAGUAUGCAAGUCCCAUGUCGCUGCAAGCAUGCACCAUGACACUUGGGGGCUAAUGCAAUCCGCUUUUCAAAUGAUCACAUCAUCAACAGACCCGACUAUUUCAAGAAGAUAAGCCGGCCCUAGGGGGCUACAGGUCGCUCAUUGUUCAAGUAUGGAUUCUAGGAAGAUCCGGCCCAUCACACACUGAUAACCCGGCCCUUGGGGGCUACAGGUAACAUGGAUAUAUCAAAAAAUUGAAGAGCACAUUUCAUUGUGUCAUGGAGGUGAAGUAUUGGGAGACCGGUUCAGCAUAUUUUUAUGUAGUUGAAGCACCGAAAGACCGGCUCAACAUCAGACGGAUUUGUCAAUUGGAGUUCAGUUGUUUGACGGGGCACUACUAAUAAUGAUGACCCGCCAUUGUCAAUCAUGACCCGCCAUUGUCAAUCAUAACCCGCCGAAGCAAGAGAAGCUAGUUCAACAUUGUGUGGAUUUCUUAUUUCCCAAAUUUUCAUCAAGCCAAAGCAUUGGAGGCCGACUCAAUGGCAUAUGUAUUUUAUUGCAAAGGACAUGUCUCAACAAUGAGAUGAUUGAAGGCGGCUCGAAGAAACCCAGAUUUUUCAAGGAGCCACUUCAGUAAAUCAAGCCGGCCAGAGGAGCAAGCCGGUCCCUUAACUUAUUUAUUAUUCUUAUUUCAGGAGCUUACCAUGAAUAAAUUCAAGCUAACCUUGGGGGCUAAUGUCGGGGAUAUACCCCGCAGUGUAACCCGGCUUGGAGUAUGACCCGCCAAAGGACUUGGCGACUCANNNNNNNNNNNNNNNNNNNNNNNNNNNNNNNNNNNNNNNNNNNNNNNNNNNNNNNNNNNNNNNNNNNNNNNNNNNNNNNNNNNNNNNNNNNNNNNNNNNNUCACCGUUGCUAGCCUCUCUAGUGCCGCGCAACUUUCGCCAGUGCACAAAACCACCAUAUACCUUCCUCAAAACAGCCACCAUACCUACCUAUCAUGGCCUUUUCAUAGCCAUUCCGAGAUAUAUUGCCAUGAAACUCCCACCGUUCCGUCUCAUGACUUGUGCGGUAAGCUAGCGAGAUGUUUCAACGGCAUACGCUAAGCUAGAUCAUUGCACAUCCGGGUACACUGUCGGAGGCAUUUCCUAUAGAGUCAUCAUUGCUCUAAGUAUUGAGUUGUGAGUAAAUAAAAGUGUGAUGAUCAUCAUUAUUAGAGCAUUGUCCCAUGUGAGGAAAUAAAAAAGAAGAGGCCAAAGAUGCCCACCAAAAAAAUGAAAAGAGGCCAAAGAGCCCAAAAAAAGAGAGAGAAAAAGAGAGAAGGGACAAUGCUACUAUCUUUUUCCACACUUGUGCUUCAAAAUAGCACCAUGUUCUUCAUGAUUGAGAGUCUCUUGUUUUGUCACCUCCUUAUACUAGUGGGAAUCUUCAUUAUAUAACUUGGCUUGUAUAUUCCAAUGAUGGGCUUCCUCAAAAUUUCCCUAGGUCUUCGUGAGCAAGCAAGUUGGGUGCACACCCACUAGUUCUCCUUUUGAGCUUUCACUCACUUAUAGCUCUAAGUGCAUCCGUUGCAUGGUAACCCCUACUCAUUCACAUUGAUAUCUAUUGAUGGGCAUCUCCAUAGCCCUCUGAUACGCCGAUUCGAUGUGACCAUCUCCUUAUUUUUGCCUCACAACCUCAACCACACUCUAUUCCACCUAUAGUGCUAUAUCCAUGGAUCACGCUCAUGUAUUGCGUGAGAGUUGAAAAAGUUCGAGAAAGUAAGAGUGCGAAAACAAUUACUUGGCUAAUACCGGGGUUGUGCAUGAUUUAAAUUUGUUGUGUGGGGAUAAUGGAGCAUAGCCAUACUAUAUGAUUUUGUAGGGAUAACUUUCUUCGGCCUUGUUAUUUCGAAAGUUCAUGAUUACCUUGCUAGUUUGCUUGAAGUAUUAUUGUUUUCAUGUCAAUAGAAAACUAUUUUUUUGAAUCUUACGGAUCUGAACAUUCAUGUCACAUGAAAAGAAGUUACAAAGGACAAAUAUGUUAGGUAGCAUUCCACAUCAAAAAUUCAGUCUUUAUCACUUCCCUACUCGAGGACGAGCAGGAUUUAAGCUUGGGGAUGCUUGCUACGUCUCCAACGUAUCUAUAAUUUUUGAUGGUUCCAUGCUAUUAUAUUGUCAACUUUGGAUGUUUUGUAUGCAUUUUAUAUCUUCUUGGGACUAACCGAUUAACUCAGUGCCAAGUGCUAGUUCCUGUUUUUUCCGUGUUUUUGACCUUUUUCAGAGGAGAAUAUCAAACGGAGUCCAAACGGAAUAAAACCUCCGGAAAGAUUUUUUUCCCGAAACAGAAGAUACGCAGGGAACUUGAGAACCAAGGCAAAGGGCUCCGGGNNNNNNNNNNGAGGCCACAAGCCCCCUAGCCGCGGUCUGGGGGCACGCCUAGCAGGCUUGUGGGCCCCCCAUGGCUCCUUUGCCCUACCUCUUCCGCCUAUAAAUUACCUAAAAAUCUGAAACCACGGGAGAGAGCCACGAAAUACUUUUCCGCCGCCGCAAGCUUCUGUCUCCGCAAGAUCCCAUCUGGGGACCGUUCUGGUGCCUUGUUGGAGGGGGGUUCGGACACGGAGGGCUUCUUCAUCAACACCAUUGCUUCUCCGAUGGUGCGUGAGUAGUUCACCACACACCUUCGGGUCCAUAGCUAGUAGCUAGAUGGCUUCUUCUCUCUCUUGGAUCUUCAAUACAAAGUUCUCCAUNNNNNNNNNNGAUUAUCUAUGAAUCUUAUUUGAGUCUCCUCUGAUCUCUUAUAUGCAUGAUUUCAUAUCCUUGUAAUUCUCUUCGAGUUGUGGGUUUCGUNNNNNNNNNNGAUCUUCAUGGAGAUCUAUCCGAUGUAAUCCUAUUUUGUGGUGUGUUUAUCGAGAUCCGAUGAAUUGUGGAUUUAUGAUCAUAUUAUCUAUGAAUCUUAUUUGAGUCUCCUCUGAUCUCUUACAUGCAUGAUUUCAUAUCCUUGUAAUUCUCUUCGAGUUGUGGGUUUCGUUUGGCCAACUUGAUCUAUAAUUCUUGCAAUGGGAGAAGUGCUUUGGGUUCAUACCGUGCGGUGACCUCACCCAGUGACAGAAGGGCUAGCGAGGCACGCAUCAUGUUUUUGCCAUCAAGGGUAAAAAGAUGGGAUUUAUAUCUAUUGCAUGAAUUUAUCCCUCUACAUCAUGUCAUCUUGCUUAAGGCGUUACUCUGUUUGUUAUUAACUCAAUACACUAGAUGCAUGCUGGAUAGCGGUCGAUGUGUGGAGUANNNNNNNNNNGGUUUUGGGUUCAUACCGUGCGGUGACCUCAUCCAGUGACAGAAGGGGUAGCGAGGCACACAUCAUGUUGUUUCCAUCAAGGGUAAAAAUAUGGGGUUUAUAUCUAUUGCAUGAAUUUAUCCCUCCACAUCAUGUCAUCUUGCUUAAGGUGUUACUCUGUUUGUUAUGAACUCAAUACACUAAAUGCAUUUGGAUAGCAGUCGAUGUGUGGAGUAAUCGUAGUAGAUGCAAAAAGUAUUGGUCUACUUGUCUCGGACGUGAUGCCUAUAUGUAAUUCGUUCACCCACCGUAAUAUCGUCAUGACUUUGCGCGGUUCUAUCAAUUGCUCGACAGUAAUUCNNNNNNNNNNAUCGUAGUAGAUGCAGAAAGUAUCGGUCUACUUGUCUCAGACGUGAUGCCUAUAUGUAUGAUCAUUGCCUUAGAUAUCGUCAUGACUUUGCGCGGUUCUAUCAAUUGCUCGACAGUAAUUCGUUCACCCACCUUAAUAUUUGCUAUCUUGAGAGAAGCCUCUAGUGAACACUAUGGCCCCCGGGUCUACUUCACAUCAUAUUUUCUGCUCUACACUUUUACUUUGUUGCACUUUCCACCUUCAUAUCUCACCUUGCAGUUAACCGUGAAGGGAUUGACAACCCCUUUGUAGCGUUGGGUGCAAGUUUGCUUGUUUUGGGCAGGUACUUUGGAGACUUGCCUUGAUACUCCUACUAGAUUGAUACCUUGGUUCUCAAACUGAGGGAAAUACUUACUGCUACUGUGCUGCAUCACCCUUUCCUCUUCGAGGGAAAAACCAACGCAAGCUCAAGAGGUAGCAAGAAGNNNNNNNNNNNNNNNNNNNNNNNNNNNNNNNNNNNNNNNNNNNNNNNNNNNNNNNNNNNNNNNNNNNNNNNNNNNNNNNNNNNNNNNNNNNNNNNNNNNNUUGUCAAAGGGCUUUGCACCACCUACCCAUCAACACCAUUCACCAUGCCCACAAAAAAAGAGAAAAACUACUACAAUUCACCAUUGCUGACCCUGCUUAAAAUUGUCAACCAUCCCCGGGCACCACUUGGCACACAUGUUGCACGACAACAACCUCCUGCCAGAAAACCUAUCCACGAGCGGAAUUAUUCCAUCUGCACCUAGAUUAUUACACUUAGGAAUUAUGAGUCGUACGUGUGAGACUCCGACAUGACGGGGUCCAAACACCUGUAGAGGAAAUUCGGACAACCGGAUGUGUCCAUGGACUCGAUGAGGUAUCAUGUUACAUGACAAACAACAUUGGAAGAGCUUGGCCCGAAUGUAUGCGGGCAUUUUAGGGUCGGCGUUGGAGAUGCCCUUAUCGAGGGAGCUUUGCCUUUUCAUUAAUAAGAAGAAUAGAUCCAUCCAAAAAACAAAAAAAAGGUGAGAAAAACUAGUUACAAGCAAUUGCAGCCGAAUACACAUUUUUAAGGGGAGAAAAGACACUUUCUUACGGUCUUAAUUUGACUAUUAGCGAAAUGUUUAAUAAAAGGAAACGUUUACGAUCGACACGUUGGCCGAACGAUCCAGCCGGACGCGCGCUACGCGUAGGAUCCAUAUGGAUCGAACGCGUCCCAUGGGCCUCCCGCCCCCCGCUGCCCCCUUUUCCCCUUAUCCCCUUGUGUUGUUUCUGGCCAGAAAAAUGUCCCCACCGUGUUCGAUCCAUAUGGAUCCCUUCUGUUAUUUCUGCCCAGCUGUCCCUCUCCGUGCACAUCCCUAUCCAUUGGUCCUGCCCACCUCUUAUCUCUCUCUCCACCUCCCGCGUUUGUGUUGCACUGCUCCUUGCUCCUUUUUUUCUUCCUCGGAAACAUGCAGGCGGCACGAAGCCAUCCACCUCCUACAUGCUAUGUGCCGCAGUCGCCCAGUGCCAUAACUCCUCGUCCAUCAAAGCUGCCACGGCUGUCACCGGGUGCUGCAAGGGAGCAGACCAUGCGGGGGAUGCUCCAACACUUAGAAGGUGCUUGGAUCCAAAAGACUAAAACUAGUCUGACUAAAACUAGUCUCUUUAAGAGGCUAAAGUUCCAAGCACCCCUGACUAAAGAGAGACUAAAACUAGACUUGAGGCUAAAAUCUUUUAGUCAGGGAUACCCCUACUAAAAUGUGCAUUAGUCCUCUCUCUCCUCAUUUAACUCCUCAGGCAAGUUCUGGAUUGGAGGGUUUGAAGGAUAAUAAAUGUUUAUUAACUUGAUUUUAGUCUUUUUAGUACUUGAAUCCAAGCAUGGAUGAGGCUAGCAAGUUUUAGUCUCAUUACUUUUAGUCAUGGGACUAAAACAUAUCCAAGCACCCUCUUACUGGGGCGGGCGACAUGACCCAGCGGCAUCGUUUUGCUACAAACAACAAGGUGUUUUGUUGAACUAGCGACACCAAUUGCUGGAACCGUGCACACAGGAGCUGCAAACAUACACCCACGGACUGCACCUGCCGCCGACGAUGUCGGCGAAAAUGUUACAACCAUGUAUCAUGGAAGCUACAACCAUCUCUCGGAAAAAGCUACAACGAUGCACACGGGAGCUACAACCGGCAACGCCAUCGUCGGGAAAAUGCUUCAACCGUGUCCCGCACAAGCUACAUCCACAUACGUCACAGCUGCAAUCAUUUCGGUGUUGCUACAACAGUGUCACCAGAGCUACAACCGGCGACGUUGUCAUCACAAAAAUGCAUGAACCGUGUAGUGAAGAAGUUACAUCCAUGCGCAGCAGAGGUGCAAGCAUUUUGUGGCAACGCUACAGCCGUGUUGCCAGAGCUGCGAUGCAGGGCAAGCCAUGAUGCUGACGACCAUCGGUGUGUGGAGCUUCGCGACCAACGCCGCCGCUAUCAUGAUUCCCGUAUGAUGGAACCAAGCGGCAACAGAGUUACAACCUUGACAACAAAAACUAUUUUUGUAAAACCAGGAAGGAUGUGUUUCAAUCGCUACCGGUUAUGGAAGCGACAAGCCUGCCUGCGGUGUUGGUUCGAGGACUACAAGGCAGCAGCAACGGCAACGAGUUGUGGCGCGUGAGGUGGAUGUAGCCUACAACGCAGAAUAAGGACCCACGCAGGUCUAUUUCUGUUACGGGACGAAGCUAUUUGAAGAAGAAGAUAAGAUGACGUGGGUUGCAGGAUCGGGCGACUACAGAAUGCCUAAUAUGACACUGGCCGAACCCUUGGGCCGGUCCGCCGGCGCCUGCCGCCUAGCGAUCCCCUUUAAUAAAAGGUUUUCAGAGGGCUUCACACCAUCUACCCAUCAACACCAUUCACAAUUUCCCUAAAAAAACUACUACAAUUCACCGUUGCUGACCUUGUUUAAAACUGUCAGCCAUCCCCGACACCACUUAACACACGUGCUGCAGGUGCAGGACAGCAACCUCCUGCCAGAAAAUCUAUCCACGGAAUCUGCACCUAGUGUCAUACUCUCUGUGUAAAAAAAUAUAAGAGCAUUUAAAUCAUUACUUUAAUAAUCUAAACAUUUUUAUAUUUUUUUACGAAGGGAAUACUUAUAACCAUACGAACAUGAGGAAUACUUAUAACCAUACGAACAUGUCCAAUCAAUCAAUAAUCUACCGCUCGCCAUUGUUGACCCAAAACUGCCAACAAAACGGUCCCUCCCAACCACAUUGCAGUUGGCACAUGCUGGCCCGAGACGGCUAACCGCCAGGAUGCGUGCAGCUGCUUGUUGUUCCCUCCAAUAAUUGGAGCAGCAAACUUUACAGGAUCGAGAAAGGUUUUCCAAGCCAACAGCACGCGCUAUUCUUCUCACCACUUUUGUUAUCAUAGGUAUAUGAAUAAUGUAGCAUUCAUACAAAGCACAAGCCACUCGCUUUUCAGUUCACUGGUCUGCAAUGCACCGGCAGCACCGUAAGACGAGGAAUAUCACAGCCAAUCUGCAUACCACUUCCAGAAAACGCCAUCAAGAAUCAGACCAGAGCCAUCAUGCAUGUCUUGCCAUGCCAUGUCAUGCCAUGAUGCCCAUGGCUGUGAUCGGAGCGAUCCGCACACUAUGUUCAACUCCUCCUCCCCCAUCUUCAGACAACAGCUACCCUUCAUACGGCCUGCAGACCGAGCGUCCGGUCCAUCCACCUGAUGAUGUCGGCGGCGAUCUCGUCGCGCUCGGGUUCGAAGAGCAGGUCGUGCAGGAACCCCUCGUACAGCCGCAGGUCCUUGUGCCUCGACGCCGCCUCCCUGUAGAGCUCCUGCGAGGCCAGCGGGUCCGUCACCCGGUCCGCCGUGCCGUGCAGGACUACAAACGGGACAGUCACCUUCUUCAGGUUGUGCAGCAGGUAGGAGGAGAUGCGCAGGAUCUCGUGGCCCGUACGGACCCUGAUCGGCCCCGUGUAGACCAGCGGGUCAGAGUACUUUGCUAGCAGCGCCGCAGGGUCGCGGGACACCGGGAUGCCCCGCUUGUUGGCUCCCUUGAAUUGGAACUUGGGUGCAAUCAGAGAGAAUAUCGGUGCCACUGCCUGCAUUUGAUUCAGAUGAGUCUCAGUGAUGAAACACGACUUGCCAUGCAGGUAAACCAAAAAUAUAUCGCGAAUUUUGAAGUUUUAAAUUUUGUGGAUGAAUUCAAAAGCAGAGCUUCUGAAAUAGCUCUACUUUUGAUAUGAGCGUACAAUAUCAAAAGUUCUCAAAUCAGCAUAAUUUGGAAUAAUAAUAGGAAACCAGAAUAGUUCUAUUACCCCGACUAUCGGAUGCGCUGGUUUUACACGCACAGCUGGUGAAGUCAGGAUGAUCCCUUCCAGUCUGGUUCUGAUAUGGGCGUACAGCGACGCCUGCAAGAUGACAGCUAGUGAUGAGCAACCAUGAAACAAGUAAGUUAAGCGUUGUUAAAUGAGCAUCGUUAGCCAAACCAUUUCAACCAGGCUAUUUUGUUAAUGCUUUGCACCACUCUCCGCCGUCAGGGUAUCCAUUGUUCACAGGCCCAGAGGAGUAGGGUCAGUGUCUAGAUCUGGCCUAAAUACCGAUGACAAAAAAGCGAUUUAAUUCGACAGGCCAUACCUUCAAAACAACAGCUCCACCAGUGGAGUGGCCGAGUAGAAAACAAGGAACAUCUGGAUUCUCCAGCAUAAUUUUAUCAAGAAGUACUUCCUGCUCAGAGAUGAUAAUAUUGCAUUACAUCAGCCAUCAGGAACAGUAGCAAGGAAAAAAAUAGUGUGCUAUACAAAACAACGUCGACCUUAAAAAUAUGCUAUUACCGUGUUAUAGCAUUGCCAUUAGCAAGAUAUUGUACACUGAUCAAUUUAGCGACACAAUUCUCUACACAUUAUACCGUGCUAUUAGCGGCGCUAUAUCGUGCUAUUUUUUUCAGUGAACAGAAUAGCUUUGUGCCUUCUAUGGAAAAACCUUGAACAGGAUGUAGAAGUAGGUGGACAGACAGAGACUUACCAUGUCUUUUAUAACAUAGUCCAGAGAAGGAACAUAACCGUGCAGACCAUCACUCCCACCAUGACCUGUUAUGCAGAAGCUCAAGUUAGCCUGUUGAUGUUGAAACGAAUGCAAAAUUCAGUAGGCAUGCUCACACCUCACAGGAACAAAGAGACUGAAAACCAUGGAUAAUUUUCUCGAAGCACUGCUAGAUUCAUGGGAAUGAGUUGCAAGGUAAGAAUCCACAACUAUGCGGGUACAGCAUGACAACCUUAGCAUCGUUGCUUAUAUUUUACUACCUCCUAUAAAAAAAACUACUAUCUGGUUCUAAAUGUUUGUCAUAAUAUUACCAAUACCAGAUAGCUAGCUAACACCUAGUUAGCUUGAUACCUACAUGAUCCACACACACACACACAAAAAAAAAAAAAAAAAAAAAAAANNNNNNNNNNNNNNNNNNNNNNNNNNNNNNNNNNNNNNNNNNNNNNNNNNNNNNNNNNNNNNNNNNNNNNNNNNNNNNNNNNNNNNNNNNNNNNNNNNNNGCUAUAUUUUUAUUCACCACAUGAUAUGUGUUUUGCUUGGAGCGUCGUGUAUUAUAGGAGUCUUUUCUUUUUGUUGUGUCACAAUCAUCCUUGCUUCAUGAUACGUCUCCAACGUAUCUACAAAUUUUGAUGGUUCCACGCUAUUAUCUUGUCAACUUUGGAUGUUUUAUAUGCAUGAAUAUGCUAUUUUAUAUCUUUUUUGGGACUAACCUAUUAACUCAGUGCCAAGUGCCAGUUUCUGUUUUUUCUGUGUUUUUGACCCAUUUUCAGACGGAGUCCAAAUGGAAUAAAACUUUUGCGAUGAUUUUUUUGGGACCAAAAGAGACCCCCGAAGCUUUGGAAGAAGGCCAGAAGAGUCACGAGAGAGUCACAAACCCAGGAGGCGCCCCCACCCCCCUAGGCCACACCUACCAGGCUUGUGACCUCCUCGUGGGCCCAACCGACGUAAUUCCACUGCCAUAAAUUCCUAUAAAUUUAGAAACCCCCAAAAAGAAACCUAUAUCAGGAGUUCCGCCGCCGCAAGCCUCUGUAGCCACCAAAAACCAAUCUGGAGCCCAUUCCGGCACCCUGUCGGAGGGGGAACCCAUCUCCGGUGCCAUCUUCAUCAUCCCGACGAUCUCCAUGAUGAGGAGGGAGUAGUUCUCCCUCGGGGCUGAGGGUAUGUACCAGUAGCUAUGUGUUUGAUCUCUCUCUCUCUCUCGUGUUCUUGAGAUGUCUUGAUCUCGAUGUACCGCGGGCUUUGCUACUCUAGUUGGUUCUUAUGAUGUUCUUCCCCCUCUCCCUUCUUGUAAUGAAUUGAGGUUCCCCUUUGAAGUUAUCUUAUCGGAUUGAGUCUUUAAGAACACUUGANNNNNNNNNNNNNNNNNNNNNNNNNNNNNNNNNNNNNNNNNNNNNNNNNNNNNNNNNNNNNNNNNNNNNNNNNNNNNNNNNNNNNNNNNNNNNNNNNNNNUGCUCCGGAGGUUGGUGAUGACCUUGUCUCAGCAGGGCUCCGCCCGAGCUCCGCAGAAACGCGAUCUAGAGGAAAAACCGUGGAGGUAUGUGGUCGGGCUGCCGUGGAAAAGUUGUCUCAAAUCAGCCCUAAAACCUCUGUAUAUAUAGGUGGGAGGGAGGGGACCUUGCCUUGGGGCUCAAGGAGCCCCAAGGGGGUCGGCCGAGUCCAAGGGGGGAGGACUCCCCCCCCCAAACCGAGUUGGACUUGGUUUGGUGGGAGGGAGUCCCCCUUCCUUCCCACCUCCUCCUUUUUUUCUUUCCUCUUGAUUUUCCUUUGCUUGGCGCAUAGAGCCCUUUUGGGUUGUCCCACCAUCCCACUAAAGGCUGGUGUGCCACCCUCAAGGCCUAUGGGCUUCUCCGGGGUGGGUUGCCCCCCCGGUGAACUCCCGGAACCCAUUCGUCAUUCCCGGUACAUUCCCGGUAACUCCGAAAACCUUCCGGUAAUCAAAUGAGGUCAUCCUAUAUAUCAAUCUUCGUUUCCGGACCAUUCCGGAAACCCUCGUGGCGUCCGUGAUCUCAUCCAGGACUCCGAACAACAUUCGACAACCAACCAUAUAACUCAAAUACGCAUAAAACAACGUCGAACCUUAAGUGUGCAGACCCUGCGGGUUCGAGAACUAUGUAGACAUGACCCGAGAGACUCCUCGGUCAAUAUCCAAUAGCGGGACCUGGAUGCCCAUAUUGGAUCCUACAUAUUCUACGAAGAUCUUAUCGUUUGAACCUCAGUACCAAGGAUUCAUAUAAUCCCGUAUGUCAUUCCCUUUGUCCUUCGGUAUGUUACUUGCCCGAGAUUCGAUCGUNNNNNNNNNNNNNNNNNNNNNNNNNNNNNNNNNNNNNNNNNNNNNNNNNNNNNNNNNNNNNNNNNNNNNNNNNNNNNNNNNNNNNNNNNNNNNNNNNNNNUAGGGCGAAUUCAAGCCACGGAGGGUAAAGGUUGCGCGAGUCCGUGGAGGGCCUCCAUGUCAGUGUCAAAACUAACACAUCUUGGGUAGGGGGUCCCGAGCUGUAGAUCUUGAAUCAAUGAGUAACAGGAAACACAAGGACAUUAUUUACCUAGUUUUGGGCCCUCUUGAAGAGGUAAAACCCUACGUCAUGCUCGAUUAUAUUGAUGCGUGUAUGAUGAUUACAAAGUCGAUCUACCAUGAGAUCAAAUGAACUAAACCAGAGAUGGUGGUUCUAUGGAUGUUUCUAAUAAUGAUCUAUUGACUAGCUUGGCCCCGGCUUAUAAAUGCACCAGAUGUGAUGCCCCCAACUUAAUCGUACGCUAAUCAUACACGCAAUUGUUUACGACCAAGAUUAGGGACUCAUGGGAAGAUAUCACAACACAACUAUAGACACAAAUUAAAGUCAUACAAGGUUCAUUUUCCAAGCCAGGGGCCUCAAGGGCUCGAAUACAUAAGCUCGGGAACACACGAGUGAGCGGAAGCAAGUAAUAUCUGAGUAGAGACAUAGAAACAAGUUCUUCCUCAGAGAAGGCUAGCACAAAAGAUACAUUGCACGAAAGAGGUAAAGCCUCCUGCCUGGGAAGCUCCUGAACUACUCCUGGUCGUCAGCGUCCUCCACGUAGUAGUAGGCACCGUCGGGCUAGUGGUCGUCAUGAGCGGGAUACACCAUCUCCUAGGCUCCUUCAUCUGGUCGCGACAAUCAUAUCAAUGGUAAAAGAGGGGGCAAAGCAACAGUGAGUACUCAUCCAAAGUACUCGCAAGACUGACAUCAGAACUAUGCUAAGUAUGCAUUAAUAUCAAAGGAAUGGGGUUAUAUCUCGACUGAUUGCAACAAUGCGAGAAUAGAGAGAAAGAACUAGUCCUAUCGAAGACUAGCAUCUUCAGUGUCUUGCAUCAUUAGAAGAGUGUAGAGCAAUAACACAUAUAUAGUCAUAUUUUUGUAGCAAUUUUAAUUAAGUCACGCCCAGUGAUUCUUCCUCGAAUCCAUGCGAGAAAGCAAUCUAAGAGCGAGACAUUCCAGUUAAGUCACAUUUCUAGUUGUAUUAGAUUGGGAUACAACUCCAAGUCAUCCUGUUAUCGUGGACACGACUAUUCGAAUAGUUAAUUUCAUCCCUGCACCGGGUGCACCACGUUUCCAAACACGCUCUAUCAACUCUGGCCGGACACACUUUCCCGGGUCAUGCACGACCUUAGAAGGUCAACAUGUCGCAUCCCUACCCAGGCUCAAUAGAGAGAUCAGCCCGCCGGUCUACAUCCUAAUUAAGUGUAGGGGUCUAGGGCCAAUCGCCAUUUGUGCUCCUGCACGUUGCGUCGGCGGUCGAGAUCAGUCCUCGCACCUCUAAUAAAAUACCAAUGCUUAUACAAACCACUCGGGCGCGCUCCUCUCAAAUGCUAACGUCCAAAGAGCUUCGACUGAUACAACGACGCCGAGUGCCCAUAACUUCUCCCACAUGAAGGUUAGUGCGACAGAGGUCAACGACCAACUCAGAUUAAAUACGCAAAUCCAAUUAUCAUUUUAAUUAACUUGCAUCAACAAUCAGCAAUCCACGAAUGUGGUCCCGUCGCCCCGUCUCGAGGAUGUCUGAUACAGGCCAAUAAUGCCCCGCCACGCCUUGACAUAAUCACACGGGAAUCCACCCGCCAGACACCUUUCAUCAUGUUCCCAGUAGCAAGGUCAAAUAACCGUGUUCUUGUAACAUCAGAGGGAUCCAAGGUAUCACCUCGAUGGAUUACGAAUGAUGUAACCGUCCAGGCGACCAGGGAGCAAUCACCCUCUAUGGUCCACACUUGAGGGAUUGCACAACAGAGUCAUUAUUGCAAGUGGUGAAGGAGUAAACACCCUCUGUAAACCACCACCGUUUAACUACACUACAUAGCUAUCAUGACGAGUACAUGACGAGGUGUCACCCUCGAUACUCGAUAGUAGCUCCGUGGAGUCGCAAAACUAGGGGGUGUAAAGUGAUGUGACGGGUCAUGGCUCGUCGACCAGUAGAUCGAUAAUUCGAUGAUAAAGCAAGGGCAACUAGGACUAAGGGGUCAAUGGGGUUCACUACUCCACCUAUACUAAGAAUUUAAUGUACAAUAGAGUAUAAUAGCAAUUUAUCAAAAAUAGGCUAUGCAUCAGAAUACGAGCUAUCUACAACAGUUGCAAAAUCUAAUGCAAGCAUGAGGGAGAAAGAAUGGGCGAUAUAGGGAUGAUCRAAGGGGGGGGGGGGUUGCUUUGCAGCAAAAGGCUGGUCGUCAGGAGGGUAGUCGUACCCGGCACCGGCGUGAGUGUCAGAAUCUACCGGAGAGAAUACGGGGAAGAAAUAAUAAAUAACAACAACGAGGUGCAUCACGAUGCAUGGCAUGGCAAUAUGCAGUGCUAGGCAUGAGCUAACGCAGUACUACACGACAUGGACAGAGCGGGGAAAUAUCUAACGAUAUUUUUCGGGUCUCUGUCUAUUACCGGACAAAUAAAUUUGAUGGAAAAGUUCCAUGUUCGUUAUGCUAUGGGGAUGUGAGAAACAAACGAAGAACGUAUUCUAGUUCGUCUCAUUUUUCUAAGCAAUUUUCAUGUACAAAGUAUUUUCAUCCAACUUAUAGAUUAUUUUAUAUUAUUUCUAAAGUUUUAUUAAUAUUCAGGUGUUAAACAGGUUUGUUUUAAUUCAAAAGUAUAAAUAUGACAUCAGCAUGACAUCAUGCUAACAUUAGCAGUCAAGAGUCUAGUUUGACUAGUCAAACUAACAAGUGGGUGCCACUAUCAUAGACCGAGUUUUAAUCGAGGGUUUAAAUUAAUUUAAUCAGGUUAAUUAACACGAUAGGUCACACAUAUCAUAUCCUAUUAAUUAAUUAACACAAUUACUUAGUCUAAUCAGGUUUACAUUAAUUAAGCUAACUAACUAAACUUAUUAAUUACUUCAUUAAUUAAUUAUUUGUUUUUAUUAAUUAAUUAUUGUAUUUUCUAUUUUGUAUUUUUGUUUUAAGGGGGCCCACAUAUCAUUUCAUGGGGCUAAUGGGGGGAAUUUGCCCCAAUGUCAACAAGAGGGGCUCACCGGGGCGAUGCCAACCGAGGCCAUGACCUCAGGGAGGGGCCAGCGGGGCGGCUGGCGGCCAGUGGUGGAGGCGGCCCGGUGUCCGACAACGGGCACGGGGUGCGGGCAUGACGGUAGGCGGCGGUUAAAUGCGUGAGCACGAGCGGGCGACACGGGCGCUGUGGCGGCCACGCGAGGCGAGUCGAGGCGGGUGCGGAACGACGACCGACGUUGGCAGCAGGAGCAGCUGUGGCAGCAUAUGCGGAGCAGCGAGCGUCCGGCAUGGGGUGAUGCAGUGUGCGGCGGUUGUGGGCACUGGGGCGCAACGACAUCUGGGGUUCGCCGAAGUGGCAAAAAAAUCGGGUAGAAGAGAGAUGAGGAGGGGGGGGGGGUGCUCACUAGCGUCGUGAGAAGGGGGCGACAAGAUUUGUAGGAGCCGACAUGAAGGAGAUGAGGAGGUCCCAUGGGAGGGGGCGAUUACGGGGCGACGCCGGCGAGGGUGGUCAGGGAAGUGGGGUGGCUUGGGCUGAAUAGGGCUGCAGGGGGAGAGCGACCGUUAGGUAGUGGGGAAAGAGAGGGAGGGAGGGAAAAAUUAGGGUUAGGCGAGGGGGGCCUUUUUAUAGGCCGGUGGGGAGGGAAGGGAGGAGUGGUCGCCGACUGGGCUGGCCUGGUGGCCAGCUCGACCGAGGCCGUGGGUUCUUUUUUUUAUAAUUAUUGCUUUUAUUUAUUUUUGUAACACGUUGAAUUUUGUAAAAUAGGGGAUUUGGCCCAUUAUUUAGUAUGCUAAUUUAGACACUCCUAUAAAUUGUUUGGGGGGCUUUUGAAUUUAUUUGGAGACCUCAAAAUUCAGAAGGGAAUUUAAUGGUUGAUUUGGCCCGUGUUUUAAUUAUUUUGUGGAACAAAAACAAUUUAUAAAAUGUGGGUUACAAUUUUAUAAUUGCUUAUGGAAUACGUGCAACACAUCCAUGAUUUAUGUUUUCAUGUUUGCAAAGUUGUUGAAACCACUUAACAAAUGACUUUUGAAAAUCAUUUGGAAAAAGAGAAGAGACAUGAUCCCAUUGUGAUCAAACUUGGAUUAGCAAAAUGGAUUAGCUUAAUCCUCGUGUUACUAUAGCUUAAUUGCAUUGAUCAGUGUAGCACGAUUCCUAGGGUGUCACAACUCUCCUCUACUAGAAGAAAUUUGGUCCUGAGAAUUAAGAGGUACAAGGAAAGCACUCGGGAUAUUCAUCACGAAGAUGAUCCUCGCGGUCCCAAGUGGAUUCAUCUUUAGAAUGAUUUGACAAGGAACUUGGUGACCUUUUGACGAGCCCGACGUUCAGUUGGAUCGAGAAUGUGGACUAGAUGCUCUUUAUAAGAGUGGUCUUGUUGGAGCUCAAGUAUAUCAUGAUCCACUGCUCAGACAAGAUCCU